CGGGAGAGGGAGGGAGGAGGGAGGAGGCGGAGACCGGGAGAGGGAGAGAGAGAGGAGGCUAGGGUUUUUCUGCUAGGUGUUCGUCUCUAAACCCGACAACUUUAGCCGACGAAAUUAUUAUUUCGUCAGCUAAAGAUACAAAUCUCGUCGGCUAAGAUAAAACUCGUCGGCUAAAACCUUUGAAAUUCGUCGGCUAAACCUUUGCAGUCCGUCGGCUAAACCUUUGAAAUUCAUCGGCUAACAGUUGAAAUUCGUCGGCUUAAGUACUUUUAUACAUUCGGCACAUUGUGAUUGUGAUGAUCAAACUUGAGAAACAAAAAUCCGACUGUCAGAUCUGACCAUCAUGACAAAAUACAUGUAUGGGAAAUAAUUCAACUUGAUUCGACAAGGUUAAGGGCUCGAUCCGGAAGGUCAAUCCCGUAAGUCAAACCCCUAAACGCACGGAAAAGGCCGUUGGACCGUCUAAAUUUCGUAUUUUGGCCGGACCUUCAACUGAAAAUAGUUUCAAAUCGAUGAGACGCAACAAGUCAUAUAAAAAUUUUACGCAAAAUAACCACCGAAGAUAGGGCUACUCAUAGGGAGAAAGAAUAAAAAAUUGCAUUGACCGCAACUAUCGGCACCGAAUCUUUACCGGAAUACCGUGACUUUUCAACCGUGGAUGUAUUUCACCAUUCAGGUUAUAUCUUAUUUCACGAUUUUUUUGUGUUUGAAGGUUUUACGUAUAGUUUGUUUUUGAAACGGAACAUUUACUUAACACUAGGUAAACAAGUUAUACAAAAUGAUGAGACGCAAGAAGUCGUAUUAAAAUUUUACGGAAAAUAACCACCGAAGAUAGGGCUAUAGUAUGCAGUAGAAAAAUUUUAGGGUUUAGCCGACGAACACCCUAUCACAUUCGUCGGCUAUAGUAUGUAAAUAAAAAAUUAAAAAGUAACUAAAGCCGACGAAAUAUUAGGUUAAUCGUCGGCUAAAACCAUCUUAGCCGACGAAAUAUACGAUGGUGUAAUUCGUCGGCUAAGAUAGUUUUAGCCGACGAAUUAUGGUGUAUUUUGUCGGCUAAAGUAAAAAAAUACAUUAAAAAAAUAGAAGGUUUUAGUAAACCAUACUAACUUCCUGUUCAUCAUAUAUCACCAAAAUUCAUAUAAAAUAACUGAAAUAUGAAUCAACAUAUGUAAACUAUAAAGGAAAAGGUCUUUUUUAUUACAAAUUAAUGGAUUACGUCCUCUUAAUUAAAAUUUUAAGGCUCGUAAUCGGAAUCAUCCGAUGAGUAUUCUUCGGUGUCAGAAUUAAUUUCUGGUAAUAUAUGUCUUUCCUCAUCCCACGGGCAAGAAAAUCACUGAUGGUACCAAUAACCAUGACAUGCAUCUGGAACAUCUCGUGCAUGUACUUGUCAUAAGUGGGAUGAUCAACGUCCCACAAAAACUUAAGCUCUUCAAUCAAAUGUCUCAAAUACACAUUGAGACACUUCCCUAGAUAAUCGGGGCCCGGAAUCAACAAACUCAACAUAUUGUAUUCCUUCUUCAUGCACAUCCAUGGAGGAAGGUUGUACGGUACCAAAAUCACUGGCCAUACACUGUACUGAAGACUCAUGUUGCCAAAAGGGUUGAACCCGUCGGAUGAGAGCCCGAGCCUCACAUUUCGGACCUCUGACGCAAAAUGAGGAAACUCCCUGUCUAUAUGCUUCCAAGCCUCCCCGUCAGCAAGGUGUAUAAGGGUAUCUUCGUCAUGCGAUUCCCGAUCAGCGUGCCAUCUCAUAGCUUCGGCCGUGUGUGAAGACAUGUACAACCGCUCCAGCCUAUCCCUCAACGGGAAAUACCGAAGUACCUUCACAAGUUUCCUGUUGCCUGCAGGAGUCAGCUUAUACCUGUCAGUGUGACAUACUGGACAUGCGUCAAGGCCACCAUGGUCAUUCCCUUCUGGAUCUUUACCCUAGAAGAGAACGCAGUCAUAUCUGCAUGCAUGGAUCUUGAUGUAGGAAAGCCCAAGAUCUUUCAGGAUACAUUGGACCUUAUGAUGAGUGGUAGGAAGACGAUGACCGUGGGGCAGCAUCGAAGCAGUGUACUCUAGAUAAUCAUCAACAGUCUUCACGGUCGAUUUUGUCUCAACUUUAAUCUUCAUUACGUUCAUCACACUUUCAAGAACGGUCUUCUAACAGCCGGGGUACACAGGGGUCUGUUGAAAAGCAAGCAUUUUGUUGUACUUGUCAAUACCAGCAGUGUUGACAGCUCUAGGGAAGAGCUGCACCGGGUCAGGCAUAUACUGUCCUUGAGCGCAUACACCGCUCUCAUAAGGAAACAGAUCGUUGAUGAAGACCGUUGUUGGAUCGUUGGAUCGUUGGAUGUACUAAUAUUGCCCGUCUCAGAAUAUUGGUCAUGAUCAUGCGGACCCCCUGAUGAUGUUUCACCGUAAUAUAACCAACAUGUGUACUUCUCCCAAAACCGGUUACUCUUCAGGUGCUGCCAUAUUUUGUCAAUCGGAAAUCGAUGCAUAUCGCUGCGACACUGACAUUUCGUGCAUGGGCAAUAGAAAAUUGUAUUCUCGUUAGCAUUAGCCAGCGCAUAUUCCAGAAAACUCGUAAUUCCUUUACCAUGUCUUUUGUCCCAUUUUGGAAGCUAAAUCCAACUCUUAUCCAUAUUCUGAAAAUAUAACAAAAUAUAUAUGUAUAACGCUAGCUAAUUAUUAAUUAAAUUCUAUGUCAUAUAUAAAAUCUCAAUUCAUUUAUAUAUAUUCUACGUACUACAACUAAUUGAUAACAAAUUAAUUAACACACAUAUAUAUAGAUAUACUUAAUUAAUAAUUACAUAACAAUAUUAUAUAUAUCAACAUCAUCACAAAAUUAUCAUCAACAACUUCAUACCAUCAACACAAUAUUAUAAAUUAAUUAACAUAUAUAUAUAUCUACUACUUAUGAACAUAUGUACAACUUCAUAUAUAUUAUCAAAUCAUCAACCAAAUCGAUCAACAUAUAUAUAUAUAUAUCCAACGUACUCAAAAUCUAUCAAUUCAAUCACACUCAAAAUCGAUCAACUCAAAUAAAACUCAAAAUCAACAUAUAUACACAUAUACGUACCUAUAUAUAGCUCCACAAACUAAUUAUGGACAGAUUUCAACAACACUCAAACUUUUUCUUCCGUUUUUUUCUCCCAGAUGAGCUGUUGCCCAGAUUUGCGAAUAUAAAGCACUUUAGCCGACGAAAUUAAAAUUUCGUCGGCUAAAGAAUGUUUAAAGUCGUCGACUAAAGUUCACAGACUUUAGCCGACGAAAUAAAUUCUUUAGCUUUCGUCGGCUAAAGUUGACUAUAGCCGACGAAAAUAUAAAUUAGCCGACGAAAAAUGGUUCGUUGGCGUGGUUUUUUUUUUCGUCGGCUAAACCCUUUUUUUUGGUAGUGUAAAUCUUGAUCUUAGGAGAAAAAGAGUACGACGCACCCUUCACAUUUGAUAAUGACAUACAUGUACUAGACUCCCCCUGAAGUUCGUACCUCCCCCUGAUCUUUACAUCAAUCAUAGGGCUCUUCCUGAUUUUUACUAAUCAUGGAAGUUUCAAUAACUUAACAUGUCAUGCUCUUUAACAUGUUUUCAAAUGUGGCAUUAGGCAAUGAUUAACUAGAUAAUGCUGUAUAGUCCUCAAACAUGAUCUUUUACACUUAGAUCUUGAGGAGAAGGUCGCUUGUGAACUCAAAAUAUAAGUUCGUGCAGGAAAUCAGAUUUCCUCGCAGCAUGACCUUCAAUUACUCGAAUAGCCGUAACGUCCUCUAGAAAAUGCGUAUGAACGAACCGUAAACGGUUUUGGAAACUAGACUCAUUUAGCUUUCUAAACGUAUAUUACACACAUUCUGGUUCGUCAGGAGCUAUUCCUAAAGUGCCGUCAAAGUUGACUGUUUUGCGAAAAUCAGAUUCUCGGACAGAUUCGUCCUACUUUACAAAAACGGCCACAACUCACUCAAUAUGAUAGGUAUGAUCAAAUGGUUGCUGUCCCUGGAAAGUAGACACAUAGAAUUUUUCAAUGGUACCAAUUUCACCAUUUUCCAGUGAAUCAGAUUUCUUGUAGUCCUGUGGAAGUUGACCUACGAAACUUGACAGAUUCUGAUUUCGGUUUUUAUGUGUUUUUCUUAUGUAGGGAUAUAAUAAGCCUCAACCUCUCGUACCAUUAAGUAUUGAAAAAGGAGUUACUGUCAUUACAUUGACAUUGCGUGGGCGCAUAGCUACACUUAGUUUUACAACUUUUCAUAGCGAAUGAGAUGUCAAGUCUUUCUUAUCGUGUCAAGUAUAUUGAUGAGUUUUAUUGUACUUAGAUGAGAACUCCAUAUCUUAACACAUAUUUGUCAUCUUUCUUAGACAAAACAAUGGAUCUCUCUUUAGAGUAAAGACUUUGAUUAAUCAUGGGAGUAUAUGUAGGCCUCACUAGUUAUAUACCGCUUAAGCCGAUUGAUGGAAAAUGAUCAUCAAUACAGUCAUCGAGUACCUUUUUGAGACCGUGUCUUCCCAAGAUCUUUUUCAUUCUAACUUCGGAUGUUGAUACAUAUUGGCAUCUCUUGAUCCAUCAAGAGUCCAUGUAAAUCCGGAAUAAACACGCAAAGGCAUAAUUCACCAUAUCGCUUCCAAAUCAAGUAGAGUCCAUGUGUGUUUCAAUACAUUUAGCAAACGUAUGCUCCUGUGGUUUGGAGCCACUUGAUUCGGAUGAAUGAAGUCCGUUUAAGAUCUUCAUGUUUAUCUUUGAUCCCGUAGAGAUGUUAUUAUGACCACAUUCAUAGGCUGCAUGUUCAGUUAUUCAGAAACUACCAAACUGACAAAGUAGUGGAGUUCAAUGACAUCCAUUACGAGAACAUAUCUGAUCGUAGUUGAUCACAAUGCGUGUUAGUGAGAGACCUUGCGCCAUAAGGUGAGUCUAAGCUCUUGUUCUCAUCACCAUGCUAUCUAACAAAGGCAUAGUUGAUAGGGUUUAGCUUGCGGUGCCGGCAUCACCUGCCCAAGGACCUAUCUCUUUGUUAAUACUGGAUCGCAUCUUUCCAUUAGACUAAUCAGCUAAGUUGAUAUCCAUCAAUGAAGGAUGGUUCGAUAGUAGACUCAUUAUCCCACGUCCUCAUGUACACUAGUGUAAUACUUGUAGAGAUCUCUAUAUGGAUCGGAUUUGACAUUGAGGCGUCCCUCAACGAUAAUCACAAUUCAGACUUCAUGAGACGGAUUUGAGUAUCACUGAUCAAUGGAUCAGGUUGUGCCAAGCUCGCUUUCUUCUUGGUGCGAGAAAGUAUCGAAUCUAAGGGCCUCCCUCUUUUUGGGGAGCCACACGGCCUUGUGACACCAAUUUUGCCAUUAUAUGACAUCACCAUAUCACCAUCUAUUGUGAUGGCGUGAAGACCAACUCAUUUUGGUCGCGCCAUGUCCUCUUGAUAGGACAUCAAUCCUUGCAGACAUAUUUGCAGCAUGUGAUCUAGUCACUUUAACACUUUAAGCAAUUAGGAUCAAGAUGAGACUUAGUGCAGACAAACCACGACAAUUCACGUCGUUCCACUUAAACACUUGUGUUCUUAUCUCCCCCUAACGGCUGGAAUAUUGUCUCAUCAAAGUGACAAUCCGUAAUUUAGCGGUGAAUGAGAUCACCUGACAAGAUUUCUACAUAAGCGUAUUAUAGGUGGAGGUUCAUAUCCAACCUAAAUACUUAUUCAUCUGAAAUGACCUAUCAUUGUGCGCAGUGGCAGUGCAAUUUGGCACCUAGAAAUAACAUCUAGCAAAGCUCAAGGAUUGGAGAUCCGUUUCAAUCCUAUUUGAGCUCAAGAAUUGUAAUUUCGUGUCAAUCCUUGUACAUAGUCACGAGUUGUAGUACAAAAAUAUUCAAUGAUGGUGGGUCGUAAAUGAAUAGUAAAGUUUCAUGCAAAUAUUGCAUAGCCCCAAGACGCAAUAGAAAGAUUGGUGUGCAUCAAUAAUGUUCAAGCGACAAGCUAAAGUUGCUUAGUCGUAACCACGGUGAAACUGUAUUACGUGUGAACAUAGGGUACAGGACGCUUCAACUUAUAUCCCGAUAAACUUCUUUAAAGAAUGAGUAGUGACCCCGUAAAAGUAUAAGCAGUAUAAGCAGUAGAUAAUGGUGUAACACGUGACCGUUGUGUUAACACUUUUCAACGAACACCAUAAAGCAUACAAAGGUGUCCGCAAGUUGGUUGUAUCGAUCUACAUAAUUUGAUGUAAGAAUGAAGUCUUCUCUUUUGUGUCUUUUAGCGUAAGAGGGUCUCGCUCCUAAUUUAGCUAAAAAAUAGGCUUUCAAAACGAGCAAUAAGCAUUGCAGGGGCCAAUAAGACAUCGAGGGAAGGUCGGUACACCUCAAUUGCUUGAGGAGGAAUUGACCGGACGGCCUCCAGGAAGUUGGAGCCGUGUUCGGGUGACUUCAAUGUCCCCAUGGUGCCGCCAUUUACAACCAUGACAUCACCAUCAUGCUUCAUGGAAAAGCUAGAUCCCGAAUUUCUUCAUUUUGAGCGGAAAAAUGGAUGUCCAUGAGAAUUUCUCAAAAUUUGGACCAUUAUAUCUUUUCCAGGAUGACCGAUUUAGUCAAACCAAAACCUAUAUGAGUCGGAGUCCUAAAUAUCAUGUUUGGUGACAACAUGUGAUUCGAUAUUUGAAUCAUAGUGAUAUACAGUCCACUAUGUUGACUCAUAAACUUCUCAAAGAUGCAUUUCAAUCCGCAUUCAUGAGAAUGUAUACAUAAAAGAGCUCUUGUUCAUUCUCACAAUGUGUUUUCAAAUGAAAACUAUUAGUAGGAAUGUCUUUAAAGCUCAACAUGGUUCGGUUGUCUCUCAAUGCAUAGAGGGCAUCUGUGACGUUGAUCAUGGUGUCAUGAGGCAUCAAGAUUCAAGCUAAACCGCGUCCCUGAAUGACCGAUAUGAUUCAAUCAUUGUAGUCACAGAAGAUUUACAAAGGCAUAAAAUCCAAAGAUAGUUGCCGAUUCCUUAGAAUGUUGUAGAUAUUUCCACUAUCUGCGAGGCACUCAAUGUCUUUAUGAGAAAGAUCUACAAAAUGGAGUAGAUAGGAGAGUAAAUAGUUCAACUUGAACCAUUUAUUAGAAGGGAUGAAAGAAGCUACAAAAAGCUGUAAUCCCAAGAGUGCAUAAAAAUUUCCGCGUAUAAUGACCUUUGCACACUAAAAUAACCUUAACUUCUUCGUUAAAAAAGAUAUGGAUGAACCGCGAAAAGUUCUGAAAACUAAACUCGUAGAGCUUUCCAAUGAUAUAAAGUUCACUGUCUGGUUCAUCUGAAGCUGUUCACAAAGCUCAAACUAAAUUGACUGUCCAGAAUGUAUAAAUUGCUGUUUUUCGCAGAAUUGGCACGUGCGAAGCUAUGAAGAUUGCAAAUGGCAUGUAGGCUUUUGUAUGAUCAAAACCAAGUCCUUCCAGUCGUUCCAAGGUCGUAAACUCCAUGACUAGUUAGCAAAAGCUCCUUGACAUGAACAUAAACUAACUCAGAGGACCUAGAGGAUUCGAUCAUGAUGAUGAUUGUCCGGUUUUGAUAAGUCUUCAACGUCUUUUGCAAGACGAAAAUUAGUUUAAUAGCGUAGGGGGAUCGAAAAUCAAAAGCUUUCGAUAACUCCAAGUCAGUAUGACCAGGCAUGUCCGUGGAGGGUCGGUAGUGCGAGGCACACUUGAAACCACUAUCUUCUUAAUUUCGGACAAUUCUAAGACAUCACACUGAGCUUGGAUGAGCCUAAUUGAACAAUUGAUGAUGGAAAAUCUGCUAUAGAGUAGAAGACUUAACCGAAAACAAGUGGGAGAUCCUCAUUGAGGAUGCAGUGCCGUGCGUCACCUUUAAAGGAAGGGACCAAAAGCGGCACAAUAUGCCAUGUUUCUAAGGACGAUGUAAGUGUACAUUUUGAUUGUAAAUCAAUACGAACCAUAAGAUGAGAAUAGUUUCAUAACUUCAAAAAAUUCUCAAGGCAUUCAUUAUUGCUAAUGUGAGUAUAUAUUGAGGUCUUGAAUAAACAAAGGACAUCGACACGACGUCUUAUUACGUAUAGCUUGAAAAGAAAAUCAAAGUCGAUCUAGCCGAUGACGUUAAAGUCAGGGGUAGCUAGAGCUGGAUCCAAAUCUUUGAAAUCCACGAUCAUGAGGAUGACGUUCUUGUCCUCAUAUUGAUUUUCCGUACCUUUUUGUAUGCAUUCACAAUUUGAAGGAGAGCUCGACAACUCUUGAACCAAUGAUCCGGAGAUCCACAACGGUUGCAUUGUCAUGAGCUGACAUGAGUAGUUUUGACAAAUUUGUGUCUAGACCGGGAGUGUCGCCAUUAGGGCCGGCGACACCUCCUCUUCUUUUCUAGACAUCGGUGCGGCGUUUUCUACCGUUGUCAUGACCCAUAUUGUUGUUCCCACAUUAGGUGACAGACAAUCCCAAAUAUUUUUAUCGCAUUAGCGUAUAUACAAUUCUCGUUUGCAAUUGUAUGAUCAAAAUCAGGUCUCGUUGGUAAUUCCAAACCAACUUGGAGGGCCUAAAGAACUUGAUAAUGAUCGAAUCCGCUAAAGAUUAUGUUUCAUGAUGCCACAAAAGAUCAUCAACAAUAUGUAGUCAAUUAAGGUGGUAAGCAAUCCACUUGACUAAUAACUCAUAACUCAACAAGUAGAGUUAUAUGAACGUUUCAAGAAACGCUCCAUGAGUGCAUUCCACAGUACAUUGUGGUCAUUACUUUUUGCACAUAUUGCCGUUGAAGGUUGUUGUCGAUAUGGCGCUUCAAAACUUUGAGUGCAUAAGAUGUGAAAUCUCGGCAUCUAGGCUUGUUAGCUUGGGGGUCAAAACAUGUGGUUUAAUCCUUUCCAAUGAAAGGUUCCACAGAUACCAAGCAAAGAUCCGCCUUAGGCAUUGAGUACGUCAUAACUCAAAGGAGCAGAAUGUUACAUUGCUCUUGCAUACAAAACCAAGCUGUUUGUCCUUCGGAUAGAGGUCACAAACGAUGCUUUUAAUGGUCACAAACGAUGCUUUGAAUGGUUUGUCCUUCAGAUUGAUCACACACAAUCCAGAAAAGCCGCGAAUUGAUCAAACACAAUUCGAAAAAAGGCCUCGGAUUGAUCAAACACAAUCCGGAGAAAGGUCGGGGUUGAUCAUACACAACCCUGAGAAGAAAACAAGAGUGAUCAAACACACUCUUGACCUGCGAAUAAAAUUCUGGGAUUUUUACAUACACACACAAAAUCCCAAGCAUAGAAUGGAGAUGGAGAAGGGAGGAAAAAAUUUUAUCCUCCCCGAGUUAUUGAACUUGGAAAAGUUUAGGGUUUCAAAACAUACUUUUCGAAACUUCAAACACUUGAAGAAGUAGAAAAUUGUAGUCGAAGGAAACCAGGAAUCGUCGACAGGCGGCAGCCGGAAAAAACAUGCGGCGGCGGCGGUCGGACAUAGGAGCCGAAAAACGUUUUUUUUAGGGUUUUGGAAAACAAAUGGUGGGCUAUUAGUUCUAGAGUUAGAACAAAGUGCAUGAUAACGUGAUAAAGUAUAAACAGUAGAGAAUGAAAGAUAACAAGAGAAAGAGAAUCAUUAUCUUAUUCAUUGAUAGGAGCCCUUUAUAUAGGGAAUUACAAAGUACCAAUAUGGUAAUAAUAAGAAAUACAUAGUCAUAUUCUAACUACAUAUCUUGUUGACAUAAGGCCAAGGCACACAUAUGAAAUAUCCUAGAACAAAUCACAAAAUUUAUUUUCAUAUAUUGUUUAUUAGAAAUCUAAUUUGAAGAUGAUUACAGAGAUUUGACGACAACCUCCUUAGUUCAUGAACCUCCCUAGUUUGUUUUUGUGCUCUCAAGAGAUCGUCUGCCAUGUCCUCUGACUAAUAGAUUUGAAGUUUCGACAAGCUGAUUGGAAUGCCUCAUUCUAGUUUUCUUUUAUUCUUUGUCUUAACUAAUUAAUAUGGAGGCCUGACUUGAUAAUCGGUUCCUCUUGAAAACAAAUUGGGGUUCCAAGAAGGGAAGAAACCCUAUCCAACCCAACGGGAUUUAAAGGAUACAAAUGAUAUUAGCCAUGCAUGUCUCAUGAAUCAGUCUUAAUAUUAGGUUUUUAAUCUAUACAAUUAACAAUGGAUAUUGAUCAGAGUGAAUGAACUUGAAUUAAUUGGAGUUUGACACAAACAGUGAUACAGCAAAGGAGUAAAAUUUCGAGCUUUGAGGAUAAUUCGAUGCUCCGAAAAAUGGAUAUUUCAAAGGAAAUAUCGAGAUUGGCAAAAUUUCAAAAAGAGUGGGCAAAAAUAAUGUGAAAAUAUGUCUACCAUUUAUAUAUUAAAAUGUUCUAUAUAUUACCCAGAUGUCACUUUAGCUACGGUGGUUAGGGAGUUUGAAUACGUUUGGGGCAACCAGGGUUCGAUUCUCCUCAGCUGCGCACCUGUAGUUUUCUUCCUAUUUUUAAAAAUAUGGGCUGAGUUAAUGGACAGUUGGGCUGAAUUAGUGGCAAAAUUUAAUGAGUUGGGCCGAAUUAAAGGCAUAAUAUCUUGAUUCUUGAAUUUCAAGAAAAAAUCGAAAUUUUCCUAAAAUAUCGCGAAAUAUCCACAAUAUCUCACGAGAUUAUCUUGUUAUGCAAAGAUAUAUCGUUGUGUCCAAAAAACGAAAUUUCGGCCAUAAAAUCGAUUUUUAACUCCAUAGAUACAGCCAAUGACAGUUAUGUUAACGGAUGAUAAAAGAAUACCAGUUGCUAAUGAAAAUUAUGAUCAUGAAUGUAUCUCAGGAUUACAAAGUGUUUCCUUUCGAGUGUUUUAUUCAGAUAAGAAAACUAAUUAUUAUUAUUAUCGUUAUUAAAUUUUUAGGUUUAUUUAUUAAUUAAAAAAUUAAAUAUGCUGAAAUUUUUUAAAUUGAAUAUGAUGAUGUGGUAGAUGUCACCUAAGAUAACACAUAAGAUGUCACAUAAUUUGAUAUUAGAUUUUGGUACAAUUUUGAUGCAUGUAGCACUACUCUUCAAAAUUAAACAAUUUAAUAAGAAUACAUGAUUGAAAACUAAUUAAGUUUAAUUUUUGUAAAACAUUUUGGUGUCUAGCAUUUUUCCCCAAUUUAACCCCUACUUGACAGAGUUAGAGUUAAUGAGAAAAUUUAUUAUUGUUGAUAAGAAUUAAUAUAAUUAUAAGCUAAUAUCAACACCUCCAGAACGUGCUCUUGCAUCACUAUAACCCAGAUUUAUCAAAGAUGAUAAUUGAUCAAAGCCAGACAUGGAGAUCUUCAGAAAGUUGUUUUUAACACCCCAAUCUUUUUAAAGAUAAAGACAAGAACUUUCAACAUCUUUCUCUUCCCUCGUUAUAAUGAGUAGUAGGAAGACCAAAUCUAGAUCAAAUCCUGCUUCUCUUUGUUUCUUUAUGUUCCUCGAUUUCUCUUUUUGUCUGAUAAGUUCAGACUCCAAAUUGAUCUAAAAAUUCCAACAUUUUCAACAUUCUACGAUCCCCAAAUCAAAAACCCACAAAAUCUUCUGCACUUCUCUCAAAUCUCAACUGGGUUUUGGUGAAAAAUCAGAAGGAAUAAAGCUUUUCAACAAUGGAGGCUAGGAUAUGAAAUUCCUGAGAGGGGCACAAACUGUGGAUUGCGAACUAAUCUCAGGUUCUUGUGGUUUAUGCCGGCGACAAACAAAGAAAAUUAUAGUUGGGUAGUUUGGGUUCUUUCGAGUUUCGACCAAGAAUGGAGGACUUUAUCGAUAUCAUCAUGAUCUUUCAUCUUUGUUUUCAUCCCGAUCUGGGUUCAUUCUUUUUAGCUAAUAUUCUUAUUAAAGAUAUGAGUAACAUGAAAUAAAUUUUGUUGUCGCCUUGAUUUUUUUAAUUUUUUUAUUUGGUUACUAGAGGGACCUAAAUAGAAAUUUUAACACAUCUCUGAUCUCUUUUAAUAGAUACCCUUAUUAUUUUAUAUUUCACAUCAGAUUUUAUAAGUACGUUUACUUACAAAAAUAUUCAUCAAUUGUUAGGGGAAAAAAAAACUUCAUGUUUCAUAAAACCUAACUCUUCUCCACUAUUACUACGCAUCAAAAGAAAAAAAAUAAAAACCUCUUCUCCAAAAUACAUCCCCCGAAUUUCGACUACUGUCGUAGUCACAUGUAGAAUUUACCGAUUCAUUUGGUUUUUUAUUUUUUUAUCAACUUUAGUUUUUAUUUUGCAGACCAAAAACUAGUUUUUAUACUAUUAUAUUUUUACUAGUUUCUUAACUUUAAAAAAAAUAUGUAUGUUCAAUAUUUUUUUCUUUAAAUUCUAGCCGAUUGAUGUCAUAUUAGAGAUUUGGAGUUCGAAUAUAAUAUUACUCUUUUGAUUAUAAAUUGAAAAAUAUCAAGAAAAAAUUUCUAACCCGAUCAAAAAAAUCUAACAGGAAAUAAAAGAGAAUACGUAAAGAGAGUUGGGAAAUAAUAAAUAUAUUAAGGAUGCGUCUAUUGUCACCCCACAAAUCACUUUAAUCACCCCCACAUUCUCUUCACACCCCAUUUAUGUAUUUUUAAUUAUAAGUCUACUUUGUUCAUCCAUUUACAAUCCCUAAAAUACAUUUUUCUCAAUUAUACUUUGAUCACCAUACAUUCUCUUCUCCAUUACUCCAUAAUUUUGAGUGUUUUAAACUGAUCUAUGCGUUGUUUAUAUAUACGAUACAACUUUUCAUGAGAAUUUACAUAUAAAAUCGACAUGAAAAAUAAUGAGUAAAGAGAUAGACGGAAGCGUCAACAAAGAAAAAAAAAAAAUACAAACAGUUCACCUCAUCUUUAGGUUAAAUGGUAGCGUCUUGACCUAAAACAAUCGAAUAUGAUAAAUUUGGGUUAAAGUUCAUGAAGUACGCACGUGUUCAUCUAAAAAAAUAAUAAGAAUUUGUAAUUUUUAACAACUUAUUGUCCCUUGUUGUAGUUUUACAUUAGGUUAUUUUGGUCUUUUAAUAAAUUAACCAUAUGUGGGGUGAACAAAAUGGUUUGUAAGGUGACAAUAGCCCGCCCCCUAUAUUAAAUAACAUAUUAUUAUUAGUUUUAAAUAUUGAGGGUAUUUUAGGUAGUUUGGGAUGUGUAUUUAAUAUAAUAUUGAAAUGAAAAACUAGAUGGGUAAGUGUAUUAAGUAAUGAGUGUGUAUUAAGAGAUUAAUGGUGUGUAUUUAAAAUUACUCAGACCUAAAAGGCCCAAAAAAGAACAAAGAAAACUAAAUACCGGAACAAACUCCAGUUGCUCUAACAAUAUCAAAACAAUAUCAAUAAGAUCAUCUAAGUAAGCUUGAGCAGCAUGCACAGGAGGGUCCUCAAAGGCAAGGAAGAAAAAAUCGAUAAUUUCGCCGAAAUAUUCGUUUUUCUCAUGUCCCGAUAUUUCUUUCUCCCUCCAUAAUUUUUCGUCCGAUAUUUUCGAUAUUUCGCCGAAAUAUUCGAAAUCUGACGAAAACAGCGCCACGUCAUCAAAGCGAUUGAUUUUUGGUCCCACCAAAAAUCAACUCAAAAACCCAUAAAUUGGGUGCAGCGAGUUUCGAACCUCGCUUGCCAAGUUUGCUCCCAAACGACUUAGCCAACAGUGCUAAGCGAGCGUCUGAUGUUUGUAUUCUUCUUUGUAAUAUAUAUUGCCUUUGAAUCUGAAAACUUUGAUGGCAAUUAAUGAACCAAAAAUCAACUCAAAAACCUAGAAAUUGGGUGCAGCGAGUUUCGAACUUCGCUUGGCUAGUUUGCUCCCAAACGACUUAGCCAACAGUGCUAAGCAAACCUAUGAUGUUUAUAUGCUUCUUUGUAAUAUAUACUGUCUUCAAAUCUGAAAACUUUGAUGGAAAUUAAUAACCGACUUGCUAUUCCUUAUUUUUUUCCUACACUUUCCAUAUGCAAUUAUACAUAUAUAAGGUGAUGGUCUAGUCCUUUUUUUUGUUUUGUUUCAAGCCAUAAAAUAAAUUAGAUUUUUUAAAAUUGAAGUAAAUUUUUAAGAUUUAUCAACGAUUCAGCAUUUACUUUUUCACCUUAAAUUACUAUAAUUCAUUAUAAAUUAAUGUUUAGUCAAGGUUUUCUUAUCAAAUAUAGUACAUAAUAUAAAAAACAAACAUCUCUUAAAGUUUGGUUUAAAAUUUCCUUGUUUUUCUUUAAAUUUCCGUCAAUUUUCUCAUUUUUUUUACUGCAAUCGAUAUUUCCUCGAAAUUUCCGUCGAAACUUCCAUAUUUUAGAAGGUCGAAAUUUCCGUAAUCACCGAAAUUUUCUUCCUUGCUCAAAGGUGAUCAAAGCCAAAGUCAUGUGUGAUGCUGUUUUUAGCUAAAGAAUCAGCAAACUAGCGCCUUGAUUUUCUAUUCAUACACUCCAUCAUUAUAUAAUAAAUCAACUGUUUAACCUAUAAAUUAAGGAAAAAUAAUAUAGGAGGAACACCCAUGGCAGUUGAGUGUGCAUUAGUUACUCUAGCUGGAUAUUGUGCCACAUUUCCCUGAGACCAUUAGAGGCCGGCAUGUCCCUGCAGUCCAGCGAAGUACACAACCUCCAUCACUAAGUAACCACUUCCACCGUAAAAGCUCAGUUCUGAAAAAUCAAUUGCAUGUGGUCUUAAAUCAUGAUCAUACAUCCUACAGGUUACAACUUACAAGACUUGUUAAUACAAUUAGACAUAUAGAUAUAUGUAAGAAAGACACCAAGGAAAUAAUAAUCAGAUUUACGAAACGCAACUAACAGUACAGUGAGGGUCUGGGAUAUUAAGAAAAGUAUACAAGUAAUAUUGUCCUUGGCCUAUAUUUUCUGUUUUUCAAUUGGAGCCAUUAAUGCAAAAACAGUGAUUAAUUAGAAGAAAAUUGUCCAGAAAUUGUGAAAGAUGUUGCAUUAGAAAUUUUCUUGCAAGCUGAAGGAGACAAAGAUGAUAGGUUCUGAAAAAGGCAGAAGCAUGCAGCAACUUUUUAACUAAAAGAGAGAUUGAUUAAGUAGUCUAUCUGCAUAUAUUAGGUUUAUUUUCAUGCAUACAUACUGAAAAAGUUGAAAGUAUAAGGUAGAAAACGAAAUGCCAGCUUGAUACAAGAGAAAAGUAAUUAAAUCUCGACAUAAAUGUCAUGGAUCGAUUUUCACUACUUACUCUAUAGUCUAUAUAGUGAUUGUUAUGCACAACUAGAUAGAAUAAAUGAGAGACAGAGAGAGUGAGAGUGAGAGUGAGAGAGAGAGCUUUGCUUAGAUAAAAUCACAUAGAGCACUAUUUGAAUUGAAAAUGUGAAACUCCAGGACACAGAUCAACAUUCAGCCAUCCUACUACAGCAUCUAUAACCGUAGCAAAGGUCAAAGUGGUCCAGUCAUCACUGAAAUCACUUUGGACUUCAGCAAAAUUGCAGUGUUCUGCCCUAAAAAUAACCAAAGCAUCUGCCACACAAGCUUGGACUUGGAGAACUGAAGCAAAUUCAGAUAGGAAUUAUCAACAAAUAAAUUUCAAUACCCAGACCUGAGUUUAUUGGAGGAUUUACAUGAACAGAAUAAUAAGGGAUGAAAAUCAGUAGAUAAAAAAGCAAAUAGGUAGAGGAUUCACAACACUCUAGGUUAAGGCAUUUAAAAACUCUCUAGAGUAUUCUUCAGAAAGAAACUAAUCAAACAUAACUUUAAAAUCAUCAUUUACAGAACAAUUUUCAGCUCUCCUCUCUCCAUUAAUACACAUUUUAUAUUCAGCUUCAGAAUAGACGCCAAGCUGGUGUGUCCACAAAUACACAACAACAAAAAGUAGCUUAUUGUUCCAUACACGGUCCUAAUCUUAAUUUUGUUCUUACUUUAACAACUAUUAGAUGAUUCUAUCAUUCUAAAGCAAAACCAAGUAUACAGGAAGGAAUUCAUUAAGAGCUUGAGAGAUUCUUCAAUUGAUAAUCCAAAUUUAUAUAUAUAUAUAUAUAUAUAUACAGUCCGUUUCAGAUACGGACGUCCACACUGCUUUACGGUGCGGAUUUCCCUCCGUUCGCCACCGUACGGCGCCGGCGAGGGCACGCCUCCACCCCAGCGGACUCCAGCAGCUUCCCCGACCUCUUUCCAUCCCCGGCGAGUCCGUCGAAUUCCAGUUUUCCGGCCCGAUUGACUUUGUUUGAAGUUUUGGGUGAUCUGGCCGGAAAACUGGAAUUCGGCGGACUCGCCGGAGAUGAAAAGAGGUCGGGGAAGCUGCUGGAGUCCGCUAGGGUGGAGGCGCGCCCUCGCUGGUGCUCGCCGGUGCCGUACGGUGGCGAAAGGAGGGACAUCCGCACUGUGCGGCCUGAUAACGUCUGUGUGUAUAUAUAUAUAUAUUACAUUUUUGAAUACACUUGUCAUUAAGAACAGUUACUAAAAGCAGGAAAGAUAUAAUACUUGGUCACCCAGCACAGAAUUAAAAUUAGAACAUGCCAUGGUACUACUGUAAUGUGUAUGACAACAAGCAAUGAGGGCACAUAGAACCAUAACAAACAAACAUCACUGUAAAUUUGACUCUUAGUCAGAGAAAUAGUAGUUUAUUUUAUUGCUGAAACUUAAGAUUGAACUUAAUCUAUAGAAUACCAAUUAAAAGAAGCAAAAGGAGAACAGAGCAAUUAACUCAGAGGCAUUUCAUCAAUUGAAGAGACAGUACAUCAGUCAGCUACUACAAAAAAAAAAAAAAAAAAAAAAAAGGACUUUUCUGAAAAUAUUUCUUUAAAUGUAAGAAUGUACAAUUUAAGGAAAUACCCAAUUUAAAGAAGCAUGACAAAGUAACAGACCCCCAGAUGCAUUCAUAUUACAGCUCAAUUUCCACGCUUACAAGAUCCAUGAAUCCUGAUAUUGUAUAUGUACUUGCUUGGAUGAAAUCCUGUAUCCCGCAUCUCCUUGCAAAUGAUCCUGGCCCGGCCAAAAUUUCCACUCUUACAAAACUUAUGAAUCAUGGUAUUGUAAAUGUGCUCGCUUGGAUGAAAUCCCUUAGCAGCCAUCUUCUUGCACAAGAUCCAGGCCUGUUCUAAAUUUCCACUCUUACAAAACCCAUGAAUCACGGAAUCAUAAGUGUUCUUGCUUAUAAUCUAAAUUUCCACUCUUACAAAACCCAUGAAUCACGGAAUCAUAAGUGUACUUGCUUGGAUGAAAUCCCUUAUCCCACAUCUCCUUGCAAAUGAUCCUGGCCUGGUCCAUAUUUCCACUCUUACAAAACGCUUGAAUCAUGGUAUUGUAAAUGUACUCACUCAGAUGAAAUCCCUUAUCACCCAUCCUCUUGCACAACAUCCAGGCCUGUUCCAAAUUUCCACUCACAACAAGCCCAUAAAUCAUGGUAUCGUAAAUCUACUUUGGUGGACGAAAUCCCUUACCACCCAUCUCCUUGCACAAGAUCCAGGCCUGUUCUAACUCUCCACUCUGAUUAAACCCAUGAAUCAUGGUAUUGUACGUGUACUCGUUUGGACAAAAUCCCUUAUCUAUCAUCUCAAACCAUAGCUUCCUAGCUUCUCCUAUUGAACCCAUGGUACAAAGACCAUGAAUCAUGGUUGUGUACAUGACAAAAUCAGGAGCAUAGCCUCUAUCCUUAAGGUCAUUAAAAAUCCGAAAACCCUCAGCCAGCUUUUCAUUCUUGCACAACCAAUUGAUUACCCCCAGAUAUGUAUAAUUAUCGGGGGCACAUUUCACCUCUAUCAUUGCAUGGAGGAGUUCAGACACUUUAUCAUAUUCCUUCUCUUUACACAACUCAGAUAUCAACCUAUCGAAAACAGCUUUUCCAGGGACUACUCCAUCUCCAAGAACCUGACUAAGAAGUCCAUAACCUUUCAAUACCUCGUUAUCAUCACAAUAUCCUCGAACCAGACACUCAACAGUCUCAACAUCAGCUGCAACACCAUACUCCAUCAUUUCUUGGUACAACUUCCAAACCAUAUCCGUCCUCCUAGCCUUAAUGCACCCCGACAAAGCCGCAUUCCAAGUACCAAUCCCCGGGCACACUCCAGCCUCUUUUAACCUCUUAAACACACUACUAGCUUCCUUAACCCUCCCAGCCUCCCAAAGACACCGAGCAUAACUCUCCAACAAAACCGGCUCGGGGCUAAAACCCGUAUGCUUAAUAAAAGACUUGGCUGCACUGCAGGCAUUGCCCUCCACAAGAGCACCGAAAACCGCAUUACACGAAAUGGGGUCAGGCGAAAAACCUUCUCGAGUUCCCAACCACAAGAAGAACCGAACCGAUAGGAAGACAUUGCUCUGCUGCUUCACAACCUCACGGAUAAACAGAGGAUCAGAGAAAUUCGAAGAUGGGUACUCGGAGGACAGAGUGUUCUCCCAUCUGGGUUUGGUUCUAAUAACAUGACAAAUCUGUUGGGCAACUUGUGUGAGAUCAGAACAAUCUUUGGUUUCUACGGAAAGGUGUCGGAUUUGGGUGUCGGGUUUUUGGCGAGCAUGUGGGUUUUGGCGGAGGAAUGUUAAGAUUGAAGAUGAGGCUCUGGCCAUUUGAACUAAUGGUCAAGUCUAGCUAUAGCUCAGAGUUAUUGAAUAAAUGGUGGAAAGAAAGAGGUUAGAGUUUGAAGUUUACUCACAGUUAAUUGGGGUGUGAGCUCUGGCGAGAAUCGAAUCGGAAAGUGAGUUCUGAAUCGGGCUUCUCUGCUCCUCCGACGACACUGACAUUUUGGGUUUGAGUUGGGUUCGAGUUGGGUUCAGUGGUCGUUUCGGCGAGGAGUUGUCGUUGUUGGAUUCUUUACGGCGAGGGUGUGUUUCUGUUUUUCCAUGGGUCUAUUCCAUUUUCUUUUUAGGUUGUUUAGGAUUAUUUCGCAAAAUUACCUUCUUUUCUUUUCUAUCACCCUAAAAACAAAAAACCUAAUAGAGUUGGUACUGUAGAAGCAAGUUAGGCCGCAAGUAAGACGGACGAUACAAGUGUUAGUCUAGUAAUAAAAAAUACUUGUGAAAAUAUCCUUUGAGGGGCCAUAUAUCUAAAAUUGCUCCCGAUUGUAAAAUAAUAGCUCAACCGACGUACUAAAUAUCUACAAUAGUUCACGUAGACUAUGUGAAAAUUAUCAAAAUUUAAUAACAUCUUAUAAUUUCCAUACAAGCCAGAACAAUCAAGAUUCACUAUUGCAAAGAUUAAUUUUCACACAUAAUCUAACUGAAGAAAAAAUGACUAAUAAGAAACAAUCUAGAUACAUAAAUUCCAUCGAUACAAAUAUUUGUAAUUUUCCAAUCAAAAAAAAAUACUUGUAAUUUUUCUUAGCCUAAAUAUCCUAUGAGGAUAUAUCUCUACAUUUUCAACAUUUUCUCAUUGUUUUUGAGUUUUGAUCAAAUCAUUUUCUCAUAUUUAAGGAAAUGAAAACUGAUAGAUCCACAUUUUAUCUUUUUUUUUCAUAUAUAAAAUAGAAUAAUUAAUAUUUAUUGAUAAAAAAAAAAGAAUAAUUAAUAUCUAAAAUGAGAUAAUGGAUGACAACAAAAAAUCACAAACAACAAACAGAUUAUAAAAAAAAAAAUUGAUGAUGAUGAUGUCAGUGUGUACCCUAAUGGGAUCAAAUUACAAUCAAUAUGGGUCAACCUCAAAUUGAACAGCAGCAUAAAGAAGAGAGCAGAGCCAAAUAGGAAACACAGCGGUGAUACAAGAUAGCAGCAUCCAAAAUCAAAUCUUUUUGAUUUCGUCAUUCUCAUUAGUCAGAUCAGAUUUCUAUCCCCAGUGAUUUCCCGCCAAAAAUGUGAUCGAAAUCCCCCAAAUAGGGCCGUGUAAGCUUCUGAAUCAUCACCAUCAGCCGCCAUGGAAUCCAGCUCCACCCACUUCACAGAUAUGAGAAGGUGAAUUAAGAAUACCCACUAAGUUAAAUUGAUUGUUGAGUUUUAAUUUGUUAGUUUUCAAUCAAUUAUCAAUCUUUGUAAGCUUUGGUUGAGCAUUUUGUGAAUUCUGCUUUCUGGGUUUUGUUCUAUAUUUAAUACUAUGCUGCUAUGCCAUGGUGUUUGGUUGCUGAGAAAAUGGAGGAACAAUAUGACAGAUUGAUAUGGAGGAACAAUAUCACUGUUGUUAGUUGUUAAGUUUGCUUUGCAUGAGUUGUGAAUGUUGUCUCGGAGUGUUAACUAGAUGGUUGUUAUGGUUGAAGUGAUUUCAUGUCAUUUUUGUUUUGUGUGGACACAGCUCGGAUACUGACUCUAAGAUUGAAGAAUGCGUGAACAACGCAUACCCUCUAAGAAUGUUGAUGCCUGUGAUGAACAAUGCUAGCACAAAUGAUGAAGGAGAGUCGAUUCUUGAACCAUAUGUGGGGUUAGCAUUUGAUUCAGCAGACGGUGCGCGCGAAUUUUAUACUCUUUAUGCAGCAAGAAUGGGAUUUAAAGUUCGGAUUGGUCAGUUGUAUCGGUCAAGAACUGAUGGUUCGGUAUCUGCUCGGAGAUUUGUUUGCUCCAAGGAGGGAUUUCAGACCAGUACACGGACAGGCUGUGCAGCAUUGAUAAGGGUGCAGAGACGGGAUUCUGGGAAGUGGGUUGUAGACCUUUUCCUGAAGAAUCAUAAUCAUGAUCUUGGACCUACAGAGGGAAACCAUUCUCUAAUUUUGCAACAGAAGAUUCUAACUGCUAAACCUGUUGAAGUGGUCCAUAGGCCAAAAUGCAAGUUGAUUGAGGAAGUUGAGGAUGGGCGACCUUGCCCAUCUGGUGUAAUUACUGCCAAACGUUCUAAACUGAAUGGGGAUGAAAUGCAGUGUGAAGUUGAACCAUCUUCAGGUCUAAAGUUCAAUUCAGCCAACGAAGCAUAUCAAUAUUAUCAUGCAUAUGCAGAAAGAACCGGAUUUAGGAUCAGGAUUGGUCAACUGUUUCGUUCAAAGCAUGAUGGUUCAAUUUCUUCCCGACGUUUUGUAUGCUCAAGGGAAGGUUUUCAGCACCCAUCAAGAGUUGGAUGUGGAGCUUUUAUGAGGAUUAAGAGACAAGAAUCUGGAAGGUGGGUAGUGGAUCGUCUUGAAAAACAUCAUAACCAUGAGCUUGAGUCUCAACAGGAAGUUCAAAAGAAAAAUCUUUCUGUUUCAAAAAAGUUCAUAGAGGAGGAGAAUGGUGGGCUGGAUGAUGAAGAUAUUGUUGACAUAAACAUUGGGAACCUUGUCAAAAAACGUCGAGAAAACCACAAGACGAUCCAUGAGCUUGAGUCUCAACAGGAAGUUCAAAAGAAAAAUCUUUCUGUUUCAAAAAAGUUCAUUUGGGAGGAGAAUGGUGGGCUGGAUGAUGAAGAUAUUGUUGAAAUAAACAGUGGGAACCUUGUCAAAAAACGUCGAGAAAACCACAUUGGAAGUGAUUGGUACAGUGUGCUUUUUGACUAUUUUCAAACUAAACAGGCUGAAGAUACAGGAUUCUUUUAUGCAGUAGAAGAUGAUUAUGGUACCUGCAUGAGUAUUUUCUGGGCUGAUGGGAGGUCUAGAUUUUCAUGCUCUCAAUUUGGGGAUGCCAUAAUUUUUGACACCUCAUAUCGUAAAGGUAUGUAUCUGGUUCCAUUUGCCACUUUCAUUGGAAUCAACCACAAUAGGCAACCGGUGCUUCUUGGCUGUGCCCUACUUGCUGAUGAAUCUGAAAAGUCUUUUACUUGGUUGUUUCAAACAUGGCUUAGAGCAAUGUCAGGACACCGUCCUUGGUCAAUAAUAGCUGAUCAAGAUGAUAUUAUCCAGCAAGCCAUCAUCAAUGUGUUUCCAGGAACCCAUCAUCGAUUUUCCAUGUGGCAGAUGAAGGCAAAACAAUAUGAGCAUCUAAGUUCGGUGCACAGUUCUUUUCAAUUUGAAUAUGAAAAAUGCAUCAAUCAGUCUCAAACAACUGAUGAAUUUGAAACGGCAUGGAAUUCACUCCUCUGCAGGUAUGGGUUGAAGGAUAAUACUUGGCUGAAAGCCAUGUACGAAAAGCGCCAAUGUUGGGUCCCAUUAUACUUAAGAGCUACAUUCUUUGCUGGCAUCCCCUUGAGUGGAAAUAUAGAAUCAUUCUUUGGUACACUUGUGAAUGGCCAAACACCACUUGUGGAGUUUGUUCCACUUUAUGAAAAGGGUCUUGAACGACGUCGUGAAGAAGAAUUAAAAGAGAAUUUUAACUGUUCCAUCUUGAAUGCCUACUUGCAGACAAAAGAACCAGUAGAAGAACAAUGCAGAAGGCUGUAUACACUGAGCGUCUUCAGGAUAUUUCAGAAAGAACUUCUACAAUCCUAUAGUUAUCUAGGAUUUAAGGUUUAUGAAGAAGCGGCUAUCGUAAGGUAUUUGGUCCGCAAAUGUGGGAAUGACGAUGAUGACAAAUCCACAGUCACCAUUGGUACAUCCAAUCACAAUGUGCGGUGCAGCUGUCAAAUGUUUGAAUUUGAAGGUGUACUCUGUCGACAUGUGCUGAGAGUUUUCCAAAUAUUAGAGAUAAAGGAAGUUCCAUCUCGCUAUAUCUUACGCCGCUGGAGGAAAAAUGCUGAAUAUGGUCUGCCUCUUUAUUCUGAAUCAGGUGGCAGCCCUCAAGAAGUUAAUGCCUCAAUGGUAUGGAGUUUGAGGGAAGAAGCCUGUAAAUACAUAGAUGCUGGGGCGACAUCUCUUGAGAAGCACAAAGUUGCCUAUGAAAUUUUGCAUGAAGGUAGAUUAAGGCUUGGUGGCCCCCCAAGGUAGGUGUUUGAAAACAAAGGUCAGUCAGUCCUAUUGAUAAAUUUUGUAGUGCUUCUUUGAUUUAUUAUUUUAUUCAGUUGGUCUCUGUUGUGUGAUGAAAGACUGUUGAGCCUUGGGUAAUCUUACAUGAUAUCAGAACAAUGUAAAUAUUGUAUUAUGCAAAUCACUUUUUUCUUUUUUGUCAAGUAAUCUAAUCCUAUAACAGUCAUUGUGAACGGGCUGGAGACAGUAAUUUUGCAAUUGCCAAGUUGGAUUAUGUAUCUUGUUUUGGUGCUUAGUUUUUAGUUUUCUUCAAACAAAGUUUAACAUUUUAUAAACUUCUUUAUCAGCAAGAGAGUGAGGAAAAGGGAGAAGAAAAAGAAAAAAAGAAAAAUAGGAUGGGAGAUAGAGAGAGAAAGGAGAAUAAAAAUGAAAGGCCAUUACUACAAGUUUGGCCAAUUGAAGAUAAAACACUGACAAAAAGAUCUUGCAAUGUUUCUAAUUAAGAAUAGAAGCUUGGGAAGUUAGGGCUUUGAAGAAAGUAAUAGUUUACAUGAAUAGAGAAGAAGAGGCUUGCAUUUGAGGAGUGAAGAUGGUGACAAGUAAUGCUCAGAGGGAGAAGUGAUAUAUGCUGGGCUGUGGUUUUGCAGUUUCUGCUUGGAUGACUGCAAAAGUAUCGUCCAGGUGGAUACUCUAUUACACAACUCCAGACAUGAGUGCUCGCUUGUAUAUUGAUUUCAUAAACUCUGAUACUGCUUUACUUCUUUCUAGUAGGUUUCAUAUCUGUGCCAUUUCUGAUGCUUGUGCUUAUUUAUGGAUUGUACUGUAUGUGCUUUAUUUAGAAUUGUUAACACUGAUUAAAAUGUUGAGAUUUCUUUUUAUUGAAAUUUUUAUAUUUAGAUGCGAAUUCUAUCAAAAAACAAACUAUCUUGCACACUAGUGUGAAUGUUUAAUGAAAUGGAUCUUAGAAUCUCUUUCUUUCUUUAUCUGUUAUCUUCCUCUUGUGCUUGUUUGAAUUGAACCGACAGUCCUUAUAUUAAGUUUAAUGUUGGGUUUCAUGAACUUUAGAUAACCCUUCCUUUAUGCAACCCUGUAUGCAGCUGACUCGUGUAUCAAGUCUCAACAAUCUCAAUGAUCAAGUACUUCAUGAGGAUUGAUGUGUCUUGCUGUUCUACUCAGGUUUUGAUUUAAGUACUUUCUUGGGGUUGUCUAGUGUAUUCAAUGACUUUUGGUAAAUUAUACAACUAUGAAUCUAAUAUGGAACCAGGGCGUUAUCAGAUUCCACAUCUUGCACUGUCAGCUUCUCAUUCUCUGAAGACAUGAUGAUGCAAUCCAGCAAAAGAAAAAGUUAUAUUUGAUCUUCCUUGACUCAUAAAUCAAAUUUACCAGGGGGAUAUAGCAGACAUACUUUCUUUUGCUUAUUUGCAUUAUCCAUAUUGACCAGACAAUGAGAAACCUGAAAUUCAAAGAUGUGGGCAGCUUAUUUUGGUUUUCUUUGAUAGAAGUUUAUACUAUUGCUGUUCAGUGACCUAGAGAUUAGUUUAUUGUCUUUUCAUGACUAUAGACUAGCAAAUCUAGUAGAAGCUACCACCCAAAACCAUUAAAUUGUUGUCAAGCAUAUGUUGCUUUCUCUUUGUGAAUUUGUUUCUAUUUAGAAACGGACAGAAUUUCAGAGUAUUACAGACCCAAGUAAAACAUCUGUAGUAAUGGACACUGAAGGCAUCCUUUCAAAGCUUGAAAUUUUUAGCCGGCUUCUUAACAAGCUCAUAUUCUUCUGAGUCUGAUCAUGUAAAUGUAGUGCUAGUAAUUUUAAAUAACUAACAAGGCAGUCUCAUCCUAACUUCCUAAGUUUAAAUGUGUGUCAUAUGUCAUUAUGAGGUGACACUGCAAUUCACUGUUUUAGCUCUUGUCCUUUCACCUAUUGAUCUCUAUGCUUAACUGACCUUGGAUAUAGCCCUUUAGGUAAACAAAGUCACGCUCAAACGAUGAUAAGUUGUUCACUGGGUUUGGUUUUAUGAGAACAUACGUUCAAUUCUAAACCAAAUGAACUUGUUUUUUUCUUUAGGUCCGAGUGAUGAACAAUCUCGGUUUUGAAGACAUUCUCUUAUGGUGUUUUGAUAUUUGUUCCCCUCCCUCCAUACUUUCGAUUUUCAAAGCUUUGUUUUACUUUUUUGCACUUUUGCUUCUAGUUACUUAAUAUAGGCCCUUAAAUUAGGCUCUAGGUAUUGGUAAUUGUUGCCUUAUUGCUUGAUAGGAAUUACAUGAAUAUGCAUAUCGAGUGUCAAGCAUGUGCAAUAGAUUCUGUCAUAGUGAUUAGUACAGGAAAAUGCAACUUUGCAGAAAUCCUGGGCGAAAUUGCUGAAGACCACUUUUGAACCUAGCUUAUUGCGUUUAUGGAUGCUGCAAAGUUUACUGGUUCAUCUGUGUCACCAGAUUCCAGAUUGCCCGACAUAAAUGCUCACUUGUAUAUUGAUUUCAUAAACUCUUAUACUGCUUUACUUCUUCCUAUUUGGCUUCUUAUCUGUUCCUUUUUCUGAUGCUUGUACUCAAUUAUGAAUUUAGUUGGAUAUGCUUUCUUUAGAAGUGUUAAAAUGACUAAAACAUUCAGAUUUCCUUAUAUUUCACCUUUAUAUUUAGAAGUGGGUUCUAUUUAAAAACAAAAUAGGAACUAUUAUGUGCGCUGAGAUGCAUAUGACUACCUUGCUGCACGCUAGUGUGAAUGUGUGAUGAAGUUGGUCUUAGUCUCUUUCUUUCUUUAUCUGUUAUCCUUCUCUUAUACUUGUUUGAACCGACAGUUCUUAUAUUCAGUUAAAUGUUGGAUUUAAUGAACUUCAGAUAACCCUUCCCUUAUGCAACACUGUAUGCAGCUGACUCUUGUACCAAGUUUCUCAACAAUCUGUAUGAUCAAGUAAUUUAUGAGGAUUGAUGUGUCUUGCUGUUCUACUCAGGUUUUGAUUUGAGUACUUUCUUGGGGUUUUCUAGUGUAUUCAAUGACUGUCGGUAAUUCAGUAUAUUUUCCCUCAAAGUUGUGAUUACAUCGGGCUAUAAUCUGGCCGUGGAGUACUAGUAAGCAAGUAGUAAGGUGCAUUUGAGAGCGAUCACUGACCCUCCUCAGGCGAAAUGGCAGCCUCCGCCAUGUGGUACUGCCGAUGUGUGCUGUGAUGCUUCAUGGACAAAGCUGGGGCCCUGUGGAUUAGGGGUAGUUUUCAGAUCGGAUGGUGGUGAGCUUCUGGAUUGUGUUUCGAAAGAUUGUUGCUGCGGGUCUUCUUCUUUAGCUCAAGCUCAAGCUCUCUUGCUGGGAGUGGAAAGAGCGACUGAUCUAGGCUUGAGAAAUAUCCUUCUACGCUCUGACGCUUUGGAGGUCAUCUCCAACAUUCAAGAUUUCCCUGCAUGCAACGAUUGGAGAAUAUUUCCUAUCAUUUCUGAGAUUAGGAAAAGGAGUCGGUUUUAAUUCUGUCACCUGGGAUUGGAUUUUCCCCGUAAAGCGAAUCAAGCCGCUCAUGUCGCGGCUUCGCUUGCCAAGUCGAGGUUGGGUCUUCACAGAUGGGCUUCAGUGCCUCCACCCUCUCUAUCUCUUGUUCUUCAUAACGACGGUCUGCCUUGCCCGCCGUAGUCGGAAAGUGGAAACGGGAGUGGCGUAAUUGCUGCUUCCUUUUUUUGCUGAGGUGUUUCUGUCUAGUGCUAGUUGUUUGUAUGAAUUAGCAGAUAGAACUUCUCUUAUGUAUUACAGUUUCGAGCCUGGUGCGCUUUAGCUGUUUGCCUCCUUAAAUGAAUUCAUCAUUAUCCAAAAAAAUGAAUCUAUUAUGGAGCCAAUGCAUUACCAGAUUCCAUAUCUUGGAGAAAUUUUUAAAUGCUACGGGAGGACCACGUGGCAGUCUGAUGUGGUCCUACGUUUCAAUCAAAUUUAGAUAUGUGGAUUUUUUACAACUAAAAUAUAAACAAAUAUUUUCUAUUUUUUGUGAAAUGACAUUCAUGGGUAUUUAGCAAGUUCAAACUAGGGUCUAGGGUAUAAGGUUUAAAGUUUAGGGUUAGGGUUUAGGGUUUAGGGUUUAGGGUAUAGGGUAUAGGGUUUAGGGUUUGGGGUUUAGGGCUUAGGGUUUAGUAUUAAAAAACAACAGAAAACCUAAAAUGGUCUUUGACAAAAUAGCUGAAAUAAUUUUUCGUGAAGAAAAUCUACAUGUCUAAAUUUGAUUGGAAAGUAGAACCACGUCAGAUUGCCACGUGGUCCUCCCGUAGCACUGAAAAAUUUCUCCGCAUCUUGAACUGUCAGCUGCUCAUUCUAGGCAUUGAUAAUGCAAUGAUUGCAAUCCAGCAAAAGAUAAUUUAUAUUUGAUUGCUUGACUUAGAAAUCAAAUUUACCUUGUGAUACAGCAGACAAACUUUCUUUAAUUUGCAUAUUUGCAUAAUCAGACAAUCAGAAACAUGAAUUUCCCAGUUUGGUUUUUUAUUAGUAAUUCUAAAUAACUAACAAGAUAGAACUCACUCUCAUGCUAACGUCCCAAGUUCAAAUUUGUAUCAUAUGUCAUUAUUGCAAAUCACCGUUUGUCCUUUCACCUAUUGAUCUUUAUGCUUGAUUGACCUUGGAGGUGUAGCCCUCUAGGUUAACAAACAAUGACAAUUCACUAGGUUUGGUUUUACAAGGAUAUAUAUGUUCAAAUUACAAACAAAAUGAGCUAACCUUAACCGACGUUUUUCUCUUCGAGGUCUGAGUGAUGAACAAUCUUCGCUUUGAAGACAUUCAAUUCAUUACUUUUCCUAGCUUAUCAUGAAUUAACUAAAGCGGCCAUCUUUAUUUAUAUAAAGUAAAAAGAUCGUAAACCUACGUACUCUACAAUGCAAUGCAAAUAAACGUACCAUAAAUAACUCAUGCGUACGUAUUCUUUUCUUUCACUAAUCAUUAAUUUAAUCGAUGUAAAUAAUUCAAUGUAUCAUUUCACACAAAAAAUCAAUUCAAUGUAUUUUUUUCCCAAUAACAACAAUUCUAUGUUUCUCUGGCCAGGAAAAUAGCAUCCUUUUCUGCCAAGAUACAAUUCCUUUUAUGGAUUUCUCAAUUUAUGUUGACCCUCACGUCUUCACUCCGAAUUCCCUAUAAAUUGAUCUCUAUGCCAAAAUUAAAGUGCGCGACUGAAACCCUAAUAAGGGUUACAUCAUAUAUAUCCAAAUUAUCCUCAUCAUCCUUUUCCCUAAACCCUUUCACAACCAUCAUCGAUCUAUAAUGGUUAAGAUAAAGAUGGUGGUGAUAGUAUCAGAGAGCCUCAAAAGCCCUCAUAUUAUCGAAUCUAUGAUUUACCAAAGGUACAUAGGUUAUGGAUUCAAAUCCCUAGCACAAAUUAGUGUGCUAUUGUAGAACCAAUAUUUUGUACCAUUCAUGUAAGCCUCGUCCUUCUCACCCGAAAAUCAGUGUACGUGACCAACUACGUACCCAACACAUACCGUUUUCUUUAAAAUUUUCAUCCAAUUCUCUAAGUUGUAUUGGGAACUAGAAACUGGCUACUACCAACGAAAACCUAGACAAGAAGUUGAUAUUAACAGGACGAUGCACAUACCAUUCACGGAUCAAUGAUUUACCAGACGCGGACAUCUUACCGGAGGAAAUGAAUUUAAUUUAGAUUUUAGUUAUAGCUGUAUGGAUACUUAGUGACUUAUUGUUGAUUCCUGAGCUAUAAAUAUGUUGUUGUUGAAGGCUCAUUUGGUUAAUUAUAUAUAAGUUUGUGAUUAUUGUGUGAUCAAUCGAUGAAUUACAAUAUUUCUUUCUUCACCGGCAUUGUUCACGCAUCAUUUUCCUUCUCUUGAGUAUUUCAGUGAGCUAAUAUUUGUUCAAGCCAAUGCACAAAUCUUUUAUAUUAGCUUUUAUAGAUCAGAGAAGGAACAUGGACACAAACUUGAUGCACUACUAAACAUUCACAAACUUGACUAUGAAUCUUAUAUGGAACAAAGGCAUUAUCAGAUUCCACAUCUUGACUUGUCAGUUUCUCAUUCUCUCAAGGCAUUGAUAAUGCAAUCUAGCAAAAAAAAAGUUAUAUUUGAUUCUUACUCAAAAAUCAAACCUACCUUUUGAUGUAGCAGAUAAAUUUUGUUUUGCUUAUUUGCAUCAUCCAUAUUGAUCAGACAAUGAGAAACUUGAAUUUAUGUUUGGUUUAUUUUGAUUUAAAGAUGUGAGAAGCUUAUUUAUACCCAUAUUUGUGUAGAAACAUGCUGGUAAAGAGAAAAAAAUAUCACCAUGGCAACCCAACCCGACCAUUUCCUCCACCUUUAACAAGUCCAUGGGAUGAACUUUAUGAAAUUAUCAACUAGCUGCACAGGAUAUUGGAUCAACAUGUUUCAAGAUCAAGUUCGUCUGCACAAAACCUUGUGGUCUAUGAGUAGUUGACUAUACAAAGCUAUGAUCUACUAGUUUUUUUAAUACUCACUAUACCCGUAGUAAUCCGCUUUUUAUAGUUGUGAGAGUUUGAUCAUGUAAAAGAUAUUAGUAAUUCUAAAUAACUAACAAGGCAGAGCUCACUCUCAUCCUAACUUUCUAAGUUCAAUUUGUGUCAUAUGUGGUUAUGAAGAGACACACUACAAAUCAUCGUGUCUUGUCUUGUUCUUUCACUCUGUUGAUCUCUAUACAUGAUUGACCUUGGAUGUAAUCCUCUAGAUUAACAAAGUCACGCUCAAACAAAACGUAGUUCACUCGGUUUGGUUUCACGAAGAUAUAUGUUCAAAUUCUAAACCAAUUUAUCUGACGUUUUUUCUCUUUUAGGUAGUGAUGAACGAUCAAUCCAUGCCUUGAAGAAAAUCUAUUCAUAUUUUUCCCUGGUUUAUCCUGAAAUUACUAAAUCAAGAAUUUUUCUUAUAUAAAGCAAAGAUCGUAAAGUUACGUGCUGUAUAACUCAUUCCACAUUAAUGUACCAUAGAUACACGUAUGUAUUAUUUUGUUCUGUUAAUCAUUAAAUAUAAAGAAAAAACUUCCAUCCAAACUAGGUUGGAUGCUCGCAUCUGAACAACAUAUAUAUUUGCAUAUGUUUGGCAAUAUAAAUUCAUGAUCUAGUCGUCCAACCUUCAAUAAUCAUCUUAGCAAAAAGAAUUAAAGAGAACAGAUUUUGUUUACUUGAUCAGUAACAUCAAACUAAUGUAUGGUUGGCCAUGACACUGCUAACUCUCACUAGAACUGUUCGUUUGAUCACUUUGAUGCUAUUGAAUAAGAAAGCGAUUUCUAUUUUCUUUGAUUUUUGGCCGAUGAUCUUUAAAUGUUGACUUAAUGUAUGAAUGGUUAGAUCAUGGAUUUACAUUGCCUAACAAAUGCAAAUAACAUAAAGUUUGAAUGAAAGCAUCCAAACUAGUUUAAAUGCAUGUAUUUUCCGAAAAUAAUUCAAUGUACGUACUAUAUCACUUCAAAAACAAAAAGACAAUUUAAUGUAUUCUUUUCUCAAUAAUUCUAUUUUCAUCUAUGGGCUGUGGCCAAGAAAAUAAACUCCCUUUAAUUUCUAGAGAAAAUAAAAUUCCUUUUCUGGAUUCUCAAUUUAUGUUGAGACAACUAUUGCUUCCAGAACCUCUCAUCUUCACUCCCAAUUUCCUAUAAAACACGCGCUCCCUAUGCCAACACUAAAGUCUACGACUAAAACCCUAACAAGGGUUACAUCAUAUAUAUCAAGAUUAUCCUCAUCAUCAUCUUUUUCUAUAAACACUUUCAUAACCAUCAUCGAUCCAAAAUGGUGAAGAUGAAGAUGGUGGUGGUGAUAGUACCUGAGAGCCUCACAUAAGCCUCGUUUUAUCGAAUCUAUGAUUUACCAAAAGUGCAAAGGUCGUUCUGGAUUCAAAUCAAUAGCACAAAUCAAUGUGCUAUUGCAGAACCAAUAUACUGCACCAUUCAAGUAAGCCCUCGUCAUUCGCAGACGAUUCGCCUCCACAACCCAGUGUGAGAAACUUCCCAGCCCUGAUCUUUUAUUUUCAGAAUUUCUCUCAGUUGUAUUGAAAACUGGAUUCUGACUGCUAAGAGUUGAACACCAAUGAGGACCUAGACAUGGAGCUGAUAUUAACUGGAAGCUGCACAUACCAUUCAUGCAGCGAAUCAAUGAUUUACCAGACAAUGAAUAUCUUACCGGAGGAAGAAUAAAUUUAGUUUAGAUAUUAGUUAUAGUUGAGUCACUUGAGUGGUUAGCUUUGUGACAUAUUGCUGAGCUAUAUAUAAAUUUUUUGUUGUUGAAGGCUAAUUUGGUUAAUUAUAUGUAAGUAUGUGACUAUAUCAUGUUAUGCAUCAUUGAAUUAUAAUUUUUAUUUCUUCACCGACAUUGUUCACACAGCAUCUUCCUUCUCUUGAGUAUAUCAAUUUUGUCGAUAUUUGUUCAAGCAACAUACAUAUCUUUUUGUGUUAGUUUUUUUUCAAUAUAAGAGGAUAAAUAUGUACACAACCUUGAAGAAUGAUGCACUGACCAUUCACAUAUAGCCUCAUUUAUGCUAAGUAGUAGUAUAUAUAUUUCUCUUGCUUUUGAUUAGUUGGAAAAAAUGAAAAGUAACAUUAUCUAGUCUCUACCCAUGGAUUUAUUGUGAUAUCUACGAAAGAAUUGCUAUCUUAAAUUCUUAAUUCCAAGUGGAUGAUCUCUUGAGCGCUUAAUGUACUUCUACCUGUUUGCUUUAGAAUCAUGAAAUUGCAAUGCAAAGCAUGAGACAAGUUAAGCUAUCAAAUGAAUGAAUAUUCUCAUAAAAAGGGAUUCUUUAUUUUUAUUGAAUGGUGAGUUGGUUUUCAUUGUGUAUUUCUGACAAGAAAAGCUUGGCAUCUGCAAGAACCGAUUUCUUUGCAUCGAUCUGUUGUCAGUACAUAGUAAAUCGAUUUCCUUUUCUGUACUGUGUUUCGGUGUGUGUGUGUGUACACAUACACCAAUGUUUUCACAGGCGCAUAUAGUCCACUCGAUUUGGUUUCACGAGGAUAUAUGUUCAAAUUCUAAACAAAAUUUAAGUGACAUUUAAUCUCUUAUAGGUUUGGGUGAUAAACGAACUCCGCCUUGAAGAAAUUCUAUUCAUAUGUUUCCUUUGUUUAUCUUGAAAUUACUUAAUCGGGAAUAUAGUCCACUUGAUUUGUGAGAGGAUUUAUUUUCAAAACUCUAAACCAAAUUUAUGUGACGCUUUUUCUCUUCUAGGUUUGGGUGAUGAACGAUCUUCGUCAUGAAGAAAUCCUAUUUGUAUGUUUCCCUCGUUUAUCCUGAAAUUACUUCUUCUUUUUUUGAAUCAGAGACGAAAAUUUAUUGCAGAACGACUAAGGAUUACAAAGAGAAGCAAUUACGUCUCCUAACUCAGUUGGAACAAAACCAAACCAACGAAAAGAAAACCCCAAACGAAGAGCCAAUUUUGCUAGCUUAUUAGUAGCAGAGUUGGUUUCCCUAAAAAUAUGUGAAAAGAAAGAACAAGGCAUAACAGAAAGCUCAUCCUUAAUAUCCCGACUACCUGACCAAAGGUCGAGUCAUCCUCCAUACUAGAUGAACAAGUCUUGACCAACUUCAAACAAUCAGACUCGAAAAUAACAGGAGAAAGGUUAAACUCAGCAGUGAGUUCACAUGCUGCUCUUCCUGUUAGAACUUCAACAGUAUCCGGCGAAGCUACAUUGUCCACUUUCAUACAGAUACCUCCCACUACAUGUCCAUCUGAGUCCCUUAACAGGACACCGAUCCCUCCUUGUUUCAUUUCAGCUUGAAAAGCUCCAUUAAUAUUAGCUUUAAGCCAUCCCACUGGAGGAGGAGUCCAAGGUUUAAACACUCGUCUCCUACACACCCUCUUCUACCUAACCGAGUACAACAAAAGAAUAAAAGAACGAACCUGAUAAAACACUUUGUUCAUGUGGUUCACCUUAUUAUCCCACAAUCUGGAGUUUCUUUCCUUCCAUCCAGCCCAAAUCAUAACCAGCAGUAGCUGGAAGUCAUCAACUGGAAGCGACACAGAGCAAGCAAUGAGCCAGUCCGACAUUGAAAUUGGUUGGAAAGCACUUCGAAAUAUUCCAUGCAGCUCUGGGAACAUUUUAGCAAGGUCUCUAAUAAAACAACAAUCUCUACUCACAUACUCACAUGCUCAAUCGAUUCAGUAUCCUCAUUAAAAAAGAAACAACCACCCCCAAUCAUAACCUUCUUAGUUCGAAGCAUAUCAACUGUGGGUAGAAUUAAAGAACAAACUCGCCAUAUAUGAACUUUAAUUUUACCUGAAACACCCAAGUGCCACAACUUCUUCCAAAAACAUGUGCUCACCGUCUGGUUCGAAGCCGAAUGGGUAAUUUGAGAUAAUUGGCGAGCUAGUUGGUAUGCAGACUUUGUUGAAAAUCUGCCUCUUGAUUCAAAAUGCCAUAUAAGCUUGUCCUGGGAAUUACGGUGCCGAAGUGGAAUAGAAGCAAUCAUAUUGAGGUCUUCUUCUUCAAAAUGUUCUUCCAAUAAAGGAAUAUCCCAUUUUUUAUCAACAGUAAUAAACUCACUAACCUGAGAAAGGCGAGUACUACGUCUGCUAAGUGGCCCAAAAUCAUGGACUCGAGGUAACCAAGGAUCAUUCCAAGCAUGGACGGUCUACCAUCCCCAAUCUGCCACUGAGUACCAUUUGCAAGAAGAUCACGAGCCUCAAAGAUGCCCUUCCAACACUGAGAUGGAGAUGUCGGGAUGGGAGCUGACUAGAAAUCAUUAUCCGGGAAGUACCUGGCUUUAUAAAGCUGCCUUAGUAAUGAUGAAGGGUUCUUCACUAGUCGCCACCCCUGUUUCGCCAUUAAAGCAAGAUUAUGGGCAUAAAGAUCUCGAAACCCCAUUCCACCCUCCUCCUUAGGUCGACAUAAUUUAUCCCAAGAUAGCCAAAGAAUUUCGAUCAGUUGAGGUACUACCCCACCAAAAUUGGGCACACAUCUGAUAUAAAGAGUGGCAAAAAGAUUUAGGCAGCAAAAAACAAUUCAUUGUGUAAGAGGGCAAUGCCUGCGCUAUAACCCUUAUCAAGAUAUCCUUCCCCGCUCCACUCAAAAGCUUCCCUUGCCAUCCUUCCAGCUUAUUACUUAGCUGUUCUUUAAUAUAAGAGAAGGUUUCGGUCUUAUUCCUUCCCACCACCGUCGGUAACCCUAAAUAUUUUCCAUGCUUCUCAACAAUUCCAACCUCAAGAAUACCAGCCAAUUCAUUGCGAAUUUCAUCAGACACACCCUUUCUAAACACAACAUCACUUUUUGCUAAAUUUACCUGUUGACCAGAAGCUGCUUCAUACUCUGCUAACACUAAUUGAAUAGUAAGACACUCAGCUGAUGAUGCUUUACUGAACAAUAAACUAUCAUCUGCAAACAAUAAAUGAUGAAUGGUAGGAGCACCUGGACAUAUCUGGACACCCUGUAAUAAUCCCAUCGAAGCCUUCUUCUCUAAAAGAGCAGAGAACACUUUGACACAAAGUAGAAAUAAAUAGGGAGAAAGUGGAUCUCCUUGUCUGAGACCCCUUGAUGGUUUCAGAGACCCACAAGGUUUCCCAUUGAUCAAAAAGGAAUAGUUGACGGUGCUCACACAUUGCAUGACUAAUCUGACCUAAUUCACGUUGAACCCAUGCUGAGUAAAACAGCUUCCAGAAAGACCCAUUCCAUUCUAUCAUAUGCUUUACUCAUGUCCAAUUUCAGAGGCAUAACUCCAUCUGACUUAGCUGAAUUAAUAUAAUGGGAAACUUCAUUAGCAAUCAAGGAAUUAUUAGUGAUUAGCCGACCUGGAAUAAAUGCGUUCUGGAUGGGAGAAAUAAUAACUAAGAGGUGCUUCUUCAGCCUAUUAGCGAUCACCUCCGAGCAGAUUUUAUAAAGCACAUUACACAAGAGCUCAGAAACCUUUGCCGGAUUAGGAACCUUCGGAAUAAGACAUAUAUGCGUAUAGUUUACUUGGCGCACUAACUUGCCAGUAUGCAAACAACUUUUCACUGCCAGACAAACCUCAGGUCCAACCACAUCCUAGUACUUCUGAAAAAAUUCUGGAGGCAUACCAUCCGGCCCUGGUGACUUCGUAGGGUACAUUUGGAAAAGACCAGCCCUAAUCUCAUCAUAUGUACACGAUGCACAUAACUCCAAAUUCAUUUCAGUGGGGUUACCUUCGGGUUAAGAAAAUUCACUGAAGCUUGCAUCCGAACAGUAUCUAUGGAAGCUGAAGUGCACAUUGAAUCAAAAUACCUCAAAAUGACAUCUUCCAUACCUUUCGGCGUUGGUUGCCAAACACCAUUGAUAUCAUACAAGCCUCGGAGUCGAUUCUUAGCUCUUCUAUUCGAUGCUUUCUGAUGAAAGUACUUCGUGUUUUUAUCACCUUCUGUAAGCCAAGUAAUCUUAGCCCGCUGCUUCCAGUAAAGUUUCUCCUCCUCCAGUAAACUCUCCAAUUUCCCAGAGAUCACCGAGUGUUCCUCCAAGUAACGAGGAAUGAGUGGCAAAUUCAUUAAUUCCUGCAACCUACCACUCAUCAACUCAAUCUCCUUCUUACGAUUACCAAAAGUGACUCUCUGCCAUGAAUUCAAAGCCAUCCUCGUUGAAGCAAUCUUCGCCAUAGUCUAAAACAUAGGCAACCCCUGCGCCGACGAGGACCAUCCCGAUUAAACCACAUCCCUACAACCAUCAUGCAGCGUCCACGUCGAUUCAAACCUAAAUCGAUACUACACAAACUCUCUGCUUGUGGGAGGAGACUCAUAAACUCCAAGAAGAAUAGGAGUGUGGUCGCCAUGAAUUGGUGGCAAAUGUGUAACCACUGAAGCUGGAAAAAUAUCAAGCCAUGAUGGUGUCGCUACUGCCCUAUCCAGCCUACAGCGCACCUCCCCUCCUUUCCAUGUGAAUGGUGCACCUGUAAAGCCUAAAUCGAUGAGUUCAACAUCGUCCAGAGCAGUUUGAAACUGAUUCAUCUGUGCCCAGCCUCUAGCGACACCACCAUCCUUCUCAAAAUCACUCACAAUCUCGUUAAAAUCACCUAUAAUGAUCAAAGGCAAGUCAGAGUGCUCAGCCAAUUCCUUCAACAAAUCCCAAGACAGAUGACGAUCCCCUGCUGUGGGAUAACCAUAGAACCCGGUAAGGCGCCACUGAAUGCCCGACCGGUCCACCGCAAAAACUUCGACAUCAACGUGGUUCUUUGAUCUCGACAGAAACCGAAUAUCUAACCCAUCUUCCCAGAGGAGGGCCACCCCACCAGACUGUCCUUCACUGAACACCACCUCUCCAUUUCGAAACCCUAGUUGCAGUCGCAAAGCGUUGAGAUAGCUUCGAUCAUGGAUUUUGGUUUCGGAAAGAAAAACUACUGAUGGUUUCUUCUGCCAAAUAAGGGUUUGUAGGGCUUGAACGGCUCGAUCGUUGUUCAUGCCCCGACAAUUCCAAGCCAGGAUCUCCAUAGAUCGAUGGUUGGGGGUGCUAAAACGAGAAACCCUAGCAGAGCAAGGGAGACGCAUUUCUCUCAACUAUAGAGACAUAAUAAAAUGUGCUAUCCUGAAAUUACUUAAUCGAGAAUCUUUUCUUAUAUAAACAAAGAUCAUAAAGUUACGUGCUCUAUAACAUAUUCCACAUUAAUGUAUCAUAACACUGUCCACAUUAAUGUAUCGUAGAUGUACAUAUGUACUUUUUUGUUCCGUUAAUCAUUAACUUAAGACAAAAAUUAGUUCGGGUGCUUGUGUCUUAACUCUAUCAUAUUUGCAUAUGUUUGGGCAGUGGCGGAGCCACAUUGGGCAUAGUGGGUCUCGUGUCCCACUGAAUAUUUCAGAUAAAUAGUGUUUUAGUUACCACAUAUUGCAUAUCCUUCUAGUAGUGCAGCGGUUAGGGUGUUUCUUCCUUAGUUUUCUGUACUUUAUUAUAUAUUAUCAAUCUUUUGAUUCUCUUGGCUUCCUGAAGCAAUUUCUUUAUUUAUAUUCUAAAAUGAUUUAUUAAGAUAGACAUUUUAUUAGUAUAGAUAGAAGAUUGUUCUAAAACGAUUUUAGUAGAUAAAAAUUUUAUAUGGAGAUUUCAUAUAUUUCGAUACUCUCAAUUUUGUACUCUCAAUUUUGUGCUCUAGUAAGCUUCAAAUUCUGGUUCUGCCACUAUGUUGGGGUAAUGUAAAUUCUAAUCAGCUCAGCAACAAAAUAUUAAAGAAAACAAAAAUUGUUUACUCGAUCAAACUAAUGAACAGUUGGUCAUGAGGCUUCUAACUCUCACUAGAACUGUUCGUUUGAUGGUAUAUAUUGAGCAAGAAAUCGAUUUUUAUUUUCUUUGAUAUUUGCUAACGAUCUUUUCAUGUUGACUUAAUGUGUGAACAGUAUCAUGGAUUUACAUUGGCCAACAAAUGCAAAUAAUAAUAAAAAUAAUAAUUUAGAAUCAAGAAGUCAAUCAGAUUUAUAGCUCAGCAAACAGUACAAUGAAUAAAACACCUACGCCACACGCGCUUAACCCUACGCCACACGCGCUUAACCCUAAGACUAUCCCCGUCGAUAUUUCACAUAUUCUCGUCCGGCUGCGCGGCGGCGCUCACGCUAGCCUCUGGCCUCGCCAACGUUGCCAAAGGGCGGCUGGACGGGAUUCAAGUUUAGGAGCAUGCCCAGGUCGUUGGUCGGGGCUGAGAAAAGUUUUGGUUUCAUGGUUUUUGGUGAAUACAGUGUCGACACAAACAGGGAUUGGAGGAAUUUUUGAUCGGAUCUUGUUGCAAGCAUCGGUGAGGCACGAUCUGGGUUGUGGGUUUGUGGUUGGAUCCAUUUGGAUCGCACUGUAAUCUCACUGUUAGAUCGGAGACCCGUAUCAGUUCAUGUUGUAGAGGAAGAUGGAAAUUUUGCUCGUGGGUUCUAGAGGUUAGGGGUUGUGGUUCUGGUUUUGUGGCGACGAGGCCCAGUCGGCAAUGGAGUUUUGACGAUGGUCGGGACUCGACUGAGAUGACAGCGGCAGCGCGACGGACAUGCAGGAUCGGUGGUGGUGGUGGUGAUUUGGCUGUGUGUGCGACAUCUGGUUUGGGCUGGGAUCAUGGACCAGAUCUGUUUGGUCUCCAUCCAGCUUUGGGCUUGCUCUAGGCCUAAAGUAGGCUUAGGGUUUCACCCUGGGUCCAAAAUGUUUUAUUUUUUCUAGUUUUUAUUUUUGUUAUGUUCUAUUAUUAUUAGUUUUACUAAUAACUAGCUACCUUUUAUGGGUAGAACUAAAUGGGUUUGGUCCCGGUCUAUGCACCUCAUGUGCCUCAAUUGCUCUAAGUAGGCGACGAUCUGUUAAAUGGUUGGUGCCGCCUAGUCGCAGGAUGAGACUAAGUGUCGUUGGGAAUAUUUUCCAGCGGCAACAUAGUAGGGAAACUGUAUAAUUGGACAUUAGGAUAUGUAAACGUGUUACAUAUCUAGCAAUCUUUAAACGUGUUACAUAUCUAAACGUUUACAUUAGGAUAUGUAAACGUGUUACAUAUCUAGCAAUCUUUCUAUUAUGUCACUGCUGUGACAAAGCAAAUAGAGUCAUCAUUAGUGUAGUACUUUUUGCUAGUUGAUGUUUGUUAGGAUACGUGUACCUUAUAGAGUUACUCGAUAUUAUUUUGGGACUUUGUAACCCAAGGUUUAGGCUUUAUGUCCCCCCUCUUGUAUUCUACAGUUUCAUCAAUGAAGAUUUAAAGGCGGCCGCAUCAACCCUUUAUUCAAAAUAAUAAUAAUAAAACACUCGUAGGGCCGACAAUAAAAAUUACUCCCUAUGAAUACUAAACACCUAGCUGCAACUAGGUCCCUAACAACCAAAAGUACAUUCACCUUCUAAGACAGUUUAUAACAGAAAGACCCACUUAGAAGCUGGAACAAAAAGUAACAACCAGUGAGUCAAACUACCCUUGAGUCCCGCUUACGCCUUAGUUUGGACAAUAAAGACCCAGUCCAGCCAGGACCACAACAAAAGGAAGCCCACUGCAAGUUUCUGAACCCUAGCAGACCCAAAGGUAAGAGAGAGCCAAGGUCCACCAAACUCAAGCCCAUCAGAAUCCACCAAGACUUGAUCUGAUUUCCGACUCCACCAAGCAAAUCCGAAUUCAAAUCCCUUCAACCCAGGUUUCAGUCCCUGCCAUUCCAAACACAUGCCGAUGACCCAGAGGGAAUCAUAUCCUCCACUAGACCCACCGACCAGGAGCGCCAGAUCUGAUCGGAGAGAAGUCACCCUAUCCUAUCCUUCGUAGCCACCCACAAGCAAUCGGGUCAUCAACCUCAUCCAGCUGAUGUGAUCCUCCAUCGAGAUCCCUACCCGAAUCCCAGUUUUCCUAAACUUGAUCGAGUACCAAAGCAAUCCCAUUCACCAUCUUCUCAAUCUCCUUCCCAAAGCCGAGAAGAGGAAAUCCGCCAAUGAGCGAGGAAGCCUGACGUCGGCGAGAGCUCCUAAUGGCCUCUUCCCCCAACCCCCUCCAAAAUGAGAAAGCAUUACCAGAAGAAAAGUUUUAGCCGACGAAAAAAAAAAACCAGGCCGACGAACCAUUUUUUCGUCGGCUAAAGUCUACUUUAGCCGACGAAAUUUUCCUUCGUCGGCUAAAUUAAAUUUUAGUCGGCUAUGGUAAACUUUAGCCGACGAAAUUAAGAUGUCGUCGGCUAAAGAAUUUAUUUCGUCGGCUAAAGUUCACAGACUAUGGCUGACGAAAUAUUUAAAAGUUUAGCCGACGAAAUUAAUAUGUCGUCGGCUAAAGUGCUUUAUAUUUGCAGAUCUGGCCAGCAGCAGCUCAUCUGGGAAAAAAAACGGGAGAAAAAGUUUGGGUAUUGUCGAAAUCUGUCCAUAAUUAGUUUAUGGAGCUAUAUAUAGGUACGUACAUGUAUAUAUAUGUUGAUUAAUUGAGUUUUAUUUGAGUUGAUUNNNNNNNNNNNNNNNNNNNNAUAUAGUAUAUAUAUAUAUGUUAAUUAAUUUAUAAUAUUGUGUUGAUGGUAUAUAUGUCAAUGAUGUAUUUGUGAUGAUGUAGAUAUAUAUAUAUAUAUAUAAUAUUGUUAUGUAAUUAUUAAGUAUAUAUAUAUGUGUGUGUGUUAAUUAAUUUGUUAUUAAUUAGUUGUAGUACAUACGUAGAAUAUAUACUAAAUGAAUUGAGAUUUUAUAUAUGCAUGGCAUGAAAUUUCAUUAAUAAUUAGCUAACGUUAUACAUAUAUAUUUUGUUAUAUUUUCAGGAUAUGGAUAAGAGUUGGAUUUCGCUUCCAAAAUGGGAGAAAGUUAUGGUGCAGGAGUUAUGAGUUUUAUAGAAUAUGCGCUGGCUAAUGCUAACGGGAAUACAAUUUUCUAUUGCCCGUGCACGAAAUGUCAGUGUCGCAGCGAUAUGCAUCGAUUUCCCAUUGACAAAGUAUGACAACACCUGAGGAGUAACGGGUUUUGGGAGAAGUACACAUGUUGGUUAUAUCACGGUGAAACAUCAUUAGGGGGUCCGCAUGAUCAUGGCCAAUUUUCUGAGACGGGCAGUACUAGUACAUCCAACGAUCCAACAACGGCAUUCAUCAACAUGUUUCCUUAUGAAAGCGGUGUAUGCGCUCAAGAACAGUAUAUGUCUGACCCGGUGCAGCCCUUCCCUAGAGCUGUCAACAUUGCUGGUAUUGGAAAGUACAACAAACUGCUUGCUUUCCAACAUACCCCUGUGUACCCCGGUUGUCAGAAGACCGUUCUUGAAAGUGUGAUGGACGUAAUGAAGAUUAAAGUUGAGACAAAAUCGACCGUGAAGGCUGUUAAUAAUUAUCUACAGUACACUGCUUCGAUGCUGCCCCACGGUCAUCGUCUUCCUACCACUCAUCGUAAGGUCCGAUGUAUCCUGAAAGAUCUUGGGCUUUCCUACAUCAAGAUCCAUGCAUGCAGAUAUGACUGCGUUCUCUUCUGGGGUAAAGAUCCAGAAGGGAAUGACCUUGGUGGGCAUAACGCAUGUCCGGUAUGUCACACUGACAGGUAUAAGCUGACUCCUGCAGGCAAUAGGAAACCUGUGAAGGUACUUCGGUAUUUCUCGUUGAGGGAUAGGCUGGAGCGGCUGUACAUGUCUUCACACACGGCCAAAGCUAUGAGAUGACACGCUGAUAGGGAAUUGCAUGACGAAGAUACCCUUAUACACCUUGCUGACAAGGAGGCUUGGAAGCAUAUAGACAGGGAGUUUCCUCAUUUUGCGUCAGAGGUCCGAAAUGUGAGGCUCGGGCUCUCAUCCGACGGGUUCAACCCUUUUGGCAACAUGAGUCUUCAAUACAGUGUAUGGCCGGUGAUUUUGGUACCGUACAACCUUCCUCCAUGGAUGUGCAUGAAGAAGGAAUACAAUAUGUUGAGUUUGUUGAUUCCGGGGCCCGGUUAUCCAGGGAAGUGUCUCGAUGUGUAUUUGAGACUUUUGAUUGAAGAGCUUCAGUUUUUGUGGGACGUUGGUCAUCCUACUUAUGAAAAGUACAUGCACGAGAUGUUCCAGAUGCAUGUCAUGGUUGUUGGUACCAUCAGUGAUUUUCCUGCCCGUGGGAUGUUGUCGGGCAGCGUUGUUAAGAGAUACAAGGCUUGUCCAGAGUGCCUUAGCGAUGAGGGGAGCAGCAGUCAUUGCAACAAGAUAUGCAGAUUGGGUCACCGUGCUUUCCUUCCAUAUAAUCACGAAUGGCGGUUCGAUGACAAGGCAUUUGAUGGGACCGUAGAACACGGUGUGCCUCCCAGAAGAUGGACGGGGGAAGAAAUUUUAGCAGUGCUUAAUGAGUAUGANNNNNNNNNNNNNNNNNNNNAAGCCAUGCCGGUAGAUGUACCGAAGUUCAAUCUUUCCAUACUCUCUAGUGAUGUUGAAGUUUAUGGAAUUUUGCCAGACUCUUACAAGUUGCAACCGCAUGAGCUAGUCAUUGCCCACUGGUGGGUAUUGAUUAACUGUCCAGAAGUUGAAUAUUGGAAAGACAUCCAUCUAUAUUGUCCAGACAUUCAUGGUGAUCUCGAGUACCACAACAGGGAGUUCGCAAACUAUUUUGGCGGCUGGGUACGUAAUUCAAUAUUUCUGUACGUAUUUAUGUUUAUUGCAUAAUUAUCCAUAUUUACAAUGUUGAAUGGUUGGUUGCAGAUGAACCAUAUUCAAUUUGAUGGUCACCCAAAUUGGUCGCACGAACUAAGACUUCUAGCGAUGAAGCCGAUAAUGUCAAGAGUUUAUCCGAUGUGCAAGGUGAAUAGCGUGCAAUUUAUAUGUGAACAGAGAGACAGCAGAUGGAGAACAUAGAAUUCUGGGGUGAUGGUGCAUGGUGGGCGGAAUGGAGUUGACUAUUACGGUGUUCUCCAUUCAGUGGUGGAACUCGUUUACGGUGAAGGCAUGACAAUGCACCUCUUCAAGUGUAGAUGGUUUGAUACUAGCCCGCAGAGCAUGAAGACCGAUCAGUACGGAAUAUUAUCGGUGAACACUGCUACAAGUUCUUACGAAGAUGACCCGUUCGUUUUUCCCACAUCGGUAAAACAAGUGUUUUAUCUUGAUGACCUUGCUAAGGGUGACGCGUGGAAAGUAGUCAACCUUGUGCACCCUCGAAACAUUUACCGGGCGGCUACACUUGGAGAGGCCGAAGACCAGGAAGAAGAUGUUGCGUAUCAAGAGCCCAACGCAAUAGGUAUUCUUAACUCCUCUACCGUUCGCCUUAAUAAUUUUAAAGUGGGUCGUUCGGUGCGAAUUCGUGAUGAAGAGCCAAGGCUUAUUGAUGUUGAUCCAAAUCAAGAAACAGACGAAGACUCUGGCGAUGAGGAAAUGCAUAGAUUACCAGAAAUUAAUUCUGACACCGAAGAAGACUCAUUGGAUGAUUCCGAUUACGAGCCUUAGUUUUAAUUUAGAGGACGUAAUACAUUAAUUUGUAAUAAAAAAGAUUGUAUUACCUUAAUUUAUAGUUUACAUAUGUUGAAUUCAUAUUUCUGUUAUUUUAUAUGAAUUUUGGUGAUAUAUGAACAGGAAAUUAGUAUGGUUUAAACCUUCAGUUUUAGGGUUUGUAUUUUAUUACUUAAGCCGACGAAAUACGCAUUAAUUCGUCGGGCCAAACCAUCUUAACCGACGAAUUAUAUUAUAAGUCGUCGGUUAAAACCAUAUUAACCGACAAAUUAUAUUAUAAGUCGUCGGCUUAAACUAUCUUAGCCGACGAACUAUAUUAGAAGUCGUCGGCUAAACCCAUCUUAGCCGACGAAGUCAAUUAGAAGUCGUCGGCUAAAACCAUCUUAGCCAACGAAGUAUAUUAGAAGUCGUCGGCUAAAACCAUCUUAGCCGACGAAUACCCUACUAUUUCGUCGGCUUUAUUAAUUUUUUAUUUUUUAUUACAUACUAUAGCUGACGAAUGUAUUCGUCGGCUAAACCCUAAACUUUUUCUGUUACAUACUGUAGCCCUGCCCUAUCUUCGGUGGUUAUUUUGCGUAAAAUUUUUAUACGACUUGUUGCGUCUCAUCGAUUUGAAAAUAUUUUCAGUUGAAAGUCCAGCCAAAAUACGAAAUUUAGACGGUCCAACGACCUUUUUCGUGCAUUUAGGGGUUUGACUUACGGGAUUGACCGUCCGGAUCGAGCACUUCACCUUGUCGGAUCAAGUUGCAUUUUUUCCCAUACAUGUAUUUUAUCAUGAUUGUCAGAUCUGACCGUCGGAUUUCUGUUUCUCAAGUUUGAUCAUCAUAACCACAACAUGCCUACUAAUGUUGUAUAACUUAUUUACCAAGUGUUAAGUAAAUGUUCCGUUUCAAAAACAAACUAUACGUAAAACCUUCAAACGCAAAAAAGUCGUGAAAUAAGAUAUAACCAGAAUGGCGAAAUACGUCCACGGUUAAAAAAUCACAAUAUUCCGGUAAAGUUUUGGUGCCGAUAGUUGCGGUCAAUGGAAUUUUUCAUUCUUUCUCCCUAUGAGUAGCCGUAUCUUCGGUGGUUAUUUUGCGUAAAAUUUUUAUACGACUUGUUGCGUCUCAUCGGUGUGAAACUAUUUUCAGUUGAAGGUCCGGCCAAAAUACGUAAUUUACACAGUCCAAUGACAUUUUCCGUGCGUUUAGGGGUUUGACUUAAUGGAUUGACCGUCCGGAUCGAGCCCUUGACCUUGUCGGAUCAAGUUCAAGUGUUUUCCCAUACAUGUAUUUUAUCAUGAUGGUCAGAUCUGACGGUCGGAUUUUCGUUUCUCAAAUUUGAUCAUCACAAUCACAAUCACAGUUUGACGAAUGUAUAAAAAGUACUAUAGCUGACGAAUUUCAAAGGUUUAGCCGACGAAUUUCAUAGGUUUAGCCGACGAAUUUCAAAGGUUUAGCUGACGAAUUUUAUCUUAGCCGACGAGAUGAUUAUUUUAGCCGACGAAAUUAUUAUCUUUAGCCGACGAAAUAAUAAUUUCGUCGGCUAAAGUUUCGGGUAUAAGCCAGCGCUCGACUGGUUGAAAGCCCUAGCUUCCGCCUCCUCUCCCUCUCCGAAUUUCCCCUCCUCCGCCUCCGCUCCCUCUCUCGGUCGCCGCCCUCUCCCUCUCCCUCUCCCGGUCGCCGCCCUCUCCCUCUCCCUCUCCCGGUCUCCGCCUCCUCUCCCUCUCCCUCUCCCGGUCUUCGCCUCCGCUCCCUCUCCCUCUCCGGCCGGCCUCUUCCUCCUGCUCCGUCCGGCGAUUAAGUCUUCAUGCUCCUGCCGGCCUCCUCCUCCUCCGGCCUGCUCCGGCCGGCCGGCCUCCUCUUCCUCGAGUUCAUUUCUGAGCUUUAGUUUUAUUUUGUGUUUCCUUUUAUUUUCCGGUCAAUUGCAAUGUUGUGGUGUUGUUAGGAAGUGUAUAUUUGUAUUGAGGAAGUGUAUAUUUUUNNNNNNNNNNNNNNNNNNNNCACUAUAUAUAUAUAUAUAUAUAUAUAUAUAUAUCUCUCUCUCUCUCUCUCUCUCUCUCUUUUUAUUGGAUGGUCAUUGUUGGUUAUCAAAUUUGCUAGUUGGCAAAUUUGAUUCCCUGCUUGUGAUGCUUGUGAUGACUUGACACCAGCUUGAGAGAGGAUUAUUGCCACUUAAUCACUUACUAAUUUUCAAUAUAUCCUACCUUGAUGAGUUCAAAAUUAUUUUCUCCAAUAUCACAAAUUAUAAAAAGAAAACCUGAUUCUCUAAGUUUUAAUUUGUUAAGACAAAAUAUUUAAAAUCUCAUAUAUAGUUUGUGGAGCUAUAUAUAGGUACGUACAUGUAUAUAUAUGUUGAUUAAUUGAGUUUUAUUUGAGUUGAUUGAUUUUGAGUGUGAUUGAGUUGAUUGAUUUUGAGUACGUUGGAUGUGUAUAUAUAUAUAUAUAUAUGUGUUGAUCGAUUUCGUUGAUGAUUUGAUAAUAUAUAUGAAUUAAGUUGUUGUUAAUAAAUAGUAGAUAUAUAUAUAUAUAUAUGUUAAUUAAUUAUAAUAUUAAUGUGUUGAUAUGGUAUGAAGUUGUUGAUGAUAUAUAUGAGUUGAUGAUGAUUUUGUGAUGAUGUUGAUAUAUAAUAUUGUUAUGAUCGAGUUGAUUGAUUUUGAGUAUGUUGGACGUAUAUAUAUAUAUAUAUAUAUGUUGAUCGAUUUGGUUGAUGAUUUGAUAUAAUAUAUAUAUAUAUAUAUAUAUAUGAAGUUGUUUAUAAGUAGUAGAUAUAUAUCAUCCCCCUUCUAUUGAGGAAUCCCUAUUUUUGACCACUUUCUAGGGAUAGGGCAUUACACCACUUCCCAAUUGAAUUUUUACAUCUUCACCGUUCAUAUCUUAGGUCUAUAUGAGUAGAUCACCUCUACAAAAUUUCAUAUGAUUUAGUGAUCGUUAAGAUUUUCAAAAGUUUGAUUUAGUUUUAAUGAUUUUGAACGGUCCAGCUUAUGUCAAACUAAAACCGUUGAAGGUCAUUAAAACUAAAUUGAAUUUUUGAAAGCCUUAACGAUCAUCAAAUCAUAUGAAAUUUNNNNNNNNNNNNNNNNNNNNNNNNNNNNNNNNNNNNNNNNNNNNNNNNNNNNNNNNNNNNNNNNNNNNNNNNNNNNNNNNNNNNNNNNNNNNNNNNNNNNNNNNNNNNNNNNNNNNNNNNNNNNNNNNNNNNNNNNNNNNNNNNNNNNNNNNNNNNNNNNNNNNNNNNNNNNNNNNNNNNNNNNNNNNNNNNNNNNNNNNNNNNNNNNNNNNNNNNNNNNNNNNNNNNNNNNNNNGAAGCCAUGUCCCGGAUCGACACUUCGGAUCCGACGGUUGGGGCGAGGAUCAUGGGCACAGCCUUCCCACCGCGAGCAAACAACUUCUACUGCCGGGGUCUAGGAAAGAAGGGCGAGGGGGUCCUGAAGACCACUCCAGGAUUUCAACGAAAGGCAGCCUCGACCAGCAGCAGGACCACGACCACCAGGACGACUCAGCUGCUACAGUCGGAACUUCAGAGACUACGGGAACAGCAAGCUGCUCAUGUUACCUAUAAUGCAGCGCAGGCAACCUAUAAUGCCGCGUAGGCAGCCUAUAAUGCCGAGGUACAUGCCAUCCAUCAGGUCCAGCAGCGGCAGAUGUUCCAGUACAUGCAGGACUUUACAGCUGCCCAGCUCCAGGGACUUCUGGCUCCGCCCAUACCGCUACCCCAGCCGCCGCAAGCUCCGCAGCAGCCCCCAGAACCGGAUAUUAAUUUAGACGAUCUAGAUUUGGUGUAGUUGAUGAAUUAUAUACUUUUAUGUGCUUGUUGUUGGUUAUAUGGAAUUGUUUUUGUGUUUUUUGCAGCUUACUUGGAAUGGUAAUUUAAAAAUUUCGGGUUUUUUUUAAUACUGGAAUGGACUUAUAGCCGACGAAAUAAACCAUAAUUCGUCGGCUAUAGUAUUUUUAAUUAUUUUUUAAUAGGGUUUAGCCGACGAAUAAUGGAAUGUUUCGUCGGCUAAACCCUUAAAAGCCGACGAAAUACGGUCUAUUUCGUCGGCUUUAGUUAUUUUUUAUUUUUUUAUUACAUACUAUAGCCGACGAAUAUAUUAAGCGUAUCGUCGGCUAAAGCUGAGAGAAUAGCCGACGAGUUGUUUCGUCGGCUAUAGAUAAGAAACUAGCCGACGAGUUGUUUCGUCGGCUAAAGUUUAGAGACUAGCCGACGAAAAAACUCGUCAUCGGCUAAAGUCUGUAAGACUCGUCGGCUAAAGUCUGAGAGACUAGCCGACGACGUCUUCUGUCGUCGGCUAGCUAUGGGACAAUAGCCGACGACGGGCUAUAGUUUCGUCGGCUAAAGUCAUUGCCGACGAGCCUUUCCCGACGAAACUAUAGCCGACGAAGUCUCGUUGGCUAAGAUCUCAGCCGACGAAUUAAGCUAACAGGCCGAUAAAGAAUUUUCGUCGGCUAAAGUGCUUGUCCCGGUAGUGAAGCGAAGGGAGCUCCUCUCGCAUAGUCAGAGAUUCACAGUCGCCGGGUCAUAGUCGAAGGCUGCCGCUGACAAAAGUUUGUUCUUUUCGAAACCCUAGCAUAGGAAGCUAGAGAGCAAAGAUAUAUUUUUUUAGAAGGAAAUUACUUGAUAUUGCAAAUAAUAUAAAUUUGAACGAUAGGAUCCAAACUAGUUUGAAUGCUAGUAUUUUCCGAAAACAAUUCAAUGUACUGUAUCACUUGAACAAAAAAGAACAAUCCAGUGUAUUCUUUUGUCAAUAAUCUAAUUCUAUUUUUAUCUGUGGGCUGUGGCUAAGCAAAUAAUUACUCCCUUAGAAGAUAACAUGCUUUAUGCUCAGGCUUCACUGCAUUUAAACAGAUUCCAACCAUAGUCUUACAAGUAAGAAUCAGUUGUUCUAAGAGAGUAUUAUUGUUCGUCGACUAUCAGUUUCCUGAUACCAUUUUUUGUUUUGAUAUGAUUCAAUCUUUCAAAGUGAUUUUUGUAUGCAUUUUUGGUGCCUGAGCAGAUUGAAUUGAAAACUAGCUGAAACAAGUCUCACUCCAGUUGAUGUUUAAGCAACUAUUCACAUAUGCUAGUCUAGACAGGUUCAGGUAUCAAAAAUUAGUGGAAAGAGCGCUUGCAUUGCAUAGUGGAAUAGAAAAGAGAAUUAGACCGUUCCUUUUUGGCUUUGCUGUGGGUGAUUGGAAUUGAGCCAAUUGGCUUCAAGAAGAAUGGUAUAUUUCUCAGUGGUUAGUGAGUCUUAUUAUAGUGGUGAGUAGAGAAAUCCAGAAAGAGUGGUCAUGGAUAGUGACCAUGCCCGGACUUGAUAUGAGGCUGAGGAGUCAGCCGAUUCAAGGCGGGCCCAGAAAAAAAUUAACAAGUUUUCAUUAAUCAUCCUAUAAAUACUGUAAUCGAGCUCAAGUUUUGCCAAAUUAAAUUAAAAGAAAAUACUGACAUGAUGGGCCCAUACAAGUUCAACAAGUUAUAUAUAAUUAUAGUAUAUUUUAAAAUCUAUUGAAGUAAGAAACUUGUUUUUUUGAACAGAAAGAAAUUUGUUUUAUAAAUAUGAUUAUUAAAAUAUUAUCUAAAUAGGAUUACUAGAAUAUUUAGAUAUAAAAUUACUAAAACAUAGAGAGGUUUGGUAAUCUCUACAUAUAUUCGGAUAUUACAUGAAUAUAUUUUUGGAAAUUACAUGUUUGUUGUUUAUUAUUGUUAAUUAGCUAGUUCCUGAAAAACUUUUAUAAAGAAAAUGCAUUUAAUAAAAAAAAUGACACGAAAUGCACAUUAUGAUUUGAGGGCCCAACUUUUAGAGUUCGAUUCAGGCAUGAAAAUCUCAGGUCCGGGCCUGAUAGUGACAACUUGAUGAUACAUAUGAUAUUUAUAAGAAAUGCAUACCUAUGCUCUUAUUUCUUUUGUUUAAGCAUGUGGAAGCUUGUGGGACUACUGUUUUAAGAAGAAUUUGGUCUACUGUUUCUUUUUUCAGACUAAUACAACCAAAAUUGCUCUAUCAAAAAUGAAAGAACUCAGUAGGAUCUUUAUUUUUUGAUCGGAUUGAAGGUUAAUUAAUACAUUUUCUUCUAUGAGGAAAUGUAAUCGGUUCUAUAAUAUUUCCUAAAGAAAAAAAAACCCUAUUUUAAUCCUAUUAAAAAAAUCAUAUACAAGUAAAAAAUUUGUUUAUCGUAUUGGAAAAUGUAUCGCUUAUUAGUUUUUUUGUGGCAUAAAUGAGGUCAGAAAGUUCUUGUUCCAGAGCUUGUGGUAUAAAAGGAUUGAAUAUUUUUAUAUUUCGUGUCCUAUUUAGUUUAGAUCUUAUACUCUAGGAAAAUAAGAUUCAAGUUUGUACCCCUUAUUUGUAUAUACUCUUUCUAUAGUUAGUUACCGAUUAGUUUAGAUUACGUAAUCUACUGUUAUGAGUUGUAAAUGUGGAAUAGGCCUUAACACGCUCUACUAAUCAAAAUUUUCAGGAAUUUCUAGAUUCUGAGAACAAAAGGUUAGAGAGGUUCGGAGUAGUAUUUUUGCUUUCUGAAAUAGGAAAUCAUUUAAAAGCUUUUUGAUAAAUAGUAACAGCUACAGCUUUAAAAUGUUUCUUUUCUCCAAAAUUUAAAAUAAAUUGUACAAGAAAGAAGAUAGAGUUCAGAAAGUGUGAAUUGUACUACGCAUCUACGAGAUCGUAUAAAUGCUAAUUUUGUGUAGAGCAGAAGGGUGAAGUGCCGAAGUGCGAACUAUACAACUUAAACCAUAUUCUUCGUCUCCAAAAAUGCAAAGAGGAUUAUACCAUUGGAGACGCAAAGAGAAUUAAACCAUAUUGGUAACAUAGAAUUAAAUAUUAUCGUUGACUUUGACUUGGGUAUUCAGAUCCAACGGCCACUAUGAAAGCUGUGACAGAAUUCUCCGGUCAUUCUAGAAUCACCGCAUAAAAGGAAAUUUCCGAAAAACACCCCCAAGUCCCCAACAAACCCCAAAAGCCAGCGUUCUAUUCUCAUUCUCUCUCUCUCCCAAAUUCCCCUCUGAAAAUUCCGCAGAGAGAAAAAGCGAGAGAAAAGCCAUGAACACGAUGCACUACGCGGAGGUGAGCACCACCGCCGGCAAGCUCGAGGAGGUCGACAUCGAGUCCGGCGAACUCUUGUACCCCGGCAUCAGCAAAGGCGAGAAUCAGCUCCGAUGGGGUUUCAUUCGCAAGGUCUACGGCAUCUUAUCCGCUCAGCUUCUCCUCACCACCGCCAUCUCCUUCGUGACCGUCCUCUAUACUCCCGUCAACGACCUCCUCAAAGGCAGCCCUGGCCUUCUCUUGUUUUUCGCCUUCCUUCCUCUCGUCUGUAAGUACCCCUAAUUUCGUUUCCGAUUUGUGGUUUUAGCGAUUUUUUGUGUAAAUGUUGGUUCUGGUUGUGCGAGUUUGAGAUUAGAGGUUGUAGAUCAGGAAAGAAAUUCAGAUCUGAGUGUCUAUGUUUUACGAUUUGCGAUUUCAAGUGGUGUAUGUAAGCUUUGAUUGCGGUGAUUAGGUUAUAUUGUUUUAGACCGAUUGUAUUGGUUGCCUUGUAAAGAAUUCAAUUCUUGAAGGGAUUGAUACCUUGCUUGUUUGGUUCUGUAGGAUCAUAUUUUGUGGUUAGUGUUUAUCAUAUGCCUUGUAAAAUGCUUUGUUUUGAUGAAAUGUUUGCUAGUCGUGUUAUCAGUUGUAUUGGUUUGUUGUAUAAGAAUUCAAUUAUCAAAGGGAUUGAUACCUUGCUUGUUUAGGUCUAGGAUAAGAUUUAUGGUUACAGUAUAUUAUUCUGUGAAAGCAUGAUGGUUAUGUGCCUGGGAAAAUGCUUUGUUUAAAUACAGAACUCAAGAAUGGCUACUUUGGUAUAGAUUUAUGUUAUAACAGUGAUGUAAAGAACUGCAUGUGCUAGUUGUGUUAUCCAUUGGUUUCAUUGAUAGUUUUGCAUUAUCUUACUUUUGUGUUUGGAUUCUUUGCAGUGUUGUGGCCCCUUCAUGUGUACCAGCAAAGGCAUCCUCUGAACUUUAUCUUCCUUGGACUUUUCACUCUGAGUCUGAGUGUCACUGUUGGUGUAGCGGUUGCUAAUACUGAUGGUGAGUUUCAUUACUCUAUGUCGUGAUUGUAUUGGUGCCAUGUUACAAUUUGCUUUCAGUUAGGUUUUGUUUUGAGUUAACGUUGUAGGCUUUAUGCAGGUUUUUAUUUUUGGUAUAUGAGUUUAGUUUGUUAUAUUUGACAUAUUUGUCAUCUGAUUAUAUAUGUGCAUUGCUUGCUUGCAGGAGCGAUUGUGCUUGAAGCCUUGAUUCUAACCUCGGGUGUGGUUGCAUCCUUGACUGCUUACACCUUCUGGGCUUCAAAGAAGGGGAAGGACUUCAGCUUCCUUGGACCAGUCCUGUUCACUGGCCUCAUGGUUCUCCUCUUGACCAGCUUCAUGCAGGUCAGACUUCUUGCCAUGAAAUAGUCCUGUUUGUUAGAUUUUUUCAUUUGAACAUAUACCAUACUUUAAAUACAUUGAACUAUUUAUCUGACUUGGUGAUUCUCUGCUCUCAUGUAGAUGUUCUUCCCACUUGGUCCUACUUCUAAUGCUGUCAUUGGUGCUGCUGGUGCUAUUCUCUUCUCUGGCUAUAUAGUCUACGAUACUGAGAACCUCAUCAAGCGCUUUACGUAUGAUGAGUACAUCUGGGCCUCCAUCACUCUUUACCUUGAUAUUCUGAAUCUGUUCCUUACAAUCUUGCGGAUGCUGAGGCAGAGCGACUCUUAGUUUGCAUGCGGCGGACAUAAACUCUCUGCAGUUGUGGACAUAGUAUAUGUAGUCCAAGGCUAAAGUGGAUGUAGUAUAUUCUUUUCCACCUUUCUACUCUUAUUAGUUCUUUCGACCGAGUUUGCUGUGGGAUGUCAUGCAACUUCUAAGUACUGCAAUAUGACUUUGGCCAGACUCAAGUGUGCUUACAGCAAGUCAAUUAUGUGAAUUGUUUUCUAAUGUGGUUUUGUUCCUACAUAUUCGUUUAGGACUGUAAUCUUGAUCCUAUAUUGUUUAAGAAUCCAAAGUGAAAUAUUGGUCUUGGUGAGGGUGUGGAUAGUAGGAAAAUUACGCAGUAAUAUGCAUUUAUGGCAGUAAUAUGCAUUUAUGUCAGUCAUGGGCACCUAUAAUUUUGAAAAGUGACUAAUUUACUACCAUCUUGGUUAGUAAUCUAGUGCUCUCUCACUAGGUGAUCCAAUUCAGACAUCUGCAGUUGAUAUGUCUAACUCUACAAAGGUUUAGCAAUUAGCAUCAAACUUCUUUUUUAUAAGACAUCUUGGGCAGAUCACCACCUCCAUCUCGAAGCCUUCCAGCGACCCCAGACACCCAUAGUCCCAUACCAUGUGCGACCUCUGAUCACAAUGACCAUGCUAGACGUUUGUUCACAUCUCAUACACCAAAAGUUUGUCAAACUAUAAAUUUCAUUGUUCAGAACUUAGAGGCAAUUCUUAUUUGAAUACUAUCGAAAAUAGAACAACAAAGGUUAUCUAAAUCAAAUGUUUGAACACUUGUAGCAUUUGAGUUGUUUACUGAAAAAAAAAAUUAAAUUAAAUGUUUGAAUAAUUAGUACAAAUUUUUUCUCCAAAAGAGAAGAAGUAACUUAAGAACAUUGAAUAAUACAACAUCUUUCUUGUCUAAUCACUGAACCAUAUCGGGAAUAAACUGUUGUGCUCCAUUGCCGCCGGACCGCAACCAAGGACAAUACGGAACAAUGGCAGCAGAAAUUACUCAAAUUUGGAGGCACUGGUGAAUAGCCUAAACACUCAAGUUUUGUGUAAAUUAGAUCCUUGUUCCGUACAAGGCCUCGAGUACAACAAUAGAUCCUAAUAAUAAUGUCCGGUCUUUUUUGGGCGAGUGCUGGAACGCACACUGCNNNNNNNNNNNNNNNNNNNNNNNNNNNNNNNNNNNNNNNNNNNNNNNNNNNNNNNNNNNNNNNNNNNNNNNNNNNNNNNNNNNNNNNNNNNNNNNNNNNNNNNNNNNNNNNNNNNNNNNNNNNNNNNNNNNNNNNNNNNNNNNNNNNNNNNNNNNNNNNNNNNNNNNNNNNNNNNNNNNNNNNNNNCUCUCUCUCUCUCUCUCUCUCUCUCUCUCUCUCUCUCUCUCUCUCUCUCUCUCUCUCUCUCUCUCUCUCUCUCUCUCUCUCUCUCUCGCCACAGCGACCGCCAAAGAUCGACCACAACGUCCAUAUACUCGACGUCGACAACUGAAUCAGGCCGAUCUCGAUGCUCAACGACGACGACCCAACCCACUGCCUCCGUCCGUCGUCGCAUCCCAAAUUGAUCAGCAAAUCUGAUAUGGAAAUCUUUGUCGUCAAAGUCGAACCCAAGCCAAUUUGUCUCAGAUCUAUAGGAAAGCUCCUUUAAUUUUCUAUUCUAAAGUUUAUCAGAUCUGCUCCAAAUCUUGCAAUUUUGCUUCUCCAAUUUUUUUUUCCAAAAACAAAAGAAGACGAAUGUGUCUAUGCCAACAACCACAUAUCUUGAUUAAUUAUGAGAAUCGAAGUCCGUUGAUGAAAGUAUUAAGCAUGGAUGGAGUAUUUUUGGUUAAUAGUAGCAGAGAUAUAUACACAAUAGCAAUAGCAGUAGCAGACUAGUAGUUCAGUUUCAUGGUGAUUAUUUGUUUUGGAAUCCAUGUAGUUUUCGAUAGUAAUAGCGCGCUAGCAGAAGAGUCGACAGUAGCAUCACACUACCAUUAGUGUUAGCAGUAGUAGCUCAUUAGCAUCAAUGUUGGCACCAGCAACGCGCAGCAUCAGAGUCAACAGUAGCAGUGCGCUAGCAUCAGUAUUGGCAGUAGUAGCGCUCAUCUUCUUCAACUGAUUAUAAGGCAGUAAAAGAAUUGGAGUAUAAGACAAUAACAAAAUUGGAGUAGCAGAAGUGGAGGAUAAAACAAUAGCAGAGUUAACAUUCAUUGUCUUAGUCUUCAAAUAGUAGCAGAACUAGAGGAUUGCCGAAGCACACUUGUGCUACUACUGGGGUGUUAACCUUGCUACUACUUAUACUACGAUGUUAACCCCUGUUACUGCUACUGCUACUGCUACUGCUACUACUUCUACUAGGAUGUUAACCUCUGUUACAGCUUCUAUUAGAAUUAACUGCUACUACACUAAGUUAUUGAAAACCUGCUACUAUAUUCCAUUUAUUGAAAAAUUUUAAAAGGAGAGACUUUUCUCCUGGAAUGUUAACCCCUGCUACUACUUAUACAGGGAUGUUAACCCUUGCUACUUCUUCUACUGGGAUGUUAACCCAUGUUACUGUUUCUACUGGAAUUAACUGCUACUACACUAAGUUAUUGAAAACCUGCUACCACUACUGGAUUAUGGCUAUUAGCCGACGGAACCGUUCCGUCGGUUAAGAAUAUAUUUCGUAAUUCCGUCGGCUAAGCGUCGUCUGCUAAGACAAUAGCCGACGGAAUUGAUGAUUUCGUCGGCUAAGGGGAACUUAGUCGACGGAAUAUUUCCGUUUGCCAAAAUUUUAGUCAACGGAACUUAGUCGACGGAAAUUACUUUUCUGUCGACUAACUUUUUCUUAGCUGACGGAAUAUUUCCGUCUCCUAAGAUCUUAGUCGACGGAAGUAAAAAUUUAAAUUUUUUUUUUAGAAUAACUGGCGGUUUUUUUUUUCUUUUCCUUCUCUUCCUCUUCUCCGGCGACCACGACGGUUAUGUUUGUGUGUUCCCGAACAACUCCACUCCACCUCCGACGCUAAACUCUCCGGGAUUCUACCAACAAGGAUCCGCACGUACAACAAUCUAUUGCCUUACUUAUGCCGCGGAGAGUAACCGUCCGGACGUCAACCACCCCGCGAGGAGGAGGAGGAGGAGGAGGAGGAGGUGCCGCCGAGAAGAGGAGGAGGAGGAGGAGGCGGCAGUCCUUGGAGGAGGAGGAGGUGCCGCGGCGAAGGAGGAGGAGGAGGAGGAGGCGCCGCGGUGGUGGGGGAGCAACCAGACGAGGGAGAGAGAGAGCAAGCAAACAAGCUAGGGAGAGAGAGAUGAAGAGAAUGAGGGAGAGAAUUGAAAGUUAUAGAAUGGAGCCGAAAUAUAUUCCGUCGACUAAGUUCAAAAAUUUUAAGCGGCAGUUAUGCCCGCCAAAAAUUUUAAAAUUAUUAUUUUUUUAAAAAAUUUGGUUCCGUCAACUAAGUAGAUAUUUCCGUCGACUAAGAUAUAACCUAAGCGAUGGAAUAAUUUUUCGUCACCUAAGUUAUCAUAAAUAAUCAUUUAUAUUUAUAUAUAAAUGUUUCGUCGGUUAGGUAAAAAUUUCCGUCGCCUAAGAUCUUCUUAGCCGACGGAAUAUUUUUCCGUCAGCUAGGUGAAAACUUAGGCUACGGAAGGUUUUCCGUCUGCUAAGUAGAUCUUAGGCGACGAAAAUAUUAUUGUUCUGUCGGCUAAGUGAUUUUUUCCACUAGUGUAUUGUAUUCUAUUUAUUGAAAAAUUUUAAAACGAGAGACUUUUCUCUUGGAAUGUUAACUUCUACUACUACUUCUCCUGGGAAGUUAACCCAUGCUACUACUUCUACUGGAAUUAACUGCUACUACACUAAGUUAUUGAAAAUCUGCUAUUGUAUUCCAUUUAUUGAAAAAAUUUAAAAGGAGAGACUUUUCUCUUCUAAAAACAUAUUUAAUUAUUAUAGGGUUAGUUUGGUAAAUUAAACUAUGACACAUGGCAUGCAGAGAAAAUAUUGUCCUUAAUUGUUAAAAACUGUCUUUAUUUGACAAGCAGAUUUAUUUGUAUUUCGAAUUCUUUUAGAGGAUGUAUAUGUGAUUUGCUAUAAAUAGUAAUACAAAAUAGGAAAUUAUUGUAUGAAAAAAUAAGAUAAAAGAAAACAAAGAAGAAAUGUAGAAAGAGGAGGAAGGGGGAAGCAUCAAUCGAACCUAGGCCAUGGUAGGACAAAAGAAAACAAAGAAGAAAAUGUCAAAAAAAUGUAGAAAGAUGUAACACCCUGACCCAGGUGUUAGAAGAAUAAACGAAUAAAAUAAAUAAAGAAAUCCUAAAUCGAAAAUGAGAUAGCAUCUCAAAAUCAAACAAAACAACAAACAUCUUUGUCGCGUUUGGAACCUAAAUUUCUUUUGUUAAUUUGCGGCUGCACCCAAAACUUGAUCGGGCUGCCUACGUACCCUUUUAAAGGGAUCAAGCCACUCGUAGUUCAACAUUUUAAUCUACUUCUCUACCUUCACUAACAACAUCACAUUUACCACCAUAAGUCCAAAAUCAAAACCCUACUUAUGGACUCUCAAGAACCAGUUCAUGAUACACACCAAUUUAAAAUAUUUUCUCCUAUACCCAUUAAAUCAAAUCAACCCGGCCAUACAAAACCUCAUACAUCAUCAAGGCUAUACCAAUUUAUUAUCAUUCUAAUAUAAACCUCUAGGAGAAUAGUUCAAGAACUUAACUAAACCCCACACUUAACUCGCAAAACAACAUACUCAAGUGCCAAAGAGUGUGUAUAAAUAAUUAUGCACACAUACUUAUAUAUAAAACUCAACUUAUGCAAAUCAUCAACAUGUAUUCUUUCACCAUGAACCCAAGUUUACUAAACAUUCUAACUAGAUUUACUAUGGACACCCAUUAGAUAUACUAUGGACACACAUUUCAACUAACACCAAUCCCAUAUCCAUACAUAACACAGCAAUAUUCACUUCAAUGCAUAAGCACAAUCUAACAACUGUCUAACAGUAAUAUUCAUAUACCCGGUUAUCAAUUUUAACCGUUAAUAUCGCUAGUAUUCGGAAAAUCCGAAACUUAACCUACAUUACUCCAAAAAUUGCUAACUUUCCACCAAUGGGUUUCUCUCAUUUUUAGCAAUUUAAUAAGCAUGAAAAACUGUCCAAUCUCCGGCCACCCCCCAAUCGUAACCAAAAUUUAACAGAACUUUCCUCUCAACAUUUCGAACAAUUUUCAUGAACAACACUAAGCUCAAUUCUAGCUCUAAAUAGUUCAUUUGAUCAAGAACAAUAAAACCCGAUUUGGGGCUAGAAACCCUAAAAUCUCGAAAUCUCAAAUUCUCCUCACACACACCAUGAAUCGAGUUACAAGCUUCUAGAGGAAUGUUGUACUAAUCAAACCCAACCUAAUCAUAUAAAGAACUCACCGAUUGGUGGCCUGAGGAGGGAGAAAUCCGGCUAAAACAGCGACGAACAGUCGCACCUUCUCGCCGUGAUUUCUCCCAAACGGCAGCGAGAGGGACGCUGUCACCACUCUAGAUCGAUAGGUCUCCUACUUAGCUUCCUGCCGAUACCCGGAUCACCGCCCAAUUCAGCCUGACGACGGCGCACGAAGCAGAGAACAGUGGCUUGAGAGAGAGGAUCGCGCGGGAGGAGAGAGAGAGGUGCGGUAAGUUUCUAAUUUUUCUAUCUUCCACCUUCAGUAAGUUUCUCUUUUUAUACCUUUUACCAAAACAGUAACCUCCCGUUUUUAGACCAUAACUUUCUCAUACGAACUCUAAUUUGAGCGUGCCACGUGUCCACGAACUCGUAUUAAUGUUCUCUACAGCUUCCAUAAAGGAAGUUUUACCAAAUUAUCGACUUAACGAAAAGUCAACUUUUUGAGUCAUUUACGGUAAAACGGUUACAAGAAAUAAUAAUUGAAAAUUUACUGUAAACUUCAUAAAUUCACAGAGCAUAGCUCGUUGCUCCGGAAAAUAAUCCGGGCAUACCGGUGAGCUCGUAUAAACGUGUACCACGACUUCGGAGUUUUAAAUCCACUAUUUACCGUUUUCAGAAAAACUCGAAAACAACUCGAGCAAUCACUAUUUAAAUCUCUGAGCGCGAAUAAAGAAAAAUCUGCGGUAACUCAUAACCCCGAACAGUAACCUUUUAGGUACAGGGUAUUACAAUCUUCCCUCCUAAAAGAAAUUUCGUCCUCGAAAUUUCACGAUUGGUUAAACGGUCAAUACCCAUAACAAUUCACUUUCUUUUCUAUGUCGGGCUUCAGUACCCAUAACAUAUUUUUCCAUUUCCCUACAUGGGAACUCGACUUUUACUAGUCUCAUAAAUCAAUUCCGAAGCUAAUCAUCUUAUGUACCAAGGGUUCCUAUUUUACUAGGACACCACUCUACUCCGAGUAAUUAUUUCGCUUCCUCAAAACAAAUAGGAGAUAACAAUAUCUAAUCGUCGUCAUUACACAAUAAUAUCCCAUCAACAUGGUCUAUGGAUUACUUGAUCCGGAUAUAUUCAUUGCAUAAACACGCCAUAAUCUAGGACAUUAAUUAAGUCCAAAUAGGCAUAAAUAUAAUUACCUACCCAACCAAGAAGUCAAGUCAUCCUAGACUUAUCGACUCAACAAUGAAUGAGUCAACGUCGUCGUCAAUAUUUUACAAUCUUCGACGACCAGAUAAAAACAUAAGGAAAUGUAUCUCUCUAUCAAUCAAAUAGUCGUAACCAAUAAACGACUCACAAGCACAAGGAGAUCAAUCCGCGUAAAAGAUCAAUGUACACAAAACAGCUAUACUUUCAGCCUUCCAAACCUCAAGUAUGAGGUAACACCAUGGAACUCUGUAAUCGGAUUCACAUAAAUCCACGAUUUAUCGUGUGAGUAGAAGGUAUCUCGUCACCCAACCUGAGUUUGUUAUGCACUCGCUAUCCACGAACUCAAUUCUAAUUAUCAUUUACGUGACAUUAAGUCUAUAAAUCAUCGACACGAUAUAAGCUGCUUUUCUAGCUUCCCACAUCUUAAAAUAAUGAGAAACAUACGAUGGCACUCUAUAACCAUGUUUAACUUCAAAAUUCAUUGUCUAAAAACAUCAUAGUAAGUAUCUUAUACGACCUAUAUAUGUCGUAUACUUACAUAUGACCGCGUCCUUACAUUAACAUAACAAUUCCUUGAACAUGAAGAAACGAUAACUACCAAUUAGCUUAUCAUAACUAUCGCUCAAAAUGAGCAAUACAACAACAUAGCACAAACAUGUUCUCUAAUUCAGAAUAUAUCGUAUAACCAAAGACUCAGACCACACGACGCUAUGUCAUCAUGGUAGUCUGUUAAUUCCCACUGAAGAUACUAUACGGACUAGACCAGCACAAUGGUCAUUGUCUAGAAUCUAUUGCGCCAACAUAUAUUUUACCAAUCAAGGCCAAUUUCAAUGUCCAAAUUCCAGUAAUCCACACUAACAGUACUUACCGACUCGAUUCCAGAAUCAAUAUAAGUAGCACGUGGAAUUUACGAACAUCAGUUAGUAACCAAACUUCAAUAUAAUUAUCAUCCAAAACUGGUAUGAUCGGUCUCAAAUACCACUAGUAUCUGAGAAAGGUCCUGUGGGACCACUUUUAAGGAAAUUCUUUCGAAAAUUCGGCAUAACCUCCUCUAAAAGUGGACUACCCUUGACCUGUAAAAAUGAUAUACAUAUCUCAGCAUAAACAAAUCUCUGGAGCAUACUGCUCCCUAUAUAUCCACACUGUCCAAUAGACUAUAUAAUCAUCCAUCUUAUAUCCAUAAAUGCAUAUUUUUUUAUUUUUUUAUUUUAUUUGAUUUUUUUCUGCAAAUCGGAUAUGCAUUUGCUCAUACUUACUCAACAGAGUAAUUCAUCAUUACAAAUCAUGAAAACCGAUUAAUAAUAAUCAAAAUAUGAAAACCACGACUUAUAUCAAUAAGGUAUAAAACCAUACCUGCUCACACAAGUGAGAGCCACAUUUUUCGUUUCAUAGCAACAUCGUGCAAUCGCCGCAAUCAGCAGUAAAUCUCGGCGCUCAGCCAUCAACCCCACACUUGGUGGUAAUACCCCGCACUCUCGGCGGUGAAAAUCUGGCGCACGGCCGUAAAACCUCGCACACGGCAAUACUGUAUCCCUGCCCUCGGCAGUUAUCCCGGCACUCGGCUGUAAAUCCCCACUCUCAGUGGUAAUCAUCUUAGAAGUCCGCAAUCAGAUCUGGCAUUGGCAGCAAUACCCGACACUUGUGUGGUAAAACCCGGCACUUGGCCGUAACCAGUGUGGUAAGCCUACGCCCCCCAGGCAAGACGUGGUCGCACCCACACUAAACCCCGCACGUGGCGGUAACCCAGUACGGUAUCCUACACCCCGGGGCAAGACGAGGUCGCACCCGUACUGUAAACCCAGCCGAAGCUGUAAACCCAACAUAUAGCUGUAAACCCAACCGAAGCUGUAAACCCAGCAUAUAGCUGUAAAGCCAGCCAAAGCUGUAAAUCACCCCACACAACAUGCCAGAAGGGUAUAACCGUCAAUACUAAAGUUGGAAUCGCCUGCAUCAAACCACUAUACCAACAUUAGUAACAUGCUUAAACCGUUGCACAUACUAAUUGAGUUCCUAUAGAACAAUUAUAAUAUAACCGCUUGUAUCAAAUUAUUCCAGAAAUUUCUUUAACACAUAACUGCAUCCUCGAGAGAAUUGCACUGCAUCAUACUUAUAGCAAGCAACUCAAAUAAAAGGAUUAGUGAUUUAUAUCAUAGAACCACAUAUAUGAUGACCCAAACAUAACAUCUCCAAAAAUAACUUUAAAUCUUAUAUCAAUCAAUGCACUGUGUGAUGCUAUAAUUUAAAUAUAUAUAAUGGUGCAACAUCCAGAUCUUAUCUCUUCACAGCACUUAACAAACUCAUUUCUAUGAAAACAGUCAAUCUCACUUCCAGCUCUAAGAAUCAGUUACUCAAGUUCCUCUAAUUAUGGAUGCAUAACCCAUUUAAAACGACAUCAAUAAAUGUAAAUAUAUAUGCUUACAUACUAGCAAGCAUCAGUUCCCAAUUCUAUCUAAUAUAAAAUUGCAUAACAAGCAAAACUUCAUAUACAUUAGUGCUACCCUAUAUUUUUUUCCAAAAGCAAAGUUUUGCACUCCUACAGACCAAAAUAACCCCAACAUCAUAUUCAGUAUUAAAGCCAAAACAGUUCAGACAAUGAUUUGAUCAUCAUCACGGGAAUAAUAUGUUAAUCCACAUAAUAUGAUGUCUACAUGUUAGCAUACCACACUAACAUGCAAGAAAAUCUUAUCACAGAACAUCCCCACUCUAUUGGUGACCAAUAAAUCUGUUGGUCCAGAAUUUAUGCAAUACUAUAUACCUAAAUCAGUUUGCUUUGGAAGCUUGCCAAACCGAUCACGAAUAACUGAAGGUUCAUAACUUCAGAAAAUAUCUAACAGGUGAGGCCAGCUCACCUUAACUAGUAAAAUCUCUAGCUUAACAAUUCAAACAGAACCUUAUACUAAUGAAAUCCAAAUAAACAGCAAAACCACCCAAAUAUUUUUGUUGAAACUAGUAAUGGAAACAGAGGAAUACAAUUUCUCAUGAAUCCCCUCAUACGAUCAUCCCUCUGCCAAUAUUUCAAAUUUAAUUCUGGACACACAACACAGAUAUACAAAAAAAAAAAAAAAAUCAAAACUUUCGGCCAUCGAUCACUGCAUCCACUUAGGUAGCUAACUAAUGUAAAGUCACCAAGGUUCUCAAUAACAAAGCCACAAGUCUCCCCUACGACAACGUUAUGAAAAGCACAUAAAUACCACAAAACUUGGAUUUUGGAAACCCAUGAAAGAAUUAGGGCCUAACAAAGAGGUCUGGAACAGGUGGACUUAUGCAACUUGAAUCAUAUCACCAAGUCAAAUUACUAGACUCCAAUCCUAAUAGAUCACUAGGAGGGCUGAGAGCGUUAACAUAAGAAUAAGACCUUCAGUAAAUUUUUUUUUUUUUUUUUUUUUUUUUUUUUUUUUUUAAAAGCUCAUGCCUCCCUAGUCAUCAAAAUGCCAGAUCAGAUAAUCAAAUAAAUCAACUCACAAGUAUAUGCCAAUAUACGCCUAAUAGGGGUUGAAACGACUAAGACCAUUUCCUCACUAGUUGGAAUCUCAUUUAUGGUUCGAACCUGCAUAUCACAUUGGAGCAAUAUCAUACUUAAAGCCAGCAGCCUAUGGAUAGUAACCUGAUCACUAAAACUCACCACCAUACAUUGGUUACCCAAUACCAGAACUUCAUCUUAAACUGCAAUUUACUGUUCAGCAGUCAACACAUUUGUAGCUUAAAGUAGCAAGAAGCACAUCUAGGGUAAGUAUGAGGAAUGAAUAAGGCACAAGAGCCUUAGCCUAACCCAAUUGACAAGGCUUGCAACAUAUAAUGUAUAUAUGCACACAACACACCGUAAAGCUAUAUAUCAACUCUAUCUCACUUUUAAACAAAUAUCAAACGAACAUCAACACUACCAUCUAACAAAAAUUCCUGAUCACAUAUGUAUGAUAUAUAUAUGUAUAGAUCAUAUAUUCAUAAGAAAAUUAAAUUACCUCUCUUUGUCAAAUAUUCGAAGCAAAGAAAGGUAUAACCCAACAGAAUCACAAAGUGAAACUUAUCACACACAACAUAAUAAAUUUGAUUAGAUCAAUACUUUCAGCUAUCAAUUACUGAUUCACCUCUGAUGAAAAACUACUGUAAAGGCUCAAAGUAAACGAGCACUCUGGUCAGACGAGUUGUUUAACUUACUACCUGAUAUCGAAACUAUACUUCCCACAACUUCUAACCCGGGAAUCAUGUCCCCGCUCUGAUACCACUCUGUAACACCCUGACCCAGGUGUUAGAAGAAUAAACGAAUAAAAUAAAUAAGGAAAUCCUAAAUCGAAAAUGAGAUAGGAUCUCAAAAUCAAACAAAACAACAAACAUCUUUGUCGCGUUUGGAACCUAAAUUUCUUUUGUUAAUUUGCGGCUGCACCCAAAACUUGAUCGGGCUACCUACAUACCCUUUUAAAAGGAUCAAGCCACUCGUAGUUCAACAUUUUAAUCUACUUCUCUACCUUCACUAACAACAUCACAUUUACCACCAUAAGUCCAAAAUCAAAACCCUACUUACGAACUCUCAAGAACCAGUUCAUGAUACACACCAAUUUAAAAUAUUUUCUCCUAUACCCAUUAAAUCAAAUCAACCCGGCCAUACAAAACCUCAUACAUCAUUAAAGCUAUACCAAUUUAUUAUCAUUCUAAUAUAAACCUCCAGGAGAAUAGUUAAACUCAUGAACUUAACCAAACCUCACACUUAACUCGCAAAACAACCUACUCAAGUGCCAAAGAGUGUGUAUAAAUAAUUAUGCACACAUACUUAUAUAUAAAACUCAACUUAUGCAAAUCAUCCACAUGUAUUCUUUCACCUUGAACCCAAGUUUACUAAACAUUCUAACUAGAUUUACCAUGGACACCCAUUAGAUAUACUAUGGACACAUAUUUCAACUAACACCAAUCCCAUAUCCAUACAUAACACUCCAAUAUCCACUUCAAUGCAUAAGCACAAUCCAACAACUGUCUAACAGUAAUAUUCCUAUACCCGGUUAUCAAUUUUAACCGUUAAUAUCGCUAGUAUUCGGAAAAUCCGAAACUUAACCUACAUUACUCCAAAAAUUGCUAACUUUCCACCAAUGGGUUUCUCUCAUUUUUAGCAAUUUAAUAAGCAUGAAAAACUGUCCAAAAAGUGGCAGCACCACCGCCAGCUCUGCCUGCUGCGGCGGCAGGCCAGCGGCCAAUCUCCGGCCACCCCCCAAUCGUCACCAAAAUUUGACAGAACCUUCCUCUCAACAUUUCGAACAACUUUCAUGAACAACACUAAGCUCAAUUCUAGCUCUAAAUAGUUUAUUUGAUCAAGAACAAUAAAACCCGAUUUGGGGCUAAAAACCCUAAAAUCUCGAAAUCUCAAAUUCUCCUCAUACACACCAUGAAUCGAGUUACAAGCUUCUAGAGGAAUGUUGUACUAAUCAAACCCAACCUAAUCAUAUAAAGAACUCACCGAUUGGUGGCCUGAGGAGGGAGAAAUCCGGCUAAAACAGCGACGAACAGUCGCACCUUCUCGCUGUGAUUUCUCCCAAACGGCGGCGAGAGGGACGCUGUCACCACUCUAGAUCGAUAGGUCUCCUCCUUAGCUUCCUGCCGAUACCCGGAUCGCCGCCCAAUUCGGCCUGACAGCGGCUCACGAAGCGGAGAACAGUGGCGGGAGAGAGAGGAUCGCGCGGGAGGAGAGAGAGAGGUGCGGUAAGUUUCUAAUUUUUCUAUCUUCCACCUUCGGUAAGUUUCUUUUUUAUACCCUUUACCAAAACAGUAACGUCCCGUUUUUAGACCAUAACUUUCUCAUACGAACUCCAAUUUGAGCGUGCCACGUGUCCACGAACUCGUAUUACCGUUCUCUACAACUUCUAUAAAGGAAGUUUUCCCAAAUUAUCGACUUAACGAAAAGUCAACUUUUUGGGUCAUUUACGGUAAAACGGUUACAAGAAACAAUAAUUGAAAAUUUACUGUAAACUUCAUAAAUUCACAUAGCAUAGCUCGUCGCUCCGGAAAAUAAUCCAGGCAUACCGGUGAGCUCGUAUAAACGUGUACCACGACUUCAGAGUUUUAAAUCCACUAUUUACCGUUUUCAGAAAAACUCGAAAACAACUCGAGCAAUCACUAUUUAAAUCUCUGAGCGCGAAUAAAGAAAAAUCCACGGUAACUCAUAACCCCGAACAGUAAUUUUUUAGGUACGGGGUAUUAAAAAAAGGAGGAUGGGGAAAGCUAGGAAUUGAACCCAAGUCAUAGUGGGAGAUGAAAGUCUUAACUAAGCCAACAAUGAUCUUUCUACAAAAUGCACAGCUAGUGGUAUAUAGCCUAAUUUUUUUUUUUUCUAGGCUUCAGCCCAUAGAGCCUACUAAGUAGAUCUGUCCCUGCCAUUUUGCUUGUGUUACAUUCACUUUCUUGUAUAAUCCAAGAGUGAAUGAGUUGUAUCACUUGUAUGACAUGCGCGUGGAGUGCAGUUUCUCUAUUUGUAAGGUAUAUUUGAUUAGGUUUCUAGUCCUAGUUUGAAAUUGAAUAUGCUUUCUUGUUGCCGUGUUGGACUAAGGAUUCUCUUAGUCGACCUAGUUUGAGCUUUGCAGUAUAUUUCCAUAAACACUAUUGUGUUUUUAGUUUGCAACAAGGAAGGGUGGAAGGAGUGAGGUUCAAACUCCAAAGUAAGCAUUAAUUGCUACUAACACACCCCUUUUUGGUAUUAACACACCUCAUUUAUGAUGAUAGCCAAUCAUGAAACAAAUACAAGUGACAAGUUUGUAAAUAAAUUUAAAAUGUGUGGAUAUGAAAAUACAUAAUAUGUGUUAAUAGCAAAAAGAGGUGUGUUCAUAGCAUCACCGUAGUUGAAUUUGUCUCAUUUUGUCAUUUAAUAGCAUCACCCAAGUUUGUAAACAAAUUAGAUUCGUUGGAUUAAAUCAUUUAAAAUCCAACGGUUGUUAGAAGCUUGUCCCGUUUUGUCUUGUAAAAAGUGUCUCGCAUGUGAGCGGGUCUGUUUAACAUUGUUAGCUGACAAGACAUUGAUAAUUUAGCAAAACUACAUAACGACCUAUCCAUGUGACGGCAAUGGCGUAACUAGAAAUCUCACUUAGAAAUGUCAAGUUUUAUUAACUAAAAAAUUAAAUUCUUUUUUUUUCUAACUCUCUAGCAAUGACAUAAUUUUUCUUUAAAAAAUGCCGCAAACUUAAUUUCAACAAUAUUUUUGUCCUAGAUAUCAAUUCAUAAAUGAACAUUUCUCCUGGAAAGACCAUUAAAUCAUCUCGAGUAAACUUUAGAUUUCAGUAUUUCGUGCACGAUAAAUAUCAAAAAUAAUUAGUUCCUUUCUCUUUUUUGAGAGAUAUUGUCGAUAUGUGAUAAACAUUAAUGUGUUGAUUCUAUUUUGCUUAUUUGUAAAGAAAAAAGAUUGUAAAUGGAAUUUAAAACAUUAAAGUAUGUAUUAGUAAGGUAAGAAAUCAUUGAUGCAAUUUGUAUUAAUUGGAUUAAAGUAUUUCAUUCCACUAAUGUUAAAAAAUAUUUAAGACUAUUUAAGAAUUUCUUAAAGGUGAAGGGUCAAUUUAUGUUUCAUUCCAUUAAUAUCUAAUACUAAUGAAGACUAAUUAUACAAUUAAAAAUUUUAAAAGGGUUCAAUAAUUGAACCCUCUCGCCCCUACCUAGCUACGCCUCUGCCUGUAUGUCCAACAAAAGAAGCCAUUAUAUGCUCAAUUCAACCUUUUAUUGUUUUAUAAAACCCAUGCAAAAUCUAACCAACAUUAUUUAAGAGAAAUCAAAAUGCCCAGAUAGUGUGACCAAAAUAUUUUUAUAAACGUUACUAAAAAGGUAGGAGGUAAGUUGUGAGUUUGACACAAAUAAAAUUAGUUGUUUUAAUUCCUAGUUGUUUAUGUAAUAGACUUUGUUAUAAAUGAACAUGAAUCGCUCAAGUUGCGUCAUAAAAUUCUAGAUUAUUCGAGAAGAUUAAUCACUCCCGAAAAUCUAUUGAUCGGUGCGGUAUACUUAGAAACCUUUUCAUAAUUUAAUAAGAGGUAGUUACAUUAAGUAACUUUAGUGUCGGACACUAUCGUUAUAAGAAUAUUUUGUUAUUAUAUGUAUGUAGGGCUAUGCAUAGGCCGGGACGAGCCGGAUCGACCUAAUCCCGGAAAUAUAUCACGAGAUGGGACAAGACGGGAUUAACUAUUUUAGACCUGAUCCCAAACGAUCCCGAUUGGGACCAGGACAGGUCCAAGCCUAAAUCGGGAUUCAACCUCUCUUUUAAGAAAAAAUAAAUAAAAAAAUUAUGGAGGGAGGGCUCGAGCAUCCGCCGAGACCGGCUUCUCACCUAUACCAUCAAUUACAACCAAGAACACAAAAAUAUAGCAAAACAAACACAAUCAAAAUCCAAGAUAAGUAGAUCUAUUAAAGAGGAAUUCUUUUUUCCCAUUCAACAAUUACAAUUACAAACCCCAGAUAUGUAGAUUUCAACAAAAAAAUUGAAAAUUUAUAAUUAACCUAAAAUUCAAACAAACAAUCAAAAUCAAAGGAUAGAUUGGGGUUGGUGUUCCUUGUUGGUGGUGUGUCGAUUGUUGCUGUCUCUGUCGACUGAAGGAGAUGGUGCGUAGAUUCACUAGAUUGCUUGCAGAAAUAUGUGUUGUUGUUGAUCGAUACCCCCAAUAUUGGUCUCUUUGAACCCUCAAAUGAACAAGUAAGAGAGAGAUCUAGAGACGGAAGGGGUUGAUAGAAGUUUGCGAGAAGGAGGGAAGUAGCGAGAGCGAGACUGUGAGAGAGAACUCAGAGGAGGGAUGAAAGAAUUAAUAAGAGGGAAAGAGGUCGAGGGAUUCUUCAAAGUCAAAAAAAAAGGGUAGCUAGCCUCAUACGUGCAUUCUUAAAGUGACUGGGCAUCUUUACUAAAGCUAUUAUUACAAGGUAUAUAUAUAUUUAUAAGGAUGGGUUUACGGGAUUUGAUAUCAUAAUCCUGAACCCCGUCCCAUUUUCUUAAAACGGGAUAGGCCGGGACGGGUUUGCACUUUUUCUUCUCAAGGCCCGUCUCGUCCUGUUUAUUUUCGGUACGGAAUCGGGACAGGAUCUCGGGACCGGUUUUAUAUGCUCAACCCUAUAUGUAUGUGUGCGUAUCUAGUUAGAAGCUCCUUUUAAAUAGAAUUUCUAUUAUCGAAUAAAUUGAUAGUUGUUUUCAAUAACGAUAAGUCCCAGGGGUAGGAGCCAUAAGUCCCCAGACCUGUGAAACUUUGGCAUUAGUCAAUGGUCUUCACUUUUGUACUCAAGCAGGUUUCUCAAAUGUGAUGGUGGAAGGUGAUGCCCAAAUGUGAUGAACGCAUUGGAGGAGACAGAAGAGGAUUUGUGUUUUGAUGGGGGUCUGCUAGAUGAAGCAAGGGCAUUAAUAAGUUCUUUUCAGCAAUGCAGUUGGGGUUUUGUUCCCAGAGGAUGUAAUAAAGCUGUGUACUUUCAUUACCUUAUCCCACAUAUUGGUGGCUAAUGGAGUCGGAGCGGCUCUCAUCAGUUUUAAUUUCUGAAGCAAGUUUUUAGUCUUUCUAUGGAGUGUGGUACUCUUCAUUCUGUUUAUGGAGGGUUUAAUGAGGUCACUUUGUACUCCUAUUGCAGUCCUUUAAUUACGAAUGAAUCAUUCCCUUUGACAAAAAAAUAAAAUAAAUAAUAACGAUCGUUACUGUCUAAAGAUUGCUUAAAUUUUAGUUUUACGUAAAUUAAAAUAACAACGUAUUAUUGCAUGACAUCCCCAAUCUUUCAAUUCAGAUUGACUACCAAUAAAUUAAUAUUUGACUAUAGUAUUAUUAUGGGCCCAGAUCAGGGAUGGUAAUGGGUAGGGUAGGGUACGGGGAUCAAAAUACCAUACACAUAUUUUUUACUUUUCUCAUCCCCGUACCCGUUUUCAUACCCGUAAUUAGAUAAUGGGGAUUCCCCGUACCCGUACCCGUACCCUUUGGGGAUUACUUUCCAUACCCGUACCCGUUAACAAUUAUAUAUUAAAUUAAUUUUUUUUUUAAAUACGAAAUAUAAUUAUAUAAAUGUAUGAAAUUAAAAUCAAAUACCAAAAUAAAUAAGUUUCAUGCUUCAAUCAUAAAUUUUUUUGCAUAAAUAUUUAUUUAUAAAUUAUAUGUAAAUAUAUAUAUAAUAAAUUAUAUAAUUAUAUAUAAUAAUAUUUUCAUCCUUAAUGGGUGGGGAUUGGGACGAAUAUCAAAAUACUAUACCCGCCCCGUACCCGAUUUAAGAAUCCGAAUGCUGGGGAUCCUCAUUCCCGUUACCCGUUUAUACCCGUAUAUCUUUCCCGUUAGGGUCAAAUAUCCGUGGGUACCCUACCCGUUGGGGAUUAUUAUCAUCCCUAGCCCGGAUCAAGGGACACUUUAUUUUACUUAAAUUUUUAUACUGUUUUUCGACCAUUAGAUUGAAGUUUUCAAUGGUCUUGAUUCAUUAUAAGCAUGUUGUGGCAGAUGAUGUGGAAACAAUUUUAUUUUCUAAAAAAAGAAAAUUAAAACUUAAAUGAAGAGGAUUUUAUGUAGAAAAUCAAGUCUAAAUUAGAAGGUGAAUGUCAUCUUCUUCUUCAUGCAGAAAGAAAACAACCUCCAUGUAUAUUCUCCAAGUUUGAUUGCAAUAACAAUAAAUAUUGUAAUCGUAAACAUAUUUUAGCGGAACAUGUAAGAUUAAUGUUUAGAUUGAGAAAAAACAAAAACCAUCAAUCUUCUUCAUCUAGAUUCUAGACCUAAAUCAAAUGAUGUGAUUUCAAUGUAAAGAAAAAAGAGGGGAUCUGAAAACCAUUGAAAACCCUAAGAAGAGGAGAGAUAAAAAUUUGAACCAGUACUAAUACUACUUACAUUGGAAAAUGAAGGAGACCGGCCAGGGGAGGGAUGAAUUUUAAUUUUUCAUCUCGAGCAAUUGAUGUUGAAAGGAGAGAUAUCUAGGUUUCUCAUAUUUCCCAAUUCCCAUAAGAAGAAUGCGUUCUGCAAAAACAUGAAGAUGUUCAUCUUCUAUCUUUAAUCUUCCUUAGUUAUAAAUUUAUUAUCAAUUAAGUUUAUCUAUUAAUACAUAUAUAAUUAUUUCUACAUCAUCUGCCACAUUAUGCUUAUAAUGAAUCAAGACCGUUAAAAAUACUUAAAUCUAAUGGUUGAAAAAUUAAUGAUGUAAAAGUUUAUGUAAAAUAAAGUGUCUCUUGAUCCGGACCUAUUAUUAUAGCUAGCUUAUUGCUUUCUUCUUAUUGUAAUUAUAGUAAGUUAGUAACAAAUACGUUCUCCAGGGCAUUAUAAUAAAGUCUAUGAUUUAGUGUAUGCAUCUUUGAAUGAGCAUCUCCAGCAGUAUUGCUAAAUCAAUUUUUUUUAAAAUUUGUCAACUUUUGGGAUGAAUAAGGGCUCCAGCAGAAUGCCUAAAAAAUUACUAAAUCCUAACAUUGCUAAACUAAAUUGACAAAUUUAUCAAUCUAGACAUAAAUUGCUAAAGAGAAACAUAUGUUUUCCCUCCAUUUUUUAUCCACGUGUAAGUUUAUGAUUCGUUAAAAUAAUUACUUAACUUACACUUAGCAAUUACUGCUGGAGCACAGUUGCUAUUUCAAUUGUUAAAUAUCCUAACUAUUGUUAAAUUUAGCAACAAACUUACCUAUACUACUACUACUGAAGAUGCUAUAUCAUUUAGUGCAUGCAUCUCAGCAUAUCUUUGAAAACCACUAACCACUCAUAUUUUAAAAUGUAUCAAACGCAGACCACUCAUAUUGCAAAAUAUAUUCAAUGCCAAAAACCAUGGUCGCCUAUAGUAUUCACAUAUUUGUUAGACAAAAUUACGCUAUAAAAGCACAACAGAGACCCUGAGUAAAUCACACCUUCAAUCUCUCUUCUUCAGCGUCCCAUCUCUUCUCACUAGUUUGAAUUAAUAUGUUGAAAGUUGGUCUUGUAAUAUCUGAGGCCGAAUGCAAAGAUGAAGAUGAAGACCGUGCCUGUAUCAUAGGGCCUCAAUUAAUCGAAUCAAUGAUUUACCAGAGGUAGAUCUCUUUCUGAAACAAUCUCUUGCCAACAAACUUUUUGAAUAUAUAAAAUGUGUUGUUUAGGGUAUUCAUGAACUUGCAAUAUUGUACCUUGUUUCAGCGUCUCGAGAGAGAUCGAGAGAUCGCAUAACCGAAUACAAAUCAUUCUGCAUCCAAUAUGUAUCAAUGUUUUAUCCAUUUUUAUCUGAAUUCUAACCUUUUUUUUUCUUUUGUGAUCAGUUGUAUGUGUGGAUCCUAUAGAGAAAGAGGAGCACGGAGGAUAAUGUAGUGACCGGGUGAUAUUGAAGAAGAUGACACGAGAGGUUCAGGUGCAAUAUCCUACUGCUAACAAAGGCUGACAUAGCCUCUGGAGAUAUGUUUCUCCUUAAGAGUUAAGAGCAGGUUUUGGAAAAAUCUUUGUCUCUCCAGUAGACGGGUUCCAUAACGCAAGUAUGUCGAACCCAAGAAUGUCAUCUUUCUCGUCUAUCUCGAGACAUACCAGACCAUGGCAGGAACACAAGCUCAAGAAUGUCAUCCUUCUCGUUUAUCUCGAGAUGUACCAGACCAUGGCAGGAACCCAAGCUCCUCAUCCUUCUCGUCUAUCUCGAGACGUACCAGUCCAUGGCAGGAACUCAAGAACGACAAACUAGUGUUGGGCUCGAAUAUGUCUACACAACGUACCUCUUUGAGUUUUGCAAUGAAUCAAUGAUCUACCAAAAUUAUAGAUUUUUGGUUAGUUUUAGGCUGAUUGUAUGAGUCUUAGAUUGUUUUUUGUAAGUAUUUGAUUGUAAUCCGAUAAUUAAUCAAUGAAGUAUUGUUUUUAGGGCCAGUUUUGGUGCUUGACCCUUUGUAUUAUUGAAUAGCAAAUCAAUGAAUGUUUCAGCUACGUAUGUGUACAUACGUGGAAUAUCAUAAGCUACUUUUCAUAUUGUGGCAAGACAAGCUUGACAUCUAUUGCAAAGCUUAGUAGUGAAACUGUGUAAUUAGUUCUUUAGAGAGGUUUUAAAUUGUCUAACCUAGCUAGAGUAUUUCUGCGCGCAAGAUAGGUGCUCAGUUUGCUGCAUCUUUUUCAAAGGCAAAACCUACCUGUUGGAAAGUGAGAGAAGUGGUGCGUAGUACGUAUAUGUUGUUCGUAUACUUUUACUUUUCUAAACCAAUAUGCCUUUGCAUUACAUGGAUCAUCAAGAAUGACAUAUAAUUUGAUUCCACCAGUUUUGCUUUAUAAAAUCUAUCACCAUCUAAUCACAUUCCCUUUUCAGUUUUAGUGUUUCAAUAUAAGUCUUCUCUUCUUUGGAUUUCUUGUACUUAUUUAUCAUACUGUUCAUGUAAAAUUCUUUACUAAACUCAGGUCUGGCAUGGCUAUUGAAAUUUACUAAUUGAUAAUCCUAAUCCCUAACCGACUUGCUUCAAUUCUCCAAGUCCAAUCAUAUGUCAUAGAUGGUUUGGUUAUAAUAGAUGGUUUGGUUAUUUUUAGGAUAGAACACUGCAAUUUUGCAGAAGUUUUUAGGAUAUCAAUAUUGUAGAACUUUAAUUGAUUGGACUAUUGCAACAAAUUCAAUUAAUAUAGAGAGCUUAAGUGAGUUUUAUGGAAGCAAUCUUCUCUCUCUCUCUCACUUAUACUAUUUAGUUUUGCGUUACACUCUCUAUAUAUAGGGUAAGUACAAUAAUGAAAAAUCGAUCAAACAUUUAUAUCGAUCAAUAUUUAAUUACUUUCCCAUUACAUCAAACUUAUAUACUUCCAUGCUGGAUACAAAUUUGCCGACUACAUUUUACUUGGAAAACAAAUUUGCGGACCAUGUUUUACUUGCACACAUCAAUGCUCAUCAUUUAAAUUAGUGACACAUGCCCUUUUUUUUAUCAAGAAUAAAAUGGAACCAUUUGAAGAGACAUGGUGGGCAAGUUAAAAGCGGUCGGCAAAUUAAUUUGUAUCCAUUACUUUUCGAGAUGUGUUAGAUGCUCGUAGCAAGGCUAACCAUGGAGUGCUACACUAACAUCGCAAAAGACGGAGAAGACGUCGUUUGAGGCUGACAUCAGAUGUUGCUAAUAGGUCCCAAAGCCAUCAUGGCUAGGGUUUAUGAGGAGACAGAGCCUCUUCAUAGUAUUUUUACCCUAAUCUCCAACUUGAGGAGAUUAGGGUAAAAAACCAGGCACGAGCUAGGUUCAUACAGGUAUAAAUACUUCUAUCUCCCAGUUUAGAAAAUGUGGACACUAUUUAUUCACUGUAAACUAUCAAGUAUUGGAUAUUGGUGGGCGUGCUAUGUCUUGGUAAAUGCACGCAUCGUGCCAUGUUUGCUCUUUGGAGGCUGUGAGCUCUUUACCUUUUUAAAUGGCCGCGGCCUCUAUUCUGUGAGGAGUGGAUAUCAUGUUGCUAGGAGGCUGAGGUUGGAACAGAUAGGAGGCACCUCUUCAGUUUUAACUAGUAACUCUCCUUUAUGGAAGAAGAUAUGGAAAGUGAAGGUGCUGCCAAAGGUAAAAAACUUUGUUUGGAGGUUGGUUAAAAAUAUUGUCUCUACAAAAGAGGUAUUAAUUAAGCAAGAGAGUCCCUUUGCCAGACCAUCUAUGUCCAUUCUGCUAUGGCGAAACCGAGUCCUCGUUGCACCUCUUCAAGAUCUGUAAUGUAGUGGCGUGUAUUUGGCUGUUUAGUUCGUUGGAUAUGAGAGCAAGACACUCUGGAAUGGAGACCAUUGAAGCUUGGAUCCAAGAUAUACUGGAGAACUUACAGGCACCACAAAUGGAGGUAUUCUUUAUACUUCUCUGGUCAAUUUGGGUUGAACGUAACUAUGUGGUUUGGAAUGGUUCAAGAGUGGAUCCAAGGGAGACGGUGAGAUGGGUAAUGGCUUUGUUGGACGAGUACAAGCGAGCUCAACCUGUGGCAAAUAAAGGAAAGAGAAGUAGACAAGAAGAGAGGUGGAUUUUUCCUCCUAGAGGCAAACUGAAACUCAACCUCGACGGGGCUUAUAGAGAGGACGGAUCGGGAGGAGCUGGUAUGUUGGUGAGAGAUGAGAAGGGCAUUGUUAAGGGAGCGUGGUCAGUGCAUUUGACCAAUUUAAAUUCUCCCCUACAGGCCGAGGCUAUGGCAUGCAGAGAAGGGUUGAGGAGAGCAGUAGAACAAGGUUGGCUCAACAUUGAUGUUGAGAGUGAUUGUGAAGUUCUGGUGGCGGCUCUGAACGGUGAGAACGGUGGUGGAUUGGAGGUUAGUCGGAUUAUUGAUAAUUGUCGUUACUAUUUGAUUUUAUUAAACAAUAGUGUGGUCAGACAUAUCUAUCGUGAAGCAAAUAAUGGUGCUCAUAGGUUAGCCCAUUUUGCUAGUUAUAAUAAUGUAAUAGAGCUAAGUGUUGGUUUAGUUCCUAUAUUUUUACAAGAUGUCCUCUAUGAGGAUUCAUGUAAUGCUAGCUUCUAGUGCACUCCGAGGUAAAGGUAUUAUGUCCCCCUCGGUGAUACACAAUUCUAUUAAUAUUAAUAACGAGCGUGGCGCUGAGCCUCCCAGGUAGGCUGGGUUCCAAACCCUUUUAUCACAAAAAAAAAAAAACUAGGUCGCAGCCUCCUAAUGACAAGAUGAAACUUAGGGUAACUAGUAAUUCCCAAUGACAUCAUAUUUGGAAAGUUGAUAAACAUAGUAACUUAGGGCUUUGUACGAGCAGUAUUUUCAGGUAUGUCACUAAAUUUGUAAAGCAAAAAGCAAAUGGAGUAGCCAAUGAUGCCCUCGUGCUUGCUUAGAAUGUAUAGAUUUUGUAGACAUGCCUAAUACUAUUUUAAUACUAUUACAGGGUUUAGGCUCAAUGUCCCCACCCCCCCCCCCCCCCNNNNNNNNNNNNNNNNNNNNNAAAAAAAAAAAAAUCAAAUUUAUUUUUCAUAUUGAAUAUUACACUAUUUUUUAAAUAAAAAAUAUUUCGAUAAACGUUACCAAAAAGGUAUAGGAGGCACAUUGUGAGUUCGGCUCAAAGAAAAUUAAUUGUAUUAAUUCCUAAUUGUUCAAGUAAUAGACUUCGUUAUAAAUAAACAUGAAUCACUUAGGUUGUCUGUCAUAAAAUUCUAGAUUAUUCGAGAAGAUUAAUCACUCCUGAAAGUAUUUUGCCUGGUACGGUAUACUUAGUAACAUUUUCAGAAUUUAUUAAAAGUAGUUACAUUAAAUGACUUUAGUGUCAGAGAUUCUCGUUAUUAGAAGAUUAUGUGUCAUUAUAUGUACGUAGGUUUAGAUAUCUAGAUUAUUCGAGAAGAUUAAUCACUCCCGAAAAUUGUUGACCGGUAUUGUAUACUUAGAAACCUUUUCAGAAUUUAAUAAAAGUAGUUACAUUCAAUGACUUUAGUGUUAGAGAUUCUCGUUAUUAGAAGAUUAUGUGUCACCCUAAAUAGAAUUUCAUUUAUCGAAUAAAUUAGUAAGAGUUGUUUUCAAUAUCAAUUGUCACUGUCUAAUGAUCGCUUUUAAAUUUUAGUUUUACGUAAAUUAAAACAACAACGUGUUGCAUGACAUCCCCAAUCUUUCAAUUCACAUUAAUUACCAACAAAUUAACAUUUGACUAUUAUUAUUAUUAUUAUUAUUAUUAUUAUUAUUAUUAUUAUUAUCAUCAUCAUCUUCUUAUUGCUUUCUUAUUGUAAUUAUAAAAACAAAUACAUGCUCCAAGCGAAAGUUCUUGUAUGCACCUAGGUACAAGUGAACCAAUAGUUAUAAUUUAAUCUGAACCGUUGAUUUGAUCUGGUUUUAUAAAUUUACUAACUUUGAUAUUAACACUGUUAAAUGACACUAACAACGAUGCUAACACCGCUAAGAAUAAAAACCAAAAAAAAAAAAGAAGUCAAACGUGGUAAAAACGUGAUAAAAGCACAAAACAGUUAAAUAUUUAGCUAAUCAAAUUAAACCAAGAUAAUUUUCCAUUCAAAAAUUGUCUCUUUGUAGAAUUUAUAAGUCUGNNNNNNNNNNNNNNNNNNNNUACUAUAUAUAUAUAUAUAUAUAUAUAUAUAUAUAUAUAUAUAUAUAUAUAUAUGAGGCUGUGGCUUGCGAAUUUUAUUACUUUUUGAUUUAUGUAUGUCACUCUUAAAUGUUAAGUUAAUUUUUUAUGGACAGGAUAAAAUAUAAAUCGUUGUAUACAAUAGGACUAGCUGAUAUGAAUAUGUAACAUUUAUCCGCAGUCGGCAUAAAAAUCAAAGGUUGAUUUCAUUUUUCGGAAGGGCCACCGCAAGCAAGAUUUCUUCACGAUAGAGAUGGUUUAAUCCAUUUCUAAUGGUGCAAGGCCUCCACCAAAAGCUCUACGCGGAUAGCUUUUGCAUGGAGAUUUGAAGUCUUGAACUAUAUAUAUCACUUUCCCACGACUAAAGUAGAUAUUCUAGUCUAGCCAAUAUGGAAUUCAAGUUCCUUUCCCAUUAGUGAACGAAAGAGCUAGGCAUAAUGGCAUCACAAUGUGAAGCAAGGCCAUCAAGAAGGAAUUGAAUAUGCUUCAAAAGGUGGUUAACCCCUUACCUGUCGGUGCAACCUUGGUGUGGCGUGGUGCAGCUGAGGCCAAGAACUGAACACAAACCCAACCCUUUACAGCUACUAUAUCACAGUAGUACACAGACUAGACUUGAGGCAAACACCAACCCAACCCUUCCCCACCUUCCCCUUUUUUGCAGUUUGUGAAAAGAGACCAACCAACCAACCGCCCAAAACACAGUCGGGAGAGAUCUGAGUACAGCUCAGUUUAGGCAAGAUGACAAUGCCCAAAAGCCUCGUAUCAGAAUAGGAAUUCUUUAGUGUCAUAAUGAAAUGAGAGACUGAAUCUCGAUCACACCAUUGCGUGGUGUAGAAGCAACCGGAUCACUACUUUUGCAGUGACAUUUCGUUUUCCUAAGCUAGCUGUACGUACAAGCAUAAUUACCAAGCUCACAAUCGCAACCGCGCAGGCAUGAGACUUCAUUAACAUUAGCCUCGAUCUUCAGACAGGCCAUGUGAGAUACAAUUAUUUACGGUGUGUAUCGUCGACACAUUUCCAGAAUUGAUUUGUCGAAAGUUCUUGUAUGCACCUAGGUACAAGUGAACCAAUAGUUAUAAUUUAAUCUGAACCGUUGAUUUGAUCUGGUUUUAUAAAUUCACUAACUUUGAUAUUAACAUUGUUAAAUGACACUAACAACGAUGCUAACACCGUUAAGAAUAGAAACCCAAAAAAAAGAGUCAAACGUGGUAAAAACGUGAUAAAAGCACAAAACAGUUAAAUAUUUAGCUAAUCAAAUUAAACCAAGAUAAUUUUCCAUUCAAAAAUUGUCUCUUUGUAGAAUUUAUAAGUCUGUUGAGUAUCCUCUCUCUCUCUCAUCAGCGGCGACCCGAUGGCGAUGGAGCAUGAUGAGCCUGCAGGUGCGACCAAUAAGGCGGUCGUAAUAUGGCUCCUCCGGCGCACAACAGCACGGCUCUCCCACAAUAAUUUUGAGGGUCAUACAAGGUCAUCGACAACGUCACGCAGCCAGAGCCAAGCGGAUCCCACUGGUUGGUGUCGGGAUGGACGGCGACAGACGUACGUAGUGCAGGUGGGUGAGAUAGGGGUUCGAUCUGGGAGAUAGGAAUGGUGCAGAUGGGUGGACGUGUGGGAAACUGGGAAUGAUGAGGUGUCUUGGGCCUGAACCUUAUGGCCUCCGGUUCUUCUAGUUUUUUCAUAAUUAAAUAUAAUAGAGAUUACUUAAAAAAUUAUUCAAAAAAGAAAUAUAUAUAUAUAUAUAUAUUUGAUAAAUUAAAAGUGAUCAUAUAUAGCAUAUAGCAUUUUAAUUCAAAUGUAUAUAAAGAUUAUCUGCAAAAUUAAUAAUACUGAAACUAAAAAUUGAUGAAUUUGAUAAAGAAUUGAACAUUUACCGCAUAGCAAAUGAAUUUUGUAAACGCUUUGCUCUUUUCUCGGGAAUAAAUAAAGGAUAUGGACAAAAUCGAUAAAAUGGAAGAAAUUCUUACUCAUAAAAUAAUUGAUUAAGAAAAUUAGACCACAUUUAAAAUUUUAAAAAAUCAGCUGUAUGAUGUGAUAGUUAUAGUGAAAUACGGUCAUGGUAGAAAAAUUAAAUAUUUUCGAUAACAUUUUAGCCUCGAUAAGGCGGUCAACUCUAUUUACGCUUAUUCUUUUUAAUGGAGAGCCCUAUCAUCAUGAGGUAAACUUUAUCAAAUGUUUACAUGGGCUGUUACAUCUCUUUUGCAUGAGUGUGUGCGUAGAUGAAUUGACCAGAAUAAGUAAUAAUGGGUUGGGUGAGAAUGUUUUCGUGUGAUAUGGGACAUCGAUUUAGGGUUGACCGUGUGGAUCGAGACACAUAUAUUAUAAAAAAUAGGUGAAUUUUUUUUCAUAGCCAUAUCCAACUACACUGAUUACAUCAAACGGUCAUACUUUGAUUUUAUAAAAUUUAAUUAUUAGGAUCCCAACGUGCCUACUAAUGUGGUGUAACUUGUUUAGUAGGUAUUAUGUAAAUGUACAUAUUUAUGAAGCAACUAUAUCUUGCAAAUAGAAUUUUGAAAAAUCGGCCGUAAGAUGUCAUAUGUAUAGGGGAAUACGGCUAUGGUAGAAAAAUCACAUAUUUUCGAUAACGUUUAGGCCCCGAUCAAGACAGUCAACCAUAUUUACUCGUAUUCUCUCGUAUGGGGGCCUUAUCGUUGGGAGGUAAACUUUCCCAAAUUUUUACAUGGGUUGUUAUAUUUCAUAUACAUGAGUGUGUGCAUGAAAAAAUUGACCAAAAAAAGUCACUAGCAGGUAGGUGAGCACGUUUUUCUUGUAAUAAGGGACGUUGAUUAUUUAAGGUUGACCAUGUGGAUCGAGACCUAAACUUUGUCGAAAAUAGGUGAAUUUUGUUGCAUAACCGUAUUUAACUAUACUGAUCACAUCAAACGGUAGAAAUUUAAUUUGGUGAAAUUUAGUCAUUGGAACCCCAACGUGUCUACUAAUGUGGUAUAAUUUGUUUAGUAAGUUUUGUGUAAAAGUUCAUAUUUAUGAAAAACUAUAUAUUGCAAAUAAAAUUUUGAAAAAUCGGCCGUAAGAUGUGAUAGGUAUAGUGGAAUACGACUAUUGUAGAAAAAUCACAUAUUUUUGUUAACGUUUGGACCCCGAUCAAUGCGGUCAACCCUAUUUACACUUAUUCUUUCUUAUGGAGGGAUAUCUUUAGGAGGUAAACUUUUCUAAAUUUUACAUGGGCUGCUACGUCUCAUCUACGUGAGAGGGUUUGUACAAAAGAGUUGACCGAACAAUAACAAGAUAGGUAAGAGCGUUUUGAUAUGAUAAACGAUGUGGAUCGAUGUAAUACCCCGUACAUAUGUAUGACCACUAUAAGAUACUUUUGACUUUUUCAGUAAGUUAGAAUGAGUUACUAUUUCCUAUGGUUCAGAGAAUGAGUUACUAUUUCGGAUUGACCGGUUCAUUUUUCUAAACUUUUUGAUAAUUUCAGUUACUAUUUUCUGAUUUUAUCCCAUCGUUUAAUCCUGACCCUCCAUUUCCCUCAUUUAAUCUGGACCAUUGUCCAAGCUAUUUAAGGGAAAGAGAGGUCAGUGAGUCAGUCUCUCUCUCAAACCCUAGCUAGUUCUAGCGGGAGAGAGAAGCAGAGGCGCAGCCGCACAGGCUGCCAGUCACUCCGCCGCCGUCGAGCUGCCACUUGACGAUCGACGACCACCAUUCUACUCGUCUCUCUCCCCUUUUUCUAUCCCUGCCACCGAAUCCAACAUGUAACCACCACCAAUAGAUCGAAUUAGAAAACCCUAAAUUCCCAUUCCCAAUUCCAUCUCCGGCAAGUUCUUGCUUCCCAAUUGUUCCAAGACAAUAUCUCGGCAAAGGGAUGCACGGGAGUUGUAUCUUGUAUGGUUCUUCUUCAAAUAACACAGUUUGCUACGGAAUAUAAAUAUAAUGUAGGUGUAGUUUGUCCAUUCCACAUACAUCAGUUUACAGGAGUCAAUCGUUUGAAUGCUUUUGCGUCUACAAGCCGAAGCCGCCUCACCCCCUUCAGAAGCAGAAGUGGGGAAGAUCACUAUGGCACUGGUUACUCUUUCUGCCUAAAUUUGCAACACCAGGAAGUAGAGGAGUAAAAGAAACACAAAUGUUGUUGAUUUCCUAGUUGUUUUGAUAAUUACCUUAAAAUGGUAUAUUUUGUACUGGACUACGGCUUCAUAUUCAUAUUGCCUUGUUUGAAUUGAUGAAAUGUCAUAACUCAUAACUCACCUUGUUAUGGAUUGAAUAUCCAUAUGAACAUAUUUUGUGAAAGGAGAGUUGAUGAAUUUUGUGUGCUGGGGGUGUGAAUGGCUUGGAUAUUUUUGUGAAUGGCCAAUCUUAUUACAUUCAAGUCUCAGUUUAAACCAAGUAUAACAGUUUAUCAAAUAGAAUAAAGUCUACUGUACAUAUUUUGUUAGAAGUAAACAAAACGAUAUAAUGGAUCUUUGUGCAUACUUUGAAGAAGUUCCAGCAAUUUCUAAUUCCAUGGCAAUGUCCAAAGACCAUACGAGUGCCUAAGAAAAAAACCAAAUGUAUUAAUUCCAGAAUUUCUGUUUGUAAAUUGCACCAAUACUCCAAAAAAGUUUUAUCAAUAAUUAAAACACAAACUUGACAAAANNNNNNNNNNNNNNNNNNNNUAUGUACACCUCCACUAUACACUAAAAACCGAAAAUGCAACACUUUUCCAAACACCAUCACACACGGGAUUUUCUCUUGCGAUGGCUGCAACAUUUCCAUCUGUUGGGAGGCUUCUCGUGGAUCAUGCCUGUCGCUCUGCCACAUUCAGGGGCAACUACUUCAGUUGCAACUGCGUUCAUUAUCAACAUUGUUUGUAUGCAAGUACAAUAGCAGAGUUAUUAUUCCCAAUGUAAUUUCUUUGUACCCCAAAGAAAGUAGGCAAGAACCAUGAGUCAUCUCAAGUUAAGAUUACAGCCCUAUAAUGUAUGUGCAAUAAUAGCUUAGAAGAAAUUGGCACGGAUAAUACAUUCGCAUACCGUCGAAGAAAUUGAGAUUGUAGGGCAAAGACAUUGGAUAUCCUCAAGGGACACCCCAAAAUCCCCACCACUGUGGGCAACCUCUUUCCUGAAUUAAUCAAUUAAUGCACUGGUCAAAAACAAUGAUGCUUUUCUGCAGUCACAAUAUCAUCCAAAAAUGAAAUGAAUUAUUGAAAGCAGAUGCACAGAAACUUCAUAUCGCAUUGAUUGACCAACUUAAAAUCCUAAAUACAGGUAACAAAACUUAUAAUGUCUUUACUAACCUGGACUCAUGUCCUCCUCUCCUUGGCUUCUUAAAUAAGAACUUUAAGACCUUAGAAUCCUUCCGUGAUAUCUUUCCGAUCAAAGGUAAAUUUCUUGUUUCUGUUUAUACGUUUAGCCUCUUCCAUUGCGUCUACUUUUUCCAUUUCCUUUGUCUGUCUCCCUCUUAUCUGCCAAAUGGUCAAUCUGUUAAACGGUUCAGUAUCAAUAGGUCAUAUAUCACUAAAGCCAUUUUAGUAACUAGCAAUGUUUUAACAUGUUACCUCGUUUGCAAGGAUUUCCCCACAGAUUCGGUGCUUUCCACCGCUGUCCAAUGUUAUUGGGGGGUUGAGACUAAAAUUCUGUUUUUGUGACUCCUUGAGAAUGUCAGCCACCAAUUCCAGGAUUAAUGUGGAAUCCAGGACUACCAUGAGUCAAUUCAUUGGUCUUGCCUUUCCUGGUAGCGAACCUUUCUCUGAGUUUUCUUCUCUUAUUUCUUCCGCUAGAGUCGCCACUUGAGGCCUCAUCUCAUUUGACGCCAUCACCAACAUGCGUAUAUAUUAUCUCAUUACAUCAGACUAAAUAUCAUGAUAUCACAAAUUUAUAAUCAAAUCAGGUAUAUAGAGGUAUAAACAAGACAACUAAAAACAACAUGAAUUAAAUGCAGCUAAACUGCUAAACAAAUAACAAAUCUAGAAGAAGACGCAUAUGAGAUGAUUAAAAGGUAUUUGAUUAUAAAGACCCAGCUAAUCAACAUAUCUACAUGCAGCUAAACAUGGAAGGUAAUUAAAAUUCAUAAACUAAGCAUCAAUCUAAAUACAUAGACGUAGUACCAUCAAAAAGUCUUCUAACCCAGUCAAACCCAGACUCUUGAAUUAGAAAAAAAAAAAUACUUCCAGUUCAACUCCAACAAACCAAUUCAACCCAACAUUCAAAUAAUAGUAAUAAUCAGGGAGAGAAGAAUAACUUAGUCUUACAACUGAAGAGAGUAAGAGAGGCGCGAGCCACUGAAUGGGAGAGUUCAAGAACAAUGCAAAAUCUGAAAAAUUGAAUGUCAAUUUAACUCUGAAAAUCUAGAUUAAGUAGUGAAACUGAGAGAAAAUUUGCGUGGGAGUACUCCCCUUGAAAACAAGUUUAAUAUUUAACCUUCUUACCUCUCUCUCUCUCUUUGUGGGGGAACGAAUGGUGGGUUCGUUCUCUUGAAGCUUGGAAUGGAUGUACUUGAUCACAAUCGGAGCAAAUGACUGCAAUUCUCGAUCGGAACAGCAAUUUGUAGUCGGUGCAGAUUUCACGGUGAGAGAAAUCGGAGCCCUGGCCGGAUUCGGAUACCCUGUGUGGGUUUUUGAGGUUUGAAUCGGAGACUUCGAAUCUCUUCGUCGGAGCCGUCGUGGGAUUAGGUCAGAGAGCAAGAAUGGAUUUUCUUUUUAGGUAUGGCUCGACUGUCUGCCUCCCACAGUGAUAUAAGGUAAUUUCGUUUUUACUGCAGGUUUUUUUUUUUCGUCUGCAUCUGACUAACCAACGGAAUCUCUCCGUCUUAACAACUUCUGCUAACAGACGUUAGACCUAUGUGAACGGUUCAAGUGCACGUAGGUGCCCUGAAUCCGCUCCGUGCUCCAAGACAUAAUGAUGCAGUCUAUGAUUUAGUACAUGCAUCUUUGAAAACCACUUAUCAUUUAAUGCAUUUACAUCUUACCAACUUUGAAAACCACUAACCACUCGUAUUGCAAAAUGUAUCAAAGGAUGACCACUCAUAUUGUAAAGUGUAUCUAAUGGCAAAAAGUAUCAAACGCCAAACCAUGGUCCGCAUCAAUCGGUGAGACAAAAUUACUCUUGAAAUUAGGCUAUAAAAGCACCACAGAGAUCCUGAGAAAAUCACACAUUCAAUCUCUCUUCUCCUUUAUCUUAAAGAGCCAGUCUAUCUCUUCUCGCUAGUUUGGAUAUGGUGAAAGUUGGUCUUGUAAUAUCUGAAGCCAAAUGCAGAGAUGAAGAUGAAGACCGUGUCUGUAUCAGAGAGACUCAAUUCAUCGAAUCAAUGAUUUACCAGAGGUAGAUUUCUUUAUCAAAAGAUCUUUUUCCAACAAUCUUUUUUGAAUGUAUAAACUGUGUUGCUAGGGUUUUUCAUGAUUCUUUGUUAUUUAUUACUGUGCUUUGUUGAAGUUGCAAUAUAGUACUUUGUUUCAACUUUCAUCGUAUAUAGAAAGAUCGAGAGAUUGCAUAACAUAAUACAAAUUUAUCAUUCUGGUUCCAAUAUAUAUCAGCCUUUUAUCCUGUUUUUAUUGGAUUUUUAACUUUUUUCUUCUUCUUCUUCUUCUUCUUUUUGUGUUCAGUUGAGAUCUGUAUCCACUAGGUCAGAAUGGCCGCUGCAGAUUCUUGUCCUUUUCUGUCAAGGACGUCCUCUCCCCCAGACAACGUGGGAUGAGUGCCUUCAUUUGGGCAACGGGUGUUUUCUUUCUUUUGGUUUUGUUGCACUAUCAGUCGCAGACUCUGUAGACAUGCUUAGAGAGCUUUUGCUUGGAGUUCCUCGACCGCAGUCAAUUCAAAGAUUCAAACGCGUCUCUAAACAUUGGCACUCAGUUAUCUCCGACUCAUACUUUAUUAACAAGUACACCAAAAGAAACUCACCAGAUUAAGGCACCAAAGGGAUAGGGAUUAGUGAAGAUUAUAGAAACAAAAGAGUCAUCAGCAUCCAAAGAAGGAGCUGAAGGCUUUAAGUAAGGCACUGAGGGAGCGUUUAAUUAAGGAGCUGAUGUAAGGACAAUAGAGAAACCUCAACACCAUUUCCCAAGCACCGGAUCAAUGAUCUACCAGAAUUAUAGAUUUUAGGGUUAGUUUUAGGGCUGAUUGUAUGAGCCUCGGUUUGGUAUAUGUAAAUAUAUAUGCGACUGUAAUCCAAUAUUUAAUCAAUGGAAGUAUUGCUUUUCUUUCUUCACUGGCAUUGUUCAAUUUUACAUUUUCCCUAUAUUUGAGUGCCGGUCGUAGUUCUUCAAGUAUCAUCAACUCUUGUCUUAUUUUCACAAAUUAAGAGCAGACGACAAAAUUGAAGAUAUUGAGUAUCCUGUGUGCUUGAGUACUUGACUAGCCUUCAUUCUAGCAAGUAUUAUAUCGAUCUCUCCUGCCUUUAGAUUUUGUUCUUUAUAUACCAUGCAUGAAAUAUGAAAAUGUGAACAUUAAUUGUAUUAUUAUCUUCAUCUGACAAUGUGAAGGAUCGAUUGAUCUCAAGUUCUAAUUAAGUGAAUUCCUUCCUGAAAACAUUGUGUUCUGUAAAUUAUGAUGUUAAAUUUGUGUUUAUUCAGUUCUUCCUGAGGUUUUAAAUUGUUUAACUUGAGAAUUUCUGCAAGAUAGUGAACAGUUUGCCGCAUAUCUUUCUCAAAGGCAAACCUACAAGUGUGAGAGAAGUGGUGAUUUCUUGUUAGUAAAUGUGGUUUGUAUACUUUUAGCUUUAACAUCUAUUGCCAGUGGUAAUUGAAUUCGAGCCCUUUCCGGUUUAGUGUUUCAACUUAUUUCAAUACAACUCUUUUAUUAAUAUACAUCUUUUGUCUUUGCAUUUGUCGUACUCUUUUAUUAAUAUACAUAAUGUAGGGCUUGGGAAUGGGUUUGGGCUUAUGGGCCUAGGUCUAGAAUCAAGCCCACAAAAAGUCAGUAUUGGAAUUGGGUUGUUGAGCCUGAUUUCAAACUAACUCUGACUUAAACUGCAGUGUCGAGAUAGCUUGGCAGACUGUGCAAGCUAGCUGUAGUUAGAUAGAUUCAUGAAGCUUGGAGUACCGCAAUUGAGCGCCUUAGCUCUAGUUUUAUGUUUCUCUGGUAUCUGGAUUUGUAUCUAGUUUAAUCCUCUGCUAAACUCAUUUAUUCGGUGUUUUGAUGUCAUUCUGGCCUGAGUUUAUUGAUGAAAUUUCUGGGGCUUUUCCUUCAAAAAUACAUCAUGUAAAUCCUCCACUGAUCUCAGCUCUAGGUAUUGAAAUUUAUUUGUUGAUAAUUCCUAUUCGAAUUUCCUUCAAAGUCCAAGCAUGUGAAAUAAAUUUACUUUUAGGGAAGAACACGCACCUUCAAAGAAGAUCAAAGCGAUAUUAAUGGGUUACUAGACUACUUUAGUAGGAUGUCGACUCUAUGAAUGUUAUUUUCUGUUGGGGAGUUCCACAUUUUCAAUUCAAAUAGUGCUGUAAGUGAUUUUAUCGAAGAAAAACCUCUCUCUCUCUCNNNNNNNNNNNNNNNNNNNNCUCUCUCUCUCUCUCUCUCUCUCUCUCUCUCUCUCUCUCUCUCUCUCUCUCUCUCUCUCUCUACUAUUUAGAGUUGUGCGGGCGUUACAAUCUCUAUAUAAAGUAGUGAAAAAUCAAUCUAUUAGGUAUCACGCAUAUAUUUUACAUUUUCUCGUCUUCAUCUCCUGCAAGUUCCAUUAUAUCAAACUUGCGCGCAUUUCUUUAUGCAGGUUAAUAAACAUAACCUAAACAUAAGUAUCAGUGUUUCCUUGAUUGAUGUUUAAUGGGACUUUUUCUAUUUUCAUUUGUAGUUAUCGAUAUGUUCAUUUGGUACUUUCCUCCCUUGCAAGAGUGUUCAUCAUUGGCCCUAGGUGUUUAUUUCCAGGGAAUGUAUUCUCCAAAAAUGGUCUAACAGCAUUUUUGUAAUUAAUCUUCAGCUGCUACUAUUGUCAUUCAAGUUAAUGUUUCAUUUGCUUGUUAUUGUCCUCUCUAGUUCUAUUCUACUCAUGUUGUUCUCUCUGUGUCCAUAGAAUGACUAUGCAGGUGUGUACAACUGAAGCCUUUAAGUAUAUGUCAUAUAUAUAGACCGGCCUUCCUACCGGACUUCCUUUGCUACCACCAGCGACCUUUAAGUAUAUGUCGAAGUUUUGUAUUGGUUAACGAUCACUAAUCCUAGUGAAUGUGCAUUAUUGUUUUAACAUUAUGCAAUGCUGAACUUGUUGCACAGGAUUAACAUGCAAGUUAGUCUAAAUCAAUAGUUAACUUCUGUGGCAGUCUGGCACAGAUUGUGGAAAACAAUAGUUGCCCAGGAAAAGUGCACAUUCACUACUAGAGGGUACAUGCUUAAGUAUGAAGAUAGUGCUCAUGUGUUCUGUGACUGACCAAUUGCUGCUGAUAUUAUCUCAGCCCCUCCAUGAAAUAUGAAGUUUGUACGUCUUUUAUGUAUUUUCGUUGUAUGUCCAAAGCAUGAAUUUAUCAAUUCAAUCUCAAAAAAAAAGCUCACCAAGUUGGUGUUCCUAGAAGACUUGGGUAUCUUCAUGUACAUGCCAUAAUACUUGGCCAGGGAGGGUUCAUUCAAGCAGACAAAUAUAUAGAUUAAUAGAUAGCUUUCAAAGAUGACUUUUUGAAUUUGUGGGAGGCAUCCCGCGACCAGUAAUUUAACUCGAACAUGAUUCCCUUGAGCACAGUCAAGAUUUGUUAAUGUCAAUCCCUUCAGCACAGAUGAGAUCCCUAUUGCCCUUCAAUUUAGUUAAUAGGAUUUAUGUCUCUUUACUGUAACUAAACAAAAGAGAGCAACCAACAUAUACUAUAUAGAAAUUCUGGUUCAAGUUUGAGCUUCUUAACUGCCAUGACAUUCAACACAGAGACUAUACUUUAUAGUCUAUACUCUAUACCAUAAAUUUGAACUUACCUAUGCUUUGGGAAAGUCAAUAGAAAGAGUAUAUACAAGAUAUCAGUGUUUGAGAAAUGUAAGACAGAGGUGUUACAUUUGCCUACAACUCAUCCACUACCACAGGUAGAAAGAAAACUAAGGUUGCAACAGAGAAAAUGUAGCUAAACUUAAACAUAUGUAAGUUUAUCGGUCUUAUUCCAAAUUCAAGUUGCAAGGAUUCUUGUAUUUGGUUACCUUCUACUUCUGGAAUUUUCUCUACAGCUUCUACGAUGGAUCAGAUUCGGAUUCAUCAUCCUGUUGUUGAUUGGGCAAAGAUUGUGUGGUUUACCAAUAAUAUUCCUAGAGCCAGUUUCAUUCUUUGGUUGGCUGUUCAUGGUAAGCUUGCUACUCUUGACAGGAUCACUACUUAUUCUCCUCAAAUUAAUUAGUUCUCUAUGCCCUCUUUGUGGUCUAGUUCCAGAAAAUAUCAAUCAUCUUUUCUUUGCUUGCUCUUUCUCGCUGCAUGUUUGGAAAAGUGUUCUUUGUUCUUGUGGUGCCUUGGUUGAACCCCCCUUGGCCUUUAUUUAUUGAAUGGGCUUCUUCUCGGUGGGGAGGUAAGUCUCUCUCUUCUACCAUCAAGAAACUCGGUCUUUCUGUUACUGUUUACCUCAUUUGGAAAGAGAGGAAUAAUCGUAUCUUUAGAAAUGAAAGAUGUGCUGUGGUUCUCAAGAAUAUUAUUUCCAUGAUCAGAUGUAGGCUCAUUUCCAUCAAGUUUAAGCCAUCCAUUACUGAUAGAUAUAUUGCUGGAAAGUGGAGCUUAGAUACCUCUUAGUUUUUCUUCUUUGUUCCUUUUUUAGGUUUUGUUUUGCUUUCUUUUGGUUAGCUUGGUUUUUGUUGUUCUGUAGCUUCUUUGCCUUUGGCUUCGGUUGUACUGGGCUUGCCCUCUCUUUUUUCUUUUAAUAUACUCGUUUAUUUACCAAAAAAAAAUUAGUAUUUUACCACCCUUUUGAACCUCUUCAGAAGCAAAUGGCUGUGUCCGGACUCCUAAGCUAUAUAUGUUUUCUGGUCUUUCUGUGCCGGCAGUCCAUGCCACAUGGGGAAAAAUUCAAUCAGUUAAUUUGUUGAGACUCUUUUGCGAUUUGCUUUUGAGGGUCGAGACAUUUUGCAGUUAUUGUCUGCGAUCUUAGAUUUUCCACCCUCCUAUUAGAUACUUCGGCCAUCUCCCAAAGUUCAACCUCAUUGCUUAGUGAGAUUACUAAAUCACACAAUAGAGAACCAAAACUCUUUUCCUACGGUGUGCUGUUUCUUUCUAGAAUAUGAACCGGAGACAUAUAAUUGCCAUGGAGCUUUACCAACGAAUAUACCAGAGGUUGGAUUCUACCUUAUUCCCGAAGGUACUCUUAAAUGGUAAGCUCAGAGAUUUCAGGAUGAGAGUUUCAGAUGCACAAUUGGUGCAUGAGGCUUUAUAUUUUCUCCCAACCACAUUCAGUAAACUACCUACAAUGCUCUUGCAACCAAAUGGACUGUGAAUAAGCUUAUCUCCGUGUGUGUGGAUGAGGAAAAUAGAAUUCGUAUUGAGGCUAGACCAUCUACUGCAGUCAACUUGGUGGUUUGCUUAACCUUGUUCUUAUUCUUCUUCUUCCACUUUUUCCACCAAGUUGACUGCAGUAUAUGGUCUAGCCUCAUUACGAAAUCUAUUUCCUUCAUCCACACACAUAGAGACAUGCUUGUUCAUAGUCCAUUUGGUCUCAAGGGCAUUGUAGGUAGUUCUCAGGUUACUGACUGUGGUUGGGAUCGGAGAGAAUAUAAAGCCUCAUGCACCAGUUGUGCAUCUGAAACUCCCAUCCUCAAAUCUCUGAGCGUACCAUUUAGGAGUACCUUAUGCAUAAUAUGCUCCCUAACACUCCUAGCUCCAUCAUAUACUUAAGUUCCUGGAACUCCUUAUUAAGCCUAGCACCUUCAGCCUUCUCACUUUCCUCAAAUUUCUCAGCAAUAGCAGCCAUGUAGUCUACUGCAUCAUCAGGUUCCUCUACAGACCCUCUCACAAUCUUAGACAUAGUCCACCUAAUCACACUUUUUGCCAUCCUAUUGGUCCUAUGCCAUUCAUAGUAAUGCCAUGAGUCAUCUGUGGAGCUAUUUUCUUUUAACUCUCCUUCAAGUUUAGGAUUUAACAAACAGUAAUAUAUGUUCUGAUGCAUCCCAUGUAGAAUUCUUUAUCAUUUCUCCACCUCCUAAAGUUAUAGAAUCACAGUCAUAACCAAUCAUGACUGUAUUUUGGGAUUUGAUUAUGGGCCUAGAACUUAAAACAAAAGGAUCCUUGUAAAAACAGAUUAAGCAUGCUUUUAAGCCUGUUGAUUAAGUUUUGGUUUAAAGAAAAUAUUUUUCAAAAAACCUGUUCUUGACUGAAAACCAAAAAACUUUUGCGAUUUGUGAUUUUGUAAAAUUCCUGCAGCUCUGAUACCAUUAUUAGAUGGUAAUCAGAAUCCUAACAACCAUCUAAUAACUUUAUUUUGAAUCUAUUUACAACAUCACAAACACAAAAUUAUGAAGAACAAGAACAUUCUGUAUAUUUAGAGUUUUCUUGGAAUAACCAGGAACAUACCUUAGUUCGACCUCCAAUCUGCCUUUGACUGCUAUCUUCAAUGAUAACACCAUUGUGAUGAACUUCUGAAUUGGCUGCACAGACGAACAAGAGAUGGAUACAGGUCUUCUGUGUUUCUGUAUCAAGCAGCACUAUGGCCUAUGGGAAUGCCAAACUCAAUCCAAAAGCGAUAAAGAACACAGGGACCUAGCCUCCUUUAUAUAAUGAUCAAAAUUGAAUUCAAUCCUAUAACUGAAUCCUUAUUCAACUCAAGGUUAACAUCUGAAUAGGCCUUAUUCAAUCACAAUACAUAUAUCAUACUUCUUGUUGAAUGAAUCCAUAUCCUAUCUUCAAGUCUUAGACUGUGUUUGAGUCCAAAAUUAUUCUUACACCAAAUACCAUUUACUUCUAUGAAACUCCUCCUUACUCCUCCCGAAAUGUCUACAAGGAUGUGAUAAAAGGAGACUUGCAGCGUGCAGUUGCAACCUCAUUAUGCAAAACACCAUUUUCAAUUCAUAUCAGAAAUUAAAAUCCUGGUAUAGACAGGAUAAUGCAUGCUUAUCUUCAGCACUUUAUACAUGAAGAGGGAGCAUAAACAUGUUGAGCUUUGAACUUGAUGUUCAAAGAGAAAAUUCGAAAAACACUCAUUUAGGGUAUUGUGUUUCUGCAAGAUAAGCAAAUGAAGAUGGUCACUUCAAUGACUUGCCUAUAUUAUGGAAGGUGUUCCUUUUGUGGUUUUGCCGAUGUAGCAGCUGGUGCUAGGGGGGGUGACUCUUCCCGUUUGGUUUAUGAUUCACCUAAUUUCCUAAAUCGGAAUUCACGAGAGGUCUUCAUAUGCAUAUUUUCUCUGUUUUGAAAACCAAAGAUAUAGUCGAUAAACUGUGGUUCUCUAGUUAUUUACCUGGGGACUCGAUUACCAGUUCCAGUAGAGGAAUGGGAGAGAAUGAAACCAUCUUAAUCUUUUUCCUUUGCUUCAGCUGUUGGUCAGUAAAUCACAGAACGGCAACCGUCUUUAGUUGGUAUCAUACAACCAACAUGUUCCUCAGACAGGAAGGGUGCAAAGAAUGCAUCAGGGUGAACUCACACGAAACCAACAUGUACCUCAGACGAGAAAUUCAAAAGGGUGCAAAGAAUGCAUCAAGGUGAACUCACACAAAACCAAAAUUUCUAUAUUCAACUAUAAAAUGUGGCAUUGAUGUGAAUGCAAUCACUUAUGUACUAUAAAGAACAUAUGUUCAGAACAAUUAUGUACAUAAUAAGCUAUAUGAACGAAAUGAACAAUUAUCAUAAAGAACAUGGUUUUAUCAUGAUUUAGUAACACCAUCUUCAUCAUCAUCUUCGAUAUCCCAGCUCAAAUCCUCCUCUUCCUCUGCAGCACUAAGCCUCUUAUGCAAAUCGACUCUACUUGUGCUCCCAACACCCUCCCCCUUCUUCUCAUCACUGCUCCCAAUAUCUUCAAUCUCAUCCCACCCUAGAUCUUCUUCUCCCGGCAUCGAGGGCUGGCUCGAAAUAAUCGAGAUAUCACUCUCUUUGCAAGAAUCCGAUUUCACCUCCGACUUGUCACUGCUUACAGACUGCCUCGGCACAAUUUCAACACCCGCAGCAUCAUCAGACUCUCUCACCACUACACCACUAUGUUCUCCCUUCUCCAACUCCACACUCCCACUAGGGCCAGAAACCUUCUUCUCUUCCUCCUCCUCCUCUACAUCGUCAUCGAAAUCCCAACUCAAAUCCUCUUCCUCACCGGAUAUGGCACGCUUCACAAGCUUAUCUCUAGCAUCCUCCACUUCCUUCAACUUAUACACCCUAUAAAAGUACCUACUCCAGAAGCUCCCAUCAUCGACCUUACCAGGCACAAUCUCCUCAUGAAUCUCACCAAUCACUCCAUUCUCCCUCAUCAAAUUCGCAAUCUCCUCGGCUUUCGCCUCCAUCACAAACCCUAAUUUCCACUCCCUAUAGCUCUCCGAAUCCUCCGGCUCCUCCAAGUAAGUACUCACACUACUCUGAAUCGCCCUAACCUGAGCUUCAAACCUACUAUACUUCCUCAAACCACUACCACUACUACUCAAUCUCCUAUCAUUAUUUUCAGAGUUACUAUUAUUAUUAUCAGAUUCAACAUCAUCAAUCUUAAUAGCUUCCCUACCGUGAGAGAUGAUCUCCGCCGUCGACUUCCACACCGUGCUCCCGAUGUCGUCGAUCGCCUGCCCCACCGACUCUAGCGACACCUGAGCCACUGACGCGCCGACAUCGAGCGAAGCAGGGAGCUCCUUCACGGCGCGUGAGGCCACAUCCCGGAUCACCGCCGUCUCCUUCUUCAGCCCGGAGCCGAGCUCCGCCAGAUCGCGGCGGUAGGUCUGCAGCACCGACUCGGACUUGGUCGCGAGGGUCGUCAUCAGACCUCCGAAGCUCCACGCCCCGGUGGUAUGGGAGUUCGAGUCCGGAGUUUGCUCCGGGUCGGGGCUGGCGACGUCUUCGGUUUGGGAGAGGGAGGUUGAGUCGUCAUCGGAGGGAUCGGGAUCGUCGGAGAAGACGGACUUGAAGAAAUCCAUGAUAUCGGAAUAAAAGGCCGGCGGUGGGGAUCAGAGUCCAAGAUGAGUCGGGAGUCCUCGAAUUCCUUAUCAAUCGUAUAUAUAGGCACGUUUUGGUGCCGUAACGAGAAAUAAAUAUUUCCUUUUGAUUUUGAUUUUGAUUUUCCAAUAAUUGAUUACGAUUUAAGUUAAGAACAUAUUUAAUAGAUAGACUAAAAAGAAAUUAAAGUGAUUGCACCUAUCUUUGUCUAUAUGUCCAUAUUAGUGUCAAUUGGUUUCUUUCUUGGGGCUAAGGAUUUAAUACACAUGGAAAUGUGUUAAUAUUUCCUUUGAAAAGCUAGUUGGAAUAAUCUCUACUUCAUUAAUGAAACGAAAUAAAGCUAUUAACGAAAAAAAAAAAAUAGUAAUAGAAUAUCCUAAAAGGGUCGGGAAGUUGGGCACCAUGGCGGUCAAUUUAAUUUACGCAAAUGGGUAAAUGUUUUUUAGUUUAUGAGAUUGUUAGCAGUCAAGACUCGAAAGUAGAUGUCGGUUUAAGUUGUCAUUUUGUAAAAAGAGUCGCUUGUUUUCCUUUUUUUUUAAAAAAAAUUAGUCGCUAUGGUCUAUAGGGUUCGUUACAACCAUAUCUCGAUGUAACAAUGUUGGGUAUGAACCUCUCAUUCUAAGUAGUCCUUCACAUAUGAACUGUAAUGCACCAGUUGAAAUGAUUUAACGACUCUUCUCAAAUUUUGAAUUACUUCAAUUUGAAGUAAGUUGGAAUUGUUGCCACAAACCCUAACUUGAUCCUUUUGAAGUAAACCUUAAAAUGUCACAAGUGAUUAUAUCUAAAAACGUUAAACCCUUGUGUGGAGGCUCCAAAAGAGUUUUUGGUUAUUCACAUCGAAGCAUUUGUCACAUUGAAUAGUAUCUUGUGAUCAACGGAAAUAAAGUAUCCUGGUUAAUUGAUCAUAACAUUAAGAAAAAGAGAAAUUUUAAAUACACACCUCUAAUCUCUUAAUACACACCUCUAUUAUUUUAUAUUUCACAUCAUAUUUUAUAUGUAUGUUUAAUUACAAAAACAUCCAUCAAUUACUAAGGAAAAAAAGAAACUUCAUCUUCCCUAAAACAUAACUCUCUUCACUAUGCAUCAAAAGAAAAGAAAUAAAAAACCUCUUCUCCAAAAUUCAUCACCUGAAUUUCGACUACUGUCGUAAUCACAUGUACUAUUUGCUGAUUCGUUUGAAUUUUUUUUAGUUUUAUCUUACAGACUAAAAACUAGUUUUUAUGCUAUUGUAAUUCUAUAAGUUUCUUAACUUUGAAAAAAUUAUGUAUGUUCAAUUAUUUUUAUUUUUUUUCAAAUUUUAACUGAUCAAAAAACUACAGAAAAUAAAGAGAAUACGUAAAGAGAGUUGUGAAUAGUAAAUAUAUAAUAAUUAUAUUAAAUAACAGAUUAUUAUUAGUUUUAGAUACUGAGAGUAUUUUAGGCAGUUUGAGAUGUGUAUUUAGUAUAAUAUUGAAAUGAAAAACUAGAUAGGUAGUAUAUUAAGUAAAUGGUGUGUAUUAAGAGAUUAGAGGUGUGUAUUUAAAAUUACUCUAAACUCUAAGAAAAAAAAGUGUGAUAUAUGAUAUAUCCGGUCUGAGUUGAUGUCUUCAGAUUUUCGAAAAAUACAUCAACCAUUUCUAGCGACCAAUUUGCCUUAAAAAUGGCACAUUUUGCCAACAAACCGUUCAUCCGAUAGUUAGCUUUACUGACAAACCUUCGUCUUCCGUCGGUAAAGCUCAUUUUCUGCAGGUUUCUCUGAAUCAUACUCCUAUAGUUCUAUAGAUUGUGGCCACCUGCAAGAACCAACCUUUGAUGUAGACAUGCAGUCCAUCUCACAUCAAAGUACAAAUUCUCAGGUCUGGUGGAUUUGUUUGAUCAAUCAAGUAAUGAAAAAUCUUCAAAUGGAAAAACCUGUGGAACAAGCAACUAUACAAUAUAAACUCAUACAGUGAUCAAAAUUACCCAAUAACAACCACACCACUUUUACAAUGUGUGUAUUGAAUAGAAUUUCCUUCUUUUCUUUUUUAAUUCAACAAGAUUACAAGGGGAUACAUAUCUUGAUACAUCCACUCCUGCUAGUGCAUUGAAACCAUCAUGUUCUAUGAGUUCCUUCUUUGUUCUCUCUUUUUUGUUUGGCAAACAGUGUUUGUCAGAAGAUCGUUACAAUAGAAGCAUUAAAAUUCGAACAUAGGACUUUGGAAGAAAGGCAACUAGGAGAUACAAACUAGUGUCCAAGAUUAGGUUGUUGGGUUACUAAUUCAAUUUCCUUGAUGAUUAGCUCCUUUUCCUCUUCAAAUUGGUCAUCUUCAUCACCUGCUCGAAAACCAUAAAUCAGCAACAAUAACAAGGACAUGAAAUUUAGAUUUUCAUAAUCUUUUGUGGAGCUCAAUCACAUUUCACUACAGCUGAUGAUGGCCAGAAAAAUAUCACCUUUUCCAGCAGAAAGAUUCUGGAGCAACUCUGUCAAUUUUUCAUGGUUCUUGGCCAGAAUAACCUUGACUUCUCGGGGCUUAUUAGGAUUAGCAACAAAGACCUGCUAAAAUAUAAAAAUUAAAUUAUAAAAAAGAGAAACAUGAGGAAACUAGAGAUAGUAUGGAUCUUGACAUUCAACUCAAACACAUCAUUCUCAUGACGGUUCAACUGAUAGCCACAAAGAAAUCCAUAUUCCAAGUUUCUAACCACACCCAUUCAGACAUACAAAAUACACAAAAAGAUGUGGAGAGAGUUAAAAUGAGGGGGGCCAGCACCUUGAAAAUGUGGAAGGCAGCGAUUUGGAUGUUUUUGCUUGAAUCCUGCUCAUAUUCAAUAGCAACAAUGAUAAAAAAAAAAAUGUGAGAGCACAAAAAAGCAACAGCAAAAACUUCAUUUUCCAAGGACACACGUUAAAACUUGAAAGCUGGUUUUUAUUCAGUGUUACAGUCUAAACAAAAACCUAAGUAUCAAAAAGUGAAUGUAUAGUAUCACCCAGUGGUUACAAACGUAAAUAGCACAGUGAUAGGAGUCAUAGAAUAACUAAAAGAAAAUACCUUCAGCAGCAUCAUCAUGACUUUCAAGAACCGAACUUCUAAAAUGUAGCAUUUCAUUAUAUGAGAAUUAGGAGGCUCCAAUAGGAAAUCCGUAAGAAGCUAAUCAACAAACAAUAUCUAUCAUUAGCAAAUGCAAUAGUUCAAAAGAAUUGCAGACCAAACUCAAAAAGUUUCUUGACCAUAACUGACCUUUAAAGACUGCCUCCUAGUCACGUAGUUAGGAGAUGUCAACAGUUUUUCAUACAGAUCGAAGAACUGGAACAAGAAAUUCUGAUCAGACAAGCUAAAAAUAUAAUGCACUACAAAUUUACAUAGACAAUAGUGAAGAAAGCUAUCUUCAAUGCCUACACCAUGCAGAUGUAAAAUUAAGGGGCUUAGAUUUAUUUUGUCCCCAGACUAACACAUAUUCAGAAUAUCAAACUGUCCUCCAAGAUCCAUCUUGGCAAAGAAAACAUCCUAGGUCUAGAAUAUCCGAUCAAGAAAAUCAUAUUAAAAGCCAAGCAGCAACACUCGCCACUGGCUAGACUAUUACAGAAAAAUAUAUAACGACAAAGUGUGAACCAACCUCAUCAUAGUGCGCGGUCAAAAAUUCAGAUACCACCGUUCCAUGUUUAGUAAGUAAAUCCUGCCAAGAACUAGCUCAGUGAUGUAUGAAAGAAAGAUAGGAACCUAAGAGUGUAAUACCAUUCAGAUAGGUACAACUUCAUAGAUGCUCGUAAAUCUCACCUUAAAGGUAGAAAAUGCAUCAGAAGCUACAUCAAAGUUAGGCAACUCCACAAAUUUGAAGAACAAAACGAAGCUUGCAGACUGCAAUAUGUAUCUGAAAAAUACUACAAAAAUCAAAAGUGUGAAAUAAAGAAACAUGCUUACCAACUAGAACAAGCAUAAACUUAAAAAGAGCAGAGGACGGUAUCAGCUAUUGUGAAAUCUGUUUACAGAAAAGAACCACAAGUUCAAAACGGGAGUUGGGUGGGUGGUAAGAUUUGAAUGAACCCACAUCCAAAAGCUGUGUUUAGGUUGACUUGGAUGAUUCAAACAUCUUUGCACAACGAAACAUGUACGUUUCAGCAAUCAUUCAAAAUCUUCUUCUCUUACCGAGAGUGGGUUCUUUUACAAAAAUAGAAUAAAAUGGCAUGGGAAGAGAAAUGAUGAAACGUCUUACUUUGCAAGAGUAGGGAAUCUGAUGCAAUCCCUCAACAUAGCUCCACAAUUCAAGGCAAUUUCCUUGUUAUCAUAGCUGUUUGAAAAAGAAUUGAUUAGUGCCAUGCAAAGUUAAACCAAUUGAAAAAGAAUGAUGACAAGUAUACAGCAUUAAAUCAAUUUUUCUGUAUCCUAUACUUGAGAACUCCUAUUCCAUAAGCUUUCUUGCAAGAACAUCAUCCUUACCCCAUCUUCCUAAUACAAACAACAUAAAUGCUACACGGGUCACACAGUGGCAUUCUGAAUGCAUUCCCUCUGGGAAACUCUAAAGAUUAAAGAAAGCCACACCAGUUCUCACAUAACUGAGAGAGAGAGAGAGAGAGAGAGAGAUCUAAUAUAUAGAGAUGAAACCUGAACAAACACAUGGAUGGAUAGAAAAAGCUUUUUACUUUAUACAGUAGUGCUGACAAAAACAAUACCAAACUCACCUCGCAACAAGAAAAUCUAGCAACUCAUAAUGGUUCUCAAUGUAUUGUUCGCAGCAAAAAGUGUCCUCAACCUUUUGCUUCAACAAGAUGGACCAACAAUGGACCAAAUCUUUUCUUGCCUGUAUUGAAGACACCAUGUCAUCUUGCGCAAUAAAUGUUUCAUAUAUGCCAGACAGCAUGAGAGAAAUGACCAUAACUUACUUCCCAUCCCAGUAUUGGUAACUUGUGAACUAGAAGAGCAAGAACAUCCUCCUUGCAUAUCUCGAACACAAGCUGUGAAACUUGUUCCGUAUUAGCUUCCGUCUCCCCAUCUCCGACAAGCAUACAUCUCAUAAUCCCGAAAUUCUUUUCCACCUCUUCCAACGCCUGUCACAAUAAGUAAAUCAUAUUCGUAAAUGAACUAUCCCUUCACAAUGAUUACAAUAUGUCUGCUCAACUCUCGACUUACCAAGCACUUCUAACCAUAAAUGUCAACACUCGAGACUAAACUAACUUGCUUGACAACAUCUACUUCAUACAUGCUAAACCACAUUACCCCACAGAGUAGUAUACAUUAAUUGAAUAUUAUGAAGCAACAAAUUGACAGCAAGAACACAACUUUAGGCAUCAGAAAUGUAAAUUGAGAUAAAAGAAUUGAAAUUGGGAGAGAAAGGCAAAUAAAGGAGGACCUUUUCGAGGGAUUUGACUUCGGCGACGGUCUGGGAGUCGAGGGCAGAGAGGCUGUCGCUGAUGGCCUUGGCGACCUCCUGUGGGGUUUUGGGCCUCGACGGCUUGAAGAACGAGAACGACAUGAUGAUCUGAUGGGAAUCAAAUUCCCUUCUCUCUCUCUCUCAAUCUCGCUCUUUUCUCUGAAAUGAAGAAAAUUUACAGCAAGCUUUGAGUUUGGUGUGAAGAACGAUGGUGGAAAAGAGCCCGUCUUUACUUUUUUGUCACCAGUGCGGAUCCAUUUACAGCAUCAAAUGCAGCUUCAAUCUCACUUUUUACACCUGCGUGUUUAUGUGAAGUGACACAAAUGGUUGCUAGAGAUACAAACAAAACAAAAAAACUUUGUUUUUAUGAAUUUAUCAACCUGUAAGUUGACCAGGUUGAACUUGAAGGAUAGGACAACGUGUCGACAGGAAGGACAAGUCGAAGAAAAAUAAUAUCCUGCUGAUCUCGAAGGACAGGACUAAUUUAAUCCAAAUCUGUUGAAAUGAGAUAGAAUAAUUUGGUUACCGGUUGAAAGGACACAAUAUUUGACAUUAUUUUUUAUAUUAGUUUUUAAUCCUUAGAUCUUAAUUAAUCAAAUGGUUGUAAUUAAAUGUGAGUAUGAUUCGGCAAGUGACGUAGAAAUUAUUUUAUUUUCAAUAAACAAUAAAUAAAUAAAUAAAUUUAGUUAAAUUUUUUUAAUAAAGAAUGUAAAAGAAAGAACUCCAUAAGAACAUGGCUGGUGUUCUUCAACGUGGAAAAGAAAUUCUCAGACGCGUGCCUUAGAGCCAAAGGGCUUUGAUUGAACUUCAAAUAAAGCACUAAAUUUGAGUUGAUAUCAAACCAAAAAUCCACAUCUCAUUACAAAAAGAGAAAAAUGAGAAUAAAAUUUGGAUUGGCCAUUAGGGUUUGCUAAGAAGUACAUAUAUAGUAUCAUGAACAAAUUGAUUUGAUUGCUUGUUAAAUGUAUUCAAUUAAGAACUGAUUUUGGUUGUUUAGAAACAAAUUAAGAUUAGAUCUGCAAUUGAAUUUGAUAUGACCCAAAUGGAAGUUUUCAUAAUUUGAAGAAACCUUUGUGCAAUGAACCUGUGAUUCUUUUUCAUGUUGAAGAUCGAACACCAGUGCCAUGUUCUUCUAGGAUUUUUUUCUUUUGUUUUCUUUACUAAAAAGAAACUUGUUUAACUAAAUUAUUUAUUAUUGUUUAUUAAAAAUAAAAUGAUUUCCACGUCACUUGCCAAAUCAUACUCACAUUUAAUUACAACCAUUUGAUUAACUAAGAUUUAAGGGUUAAAAACUAGUGUACAAAAUAAUGUCAAAUAUUAUGUCCCUUGAACCGGACCCUUUGGUUACUACUUACUAAGUAGGUAGAAUAAUUUUUUGCAGGCACAAGAAAGAAAGAUGAGCACCGUAACAAGCUACUGAAACUAGGUUAGAGUCAGAUCGGGUUUUAUAUAUUGAAUGACACAUUCGCCUUAUUAUUCUUUUGAAAGGAGAAAUAAAUUACAUUAAUGACAUGUUUACUUGGAAUCGAAAUAGGGCAUGAUAACGAGCCGAGCUUUAUUUCCUCUUCUUCUCGUCCAUACCAAUACGGAUUAGAGACAAUAAGAACGAAAAAAGUCAUGAAUCAGAAACAACUUGAAUGACAUGUUUUACUUAGAAUUGAAAUAUGUCAUAAAUUGAAGACAAUUGGACUGGAAGAAGUAUGAAUCUGAGACAACUAAAAUGGAAAAAAGUCACGAAUCAGAGAUAACUAAAAUGACAUGUUUACUCCUUAGAAUGUAAGUACUCUAUAAAUCAGAGACAGCUUGAUUUGUGCGAGCUUGAUUUGCAAAAUGAAUAUGUUAGACACCAACAUGUAUUUUGAAAAAAUAAAAUCGAAAAGAUAACUUAAUUAGAUUUAUCGGUUCAUAUUGGUGUUUUGGAUGUUCUAUCAAUGUGCACUUUGCGGUUUGCAUUGUCAAAGACAAGAAGACAAUUUCCCUCUCUAUCCGAUACGCGUGAUUUCUCCACAAAAAUAGUACCCGACCCGAUUCAUACCCGCCAAAACCCGACUCGAUUCAACAAAGUACCUUGCCAAAAAUGGUGGCAAAGUGAACAGAGGCAGUUACUCAGAAACCGCAGGGGUAUUCCCGCCAAUCCACACUCCCAGCUUAAACCGCCGGCUCCACCGAACCACCUCCUCACUAUAUAACCAAACCCAACACGCAUUUCUCCAUUUCCAAAUCCCAAAUCAACCCAAACCCGGAAAUCGAAACAUUCCGAUCAAACCAAAUGCGACGGAUGCGUGGCGGAGGAGGAGAUGACCGGAUCAACACGUGUCUCCCCGAAGAGCUCAUCGUCGAGAUCCUCCGGCGCCUCGACUCCAAGCCCAGCCACGACGCCUGCUCCCUCGUCUCCAAGCGCUGGCUCGCCCUCGAGCGCCUCAGCCGCACCACCCUCCGCAUCGGCGCCACCGGCAGCCCCGACGUCUAUGUCAACCUCCUCUCCC
rnacentral:lncRNA from 1 species